rnacentral:lncRNA from 1 species
GUCGGUGAAGGGGAGCAAGCGCGUUAAGUGGACGGAGAUGAAGCGCAACUGGGGGCAAGUGUGGCAGACCGGGGAGGACCUCACAUGCGAGUCGCUGACGUUCCGGGUGAUGACCAGCGACCACCGCAAGGCCACCUCAUGGCACGUUCUCCCUGCUGACUGGAAGUUCGGCGUCACGUACCAGGCGUCCAAGAACUUCUAAGUAGCCACUUUCCCUCCUCUUCUUCAACCUGCAUGCCCGCAAGCAGCCAUGCAGAUGAUAACAUGCAUCAUGCAUGCAUAUUCAUUCUUUCGCUCAUGCACUCCGAUACGGUGCCGGAGUUAAAAAAAUAUAAAUCAAUGUGCAAAUUCAAAUGACAUCUUAACCAGUUGUGAUCAAUCUGAACCGCUAAUGCAUGCACACACCGAAUGAAUAUACCAUCCACUAUUGGAACAAGCUGCUUUGUGGAAUACUUGGCAAAAAGCCAAAUUCUGAUAGUGAUCUCCACUAUUUAGCCCUUGUGUUGCAUCAAAUGAAGCAACUUUAAGAGUCUCUUUAUAUUCUUUCCAAUUAAUAUAAAUAUAGAUUUUUUUAAAAAAACCUCCAACAACUUAUCUAAAUGGCUACCUAAAUAUAGACAUUUUCUAUUCCGGGUUUCUCGCUAGCCAAAUAUAGAAAACGUGAAUGACUCUCUAGAGCCCAAACAAGAUAUAGAAAAUGUAUUCGAGAUUAAAAAAUAUGGAAAAUAAUUUUUUUAUGCAAAUGACUCUAAAUGAUAAUUUAGACAGUAAAAUUUAGAAAGACUUUUAGAGAUGCUCUUAGCUUUGGGUAGCUCCGGACUUCACUAUGUACGGACGAUGGCACCACUGCUCCAAGGCCAGGUCUAACGCGGGUCAUUACUUGGUACUCAGGGACAGAUCUAGCGUUGGGGCUGGUGGGGCUCAAACCCCACUACCGCUCCUGAGCAUAUGGAGCUCCACCGAAAUCCCUCCUAAAAUUUAAAAUGUAUAUAAGGGAUGCUUGAAUGCACUAGAGAUAAUAGUUAGUGGCUAAAAUUAGCUGGAGACAUCCAAACUCCCUAGCUAAUAGUUCAACUAUUAGCUAUUUUUAGUAAAUUAGCUAAUAGCUAGCUAGCUAUUUGUCAACUAACUAUUAGCUUUAGUACAUUCAAACACCCCCAUAGUAUAAUCUUAUUACGUAUUUUUAUGGUUUUAUCAUGUACCUAUGUUUUAAUAUAAUGCUACUUCAAACCAUUACAUAUGUCUAUUAUAAGUGCUUUAUCAAUAAGAUUAUGUUAGUUUAGUUUAGUUUAGUCCCUCCUAAAUUUUUCCUACUGUACCGAUCAUUGGCGUGGUGAACCAGAUGCUUGGUACCCACCGAUCGAGCUGGUCAUAGCGCCAUUCAGCUCUACCGGUUGGUUGGCUGGCUAUCAACCGACCAAUCGAAGCAUACCACCUACGUUGGAGCCUGCGCAGUCGGUACAUGUUAGGGCCGCGACUAAAACCGACCGGACAUGGUCGGUACUGUCCACAUGUUUGCACACGUGUAAGCAUAUGAUUGGCCAUUCAAUUUCAAACGUUUGAAUUUGAAACAAAAUUCCAAAAAUUUUUAAAAACAAAUCAAAGCAGCCCUUUUCCCUCCUCUCUAACCCGUAUGCCUGCAAGCAGCCAUGCAUAUGGUAACAUCAUGCAUACACAUAUUCGAUUCUUCCGCUCAUGCCCUCCGUCACGGUGCCCUGAGUUAAAAAAAUUGUUGAAAAUCAUUGUGCAAAUUCAAAUGACAAAAUAACCAUCUUAACACGUUGUGAUCAAUUUGAACUGCUAAUGCAUGCACACACCUAGGGGUGAAAAUAGAAAGGAUAAUUUUCAGAUACCGGGAAUCGUUUUUGAAGUUUUAUCUAAAUUUAGGUCUAAACAGAAACAAAAACGGUUACCGAAAAUACGAAAACAAAAUCGGUAGAAAAAAUCAGAAACAAAAAUGGUUUGGGUCUCUUCCGAUCAUUUCCGGAAAUUACCGUCUUAUUCGAUAUUUUACCGUCGAAAAUAAAUUCAGCAUUUUUCAGAAAAAUAUUAAAUCUGAACUGAUCUUUAUAAAUUCAUAAUAAAUUUAUCUUUGCUUAGAAAAAUAUGAAACUAAUUUUAUUAUUUUUCUAAAAUCAAGAUCUAUCUAAUGAUAUAUAGUUUAGAAUCAUUUGAAACUUUUAUAAAUCUUAUUUAUGUUUUCUUACCUGUUAUUACUGUUGAUACAUAUAUUUAUAAUUUGCACGAGAACUUAAAAAGGACCAAGAGGAUACUAAUUAUAUUGACUAUGCCAAGUAGUAAAAGUACAAAUACAAUAUAAGUGCCAUAUCAUUAUACACAUCUUAAUUUUACUUUAUUUCAAUACAAAAUAUAAUGAUUUUAUUAUUGUAUGACUUCUUACUUUAUAUAUUUAUUGUGACCUCCUACCUUAUAUACUAUUACUAAUUUUAUAUGAAUGUAUGACUUACGUGAUCGAAUUUUAGAUACAUGUUAAUUGAGGAUACAUGUUACAGUUUUUACUGAUCGAAUUUUAGAUUUUGAUCAUAACCAGUGUAAUUUUCGUACCGAACUUUCAUUUUCGAUGUUUCCGAAUUAUCGAUAUCAUUUUCGUUUCCGGAGUUUCCGAGGAAAAAUAUGAAAACGAAAAUGGUUUUAGUGUUUACCGAUCGUUUCUGACCGUUUUCACCCCUACACACCGAAUUAGACAAGCAAUGGUCUAUUUGUAAAUGGGGAAAUAUGUAUCGGAAACCACUUGCUGGUCGAAAACAUGAAAACUAGUUUUAAAAAGAACACUUUUGUAACCUGAAAUCUUCUAAAACUUGAUACAUAUGCAGUUCAUCCAUACAUAAACUCACAUAAAAAGUUGAGAUGCAAAGUCAUCUGAAAAUAACAAAAUUCAUGUGCACAUAUAAUAGAAGACAAAAAUAUAGAAAUUGUCUUGUAGUGCACAUACAAGUGAAAUUUGUGAUUUUUAUAUGAAUAUUUUAAAAUAGAGUUUAAAUUCUAACUUUUUUAUGUAAGUACAUAUGUAGAUGACACAUAUGUGCCAAUUUUCAAAAAAAAAAGUUAAGUUACAAUAGUAUAUUUUUAAACUAGUUUCCAUAUUUUCACAUAACAGGUGGUUUUCAAUGUAUAUUUUUAAGUUUAUUUGACCCUUCAAACUAUUGUUAAUUGUUUACCUCACCCUUACACAUGUAAAACAAGGUAUUCUAUCCCUUAAACUAUUGAAAAUCAUCUACAUAAUCCUCUAAGGAGGUUUAGAAAGUGGUUUUAUUGAUGUGACAUGUUAAAAUGUCUAAUUCCCUCAACUAUAACCCCCUGGUCUUAUAGAUCCGUUUAGUUACCAUAUUCCGCCAAACUAGACUAAGAUUCCAUGCUUGAUCCAAUGCAAGCCUAUAAAGCGCCUCACUCUCUCUACUCUUUUUGAGUUUCCACCACUCCCAAAUGAGCACCACCCUAUUUCCUUCUCCACUCAUGGCAAUCCUCUACAUCAUUGAACUCAUGCAUUGCACUUGUGCCCUUGUCAUUUGGUCCCUUCUUGUCUCCUCUUGUUUUAUUCUCACAUUGCUACGUAAAAAUUUGAAGGAUGAUCAGGUAAAAGGUAUGGGAGGGGCUGGAUGACAAGGGUACAAGCAUGCAUGGUGCUUGAGCUCAAUGUCAUCAAGUGUUGGGCGAUGGUCCAUGAGAUGAGAAGUUGCAUCCUAUUUAUUGGGCGGUGGGUUAGCAUAGAAAGAGUAAAGAGGUGCAUGCUACAAAUGGACCUAUAAGAAAAUAUGUGUACAUAGGCUAGCCUAGUAUGACACAAUGUCUAAACACCCUAGAAGACCAUGCAGGAGAUCACAUUAUUAGAUACUCUAAAAACUGUAAUAUUAGAUUUUAUAGUUGACGGGGUUAUUAUCGUUGCAGAAACCUUCUAGGGACCGCCUUUGCAGACAAGGAGUCGAGAGGUGCGCUGCUGCUGCGGUUGUCCCUCCAGAACGUGACUCUGUGUACAUGGCCGCUCUGCAGACGCACAACAAUCAGUUAAACAUUAAAGCCAGAUCAUGUGGAUCAUCCUGUGCUGGUUGUACUGAUCGGCUCCUUGAGCUGAUUUUUAUUCUUUUCUAGGUCGACUAUUAUUAUAAUAAUAAAUGUGAUCAUGCAUUGGAAGUGGUCGACAACGAAUAUAAAUCUAUCUAAAGCAUGCAUGAGCCGAUUGUUUACUCUAGAGCAAUGCAGGCUAAGUGCAUGUCCAAGAAGAGAGUGGCAUGCCAAAGAACAACCAUUAUUAACUACAUUGUUAACCAAAUCUAGGGCCAUAUGAAUAGUAAACCAUCUAUAGGAACAUCCGCUACUGAGAACUGUUGACCACACAUGUGAACAUGGAUCAUGACCUUGAAAGAAGUCUAACCAAAGUAAACAAUGAGGCUAAGCAUGUAAAAUAGGAUGACAGAUAUGUAUUGGACUUUCAAGUUGCCGCGUUCACAUGUGCAGCUUGUAAGUCGUAGAAUAUGGCAACUGGUCAAUGAAUACGCAUGCGGCAAUAUAAAAUCAAUCUAAUAGCAUGAAGCAUAAAGACAAAUAUAGAUUGAAACUACAAAUGUAACUAGCAGAUAUUUCCAACAACAAUGCUUAGUACAAUAUCUACCAGGGUAAGAUGGUGACACCAUGCCACCUUGACAUGAUCAAGACCACAUCAGGGCAACAUGGCGUUACCUUGGAAAACUCUUGGAGAAGGGGUGGUGAUGCGCCGAGAGGAUGAGAGUCACUUGCUGCUUGGUGAAUGAAAGACUUUCUAUUUAUUCACGUUUGUAUCAGUUUUAAUAUAUAGCCAUGUGGGCCUGAAGUGAUAAACACUUCCUAACUUACAUUACCAUCUAAUCUGUUACUUAUUUUCGAUAUAAUGGUAUAUUUCUAUAUCACACACUUAAUUUUUAUUGUGGCCGGAUACUUCUUUUGUGGAGCCAUUCGGUCAGAACAAUAUCCUAGACCCAGCUAGGAUUAGGUGCCAACACAUGCCCCCUAUUUUUGGUAGAAUUUUUAUGUCGGAACUAAAUCUUUGCCUUGUGGAAGAUUAACACCUCUGUUAGCGGUCAAGUCAUGUCAACUGACUCUUCAUCACACAACUCUACCUCAGGUUUCGGUCCGACACUUCCACUUCAAGUUGUUUGCCUCCUUAUACUAGUAUUAGUAUGCACAAGAACUCUCCAAAUAGCAUGAACCUGUCGUAAGCAAUGACACCCGUUCUCCCACCUAGAACAACGACUCUUCCUACUUCUCUUGGCCAUCUGAUGCUCCCAUCACCCCUAUAAGUCUCCUCUUCCUUCUCCACCCUCGCUUUAUUUAGUCGAGGAGGAUUGGGACUUCCACUAAGACAUUGACCCCUUCUCGAUCGAUUAUGCCUCAACGAUCGUCGAUGAGUCCGAUGCAUAUUCGUUGUUUGUUGCGUGAGUUGCUUGCCUCCUACAUGCCCCUUUGUACUCUCCUCCUCGGAAGAUGAUUGGGACUGUGAUGAGGCAUACAUCGACUCCACUGAGGAGGAAGUCUCCUCUGAGGAGAUCGGAGGAGUUGGUAGAGAUGUGGCUGCGUAACAGCAGCUCCACCAACGAGGAGCCUGAGGAGGACCUCGACUGAGAUUUCAGCGACGAUACUAGUGUGGAGAGCUUCCUUGACGUCGCUGCCGCCAAUGACGGUGGUGACAAGGAGGAACUAGAGCGUAAGCGUAGGAGGUUGAUCAGAUACCUCUGCCUUUUAUAGAUAAGAUUUCUUAUAUAGGGUCCCCUUGUAGUCCUGCUCCUUCUCGAUGAAAUAAAUAAAACUUUUGGUCAAUCUGUUCUAUUUGUGCUUCCCUGUGCUUGAUAUAUUUUGGCCAAUCUACCUGUGAUGUUCAUGUUCCCUGUUCUUGAUGCAUUUGAAUGACCUCCUCACCAUUCCCAUUAUUAUUAGAAUGUUUCGGUAGCGUCCUAUUAGCCCAUGAAAAACCCCCAUCUUCGUCAUCUCUCCUAUGGCGACGGUACUCUUAGCUGACUGUCAUUGGGACUCACGAACGACAUCAACAAGUUUUCCUUGAACGACGUGUUGACUUAUGAUGCCCUCCGAGCAGCUAAUGACACCUCGAUGUGUGUAUAGUCUUCUAGUCGUUCAUCGACUUUACCAUUUUUAUCAUUGUUUUUUAUCUAAAGGCGAUGGCAAUGCAUUUGACUAUUCGUCCUUUUACAUUUUUAGAUGAUAACAACAUAUCAAGUUUUGGCUAUCAACAACAUUUCUUCAAAUAUUUGCCAUUGAUAUUCCUGCUAAACUAGAUGCCUUCUAAUGUUUCCAUCCGAUAUGAGUUACUUGGGAUAGUUUCUUUGAUACGAUAUGGACACUUUCCAUAAAUUGGAUCCUUAGUCCCAACUAGCAAAAUCAAUUCCUAAAUGAGGUCGCUAGUGUGAAAUUAUUUGGGCCUAACCGUUUUGUUGUAUGCCCAAGCCGCUUUAGCUUUAUUUUCCUUGUUUUUUUUCUAAUGACCACAGUCUCAAUUCUAUUAGGUCCCUAGUAUUGAUAUUCAUCAUUAUUGCAUACUCACCAACCUAUAAACCAUUCCAAAAUGUUACCAUUCUGUUGAAUGCAAUUUUUGUGGUGCUGUUAGUGCAGGAGAUAUCCAGAGCCACCUGCCAGAAGAAAGCAGAGGAAGAAAAAAACAAAACAAAUUAUUAGCUGGUGUAUAGAUAUAUAUACAGUGGUAUACGGCCAGAAAAAGUGGAAGAAGAGCACCCGUAUAAGCAUCUACGGAUGACCAAAUUGGCAUGGCCACAAGCACUGAAGUUUAUUAGGAUUAUUAUUCAUUUAGAUCAAAUUAGUUCCUAUUUUCUAGAGUAAGUCAGUUUUAUGUUUGGUCAGGGAUAAACUAGAAAGUUAAGUUGUUUAGAUUUUUAUGGAGUCGGUUCCUAUUUUCUAGAGUGAGUCGGUUGUAGAUGGAUUAUAAAGCCUUAUUGUAAUAAUGCAGAGAGGGCAGAACCUAUAGUUAUCAUUUCAUUUAAUCUAGUAUCUAUUAUCUUCGUUCCUCUUUGGUGCUUUAUUGAGAAAAGCAUUCGAGUUUCUCUGCGAAAGUGAGAUCAACGCCUGCUGCUCAACCAAUUUUUGGUAGCAACAGACGCCUGCUGCUCAACCAAUUUCUGGUAGCAACAGAUUUGGCGACUCCGCUGGGGAGCGAUUUGCAAUCAUUAUCGCCAAUCAUAGUCAGGGCUAUGGAGGAAAAGACAGCGAAGAAGGCGACACCGGACAAAUCUGAAGUUCAUCCCUUGAACGUGAUCAAGGUCACGAUGGAGGACCUUACAGAGGCAGACCGGAUGGAGAUUGAAGAAGAAAUCGCACGAGAGAUGGAGGAGAAACGGAACGAGAGAUUGGCUUGCUUUCGAAAAACCAAGAAUGGUGUGAUCAAACAGAUUGGUGGGGCAAGCACGUCCAGCAAGAAGGUAAGUUCAUCUGUCACUUGUGAAGAACUAGCUCACAUGAUUGAUACCGCCGUAGCUAGCAAAUAUGGGACUGAUGUCACGGAAAUAACACACAUGAUUUCUGAGGGAGUGCGCAAUUCUUUUGACACAUUUUGAUCUGAGUUUAAGCAAGAUAUGAAUAAUAAUAUGCCUAGACAGAUCCGAUCUAUAGUUCAACAGAUUCAAGGAGAAUUGCAGGGUAAGCGUGUAGAAAAUCUUUCAUAUGCGCCUAGUUAUAACAGAGCAGUUGCGCAUAAUGAUGUAAACCAAACUGUUAAUGAGAGGAGUGGGGAUUCAGUAAUGAACUUUAACCUACAGCAGCCAUAUUAUCAGAGUAUGGCAUACGGGCCAUCUAUUCCACCUAUAGGGAACAAGAUCCCACAAGGAUUUGUUCCAAAUGAUUACAGGAUUGGAGAGCAGAGAGCGUUGUUAUCAGCAUCGGGAGUCACACAUACAACAGCUGAGGGUGAGAGAUCUGAGGGUGUUAGAGAACAGGUGGCAAGGACUCUCAGGGAAUUUGGUUUUGAGCCCAAAGGGCAUACUAGGUCAUAUAGGAAGCCCUAUCCUGAAUUUUUUGACACUGUGCCAUAUCCUCGAGGUUUUAGAAUCCCGGACUUUGUGAAAUUUUCUGGGGAUGAUUCAAAAACUACCUACGAGCAUGUAGGACAAUACCUAGCGCAGGUAAGUGAAAUUGGUAUAACAGAUGCCCACAAAGUGAAAUUGUUUCCUUUAUCAUUAUCUAGUACCGCUUUCAAUUGGUUUACAUCUUUAGCACCAAAUUCAGUUACUACGUGGGCAUGUUUAGAGCAGAAAUUUCAUGAUUAUUUUUAUUGUGGUGAUACUGAACUCAGGCUAUCACAUCUUACCAUGGUUAGGCAGAAAUAUAAUGAAACUGUUUCUGAAUACAUCAGAAGGUUUAGAGAAACAAGAAACAAAUGUUAUAGCUUAGCUUUAGGGGAAAAGGAUCUGGCCGAUUUAGCUUUCGCAGGGUUAUCAUCCUAUCUUAGGGAGAAACUAGAGGGGCAAGAUUUUACUGACAUAAACCAAGUCAUGCAGCGUGCUAUCACCCAUGAAAGUCGUGCUAGGGACAAUAAACAGUAUAGCCGAUUUAGAGAUACGAAUGGCAGGGAGAAAGAGAAGCAGGGGGUUAACAUGUUAGAGCCCAAUAAUGACAGUGAUGAAGAGACAGAUGUAUGUGUGGCUGAAUGGGUAGAUGCGCCAAAGGGUAGGCCCAUGACGUGUGCUUUUUUAAAGCCAAGUCUAGGGAAAAGGGAAGAGAUGAAAUAUACAUUUGAUGUGUCCAAGUGUGAUAAAUUGUUUGACAUCUUAUUACAUAAUAACAUCAUUAGAUUAAGGGAGGGGCAUGUGAUACCACCCCCUGAGCAAUUGGCUAAGAAAGAUUACUGUAAAUGGCAUAAUUCAUUUUCUCAUUCUACUAACGAGUGUAAUUAUUUUUGUCGUCAGAUACAAUCGGCCCUAGCUGAUGGACGAUUGACAUUUGGAGAAGCUAACAAAAUGAAGCUUGAUAAAGAUCCGUUCCCUAUCAAUGUAAUUGAUUUCGAGGGCAAAAGAGUGUUAGUUCGGACAGAUCAGGCCGAAACUACUAAAGGCAAGAAUGUGGUUAUCUCUGAUGAUCUCAAACUCAAGAUGAUAAAACCGAAGAGUCCGGAAGUCGGUGUGUGGAAAAUAAACGAGAGAAAAACGGUUCAGUCUGUCUUUAAACCGACUUCUGAAUUUUUGAUCAAUAAAUAUACUUCACAAUGGAAAAGAAAUGAGUUCCAGCAUCCUAGAGGUUUCAAGAGACCCAGGACUCCAGAAUGGGCACGAGGCAGUUUCUUUGGACAGAGGGGAGGGCCGUUGAACUGGAGAAGCAGGGAAGACUGUGCUCAUGCAGAAAGCCAAUAUUCGUUCUCACAACGUGAAUUCCCGAAGCGGCCAUAUUUGGAGACAGAGCGAAGGCAUGGAGGUGGAGUGUGGAGCAGGCUAGGGAGAAGUAUGGGGAGUCGGCCCUGGGCUAUUGCCAUAUCAAAAGGCCCCGAGGAGUUGCGCUCGCAGAUUCAAAAGAAAUGGGUUUCUCGCAACCCAGCAGAUGCCAGAAGGCUACAUAUGGGCAAAAAACAGAAGAAGGGGGUGUUAUUGUUGAUGGGCGAGAUGAGCCACUGAGCAAAAGAUGCUCAAAAGUCAUAGUGGGAACAGUGGAGUGCGACAUAUUAAAUGAUACAGAAGGUUCCCAGGCAGAGGUGGCAAAGCAGAAUGGUCAGGUGGUUGUCACUAAGAUUUACACAAAGAAGGGUGAGGAAAUGGCAGCUAAGCCAAGCAUAGGGCAUGGACGCGUAGCUGCUGCUAAGACAAACAAAUCACAAGGGAGCAUGCUGCGAAGUGGUGGUGAUCAAGGGGUGAGCAGCAAGCGCAUGAGGCUUGACGUAGGGGCUGCACGAGAAAUGAAUAACUUUGCUAGCUGGGAGGGUGAACGCAGGGCUGAAAUGAUUGCAAAUCAACGCAUAGUUGGUCCCGGUGUUAUGAUGGAUGGCCACUAUAGGGGGGAGCAUCACACAUUGGCCGAACAAUCAGGUUGCAGUAAUAAGCAAAGAGCAAUACCAGCAAGAAUGUCGGUCAGAGAACAGGUUGAUACAGGCGAAAAAAUAUGUUGAUUGAUGUCACCCAGAAUGUAGGUCCUACUGGUCGAGCUUCAGCUGGCAGUGUACUGGAUGUGGGGGACAAGAAAAAUCAUGGUUCAGUUGCGCCCAGUACAAAACCAGCAUCGAGAUGGUGUCCACCUGGAUUAAGCCGUACGCAAAAGCGUCGUGUCCAGCGGUUGAGGACUAUGGAAAUGACAAAAAAGAUGGAAGAGGAGGAAUGUGACAGAUGGUUUAACGAGGAUAGGCCAAUGGUUAUCCCUAAGAAAACGUGGAGGGAGAAACGAUUGGCCAGGGAGGAAAAAGAUGAUGACAACAGCAAUGGUUCCGAUAAAGAAGAAAGCACUGAAGCACAAGGGGGCAUGGAUAUAAACAUGGUGUUUGUUUUACCUACUGAGUUCGGAGCAGGAGAGGGAGAUGUGGCUGAGCUAACAUUGGGGGCUGAGCGUGCUGUGUUUGAAAAAACAAGUGAGCAGGGAUCUCAUCUAAAACCAUUAUAUGUUCGUGGUCACAUUGAUGGGAAGCCAAUGGGGGGCAUGUUGGUCGACGGGGGAGCAGGUGUGAAUGUGAUGCCGCUAUCCGUGUUUUCUAAGUUAGGAUACAAAGAGAGUGAGCUAAUUAAGACGAAUAUGAAUCUAAGUGGGUUUUCAGGGGAGCCAUCACAAGCAAAAGGAAUUAUGUCUGUUGAACUCACAGUGGGCAGCAAAACUGUCCCAACGGCCUUUUUCGUGGUGGAUGUGAAAGGGAGGUAUAAUGUUUUGCUAGGGCGAGACUGGAUACAUGCUAAUGGUUGUGUGCCAUCUACUUUGCAUCAGUUUUUGGUUCAAUGGGUAGGUGAUCAGGUGGAGGUGAUUGAAGCAGACACCGCUAUGUGUAUCGCACUCAUGGAAAACGCCAAUGGAAUGGCAGCACAGUAAUAUGCGGUGUUUGACAGGAAGAGAUUUGUCAGGAUAUGAUUUUAUCAGUGUAGAGCGAGAUAGUUUUGUGCCUAUUCAUGUAAAGCCGGCUGACAUAGCACGGCUCAAUGACUCAGCAUUAUAAAUGAAUGAACACGAUAAUUUAAAAUGGUUAAAGGAGAGGACAGAUGAAUAUCGUUUAAACAAAAACGAUAUGGGUGAGGUGGUGGAUGAUUUUGAUGACCUUGGAAAGUUAGGACAGGGGUUCUCAUCUGUUGAUGAACUAGAGGAAGUCGAUAUUGGAGACGGAAAGGUGCCAAGACCAACAUUUGUAAGUGCUAAAUUAAUAGCCGAUCAGAGGCAAAAGGUAUGUGAUUUACUUAGAGAAUUUAGAGACUGUUUUGCAUGGGAUUAUACUGAGAUGCCAGGGCUGAGUAGGGAGUUGGUUGAGCAUAGGCUACCAAUUAAGCAUGGGUUUAGGCCACAUAAGCAGCCACCUAGACGAUUUAACCACGACAUCCAUGACAGAGUUAAGGAAGAAGUUGAUCGGCUGUUGAAAGCAAAUUUCAUAAGGCCAUGCAGGUAUGCGGAAUGGAUCUCCAAUAUAGUGCCGGUUGAGAAGAAGAAUACAAGGAAGAUCAGGAUUUGUGUGGAUUUUAGGGAUCUAAACAGGGCCACCCCGAAAGAUGAAUACCCAAUGCCUAUAGCCGAUGAACUUGUUAAUCAGGCUUCAGGGAAUAAAAUCAUUAGUUUUUUGGACGGUAAUGCAGGGUAUAACCAGAUUUUUAUGGCCGAAGAGGAUGUAUCUAAGACAGCCUUUCGUUGCCCUGGUUUUGUGGGGUUGUUUGAAUGGGUUGUGAUGACAUUUGGAUUAAAGAAUGCUGGUGCAACAUAUCAACGGGCCAUGAACCUUAUUUUUCAUGAUCUUUUGGGCAUUGUGUUAGAAAUCUACAUUGAUGAUGUUGUGGUGAAAUCGGCUGCUUUCAGUGACCAUUUAGCCGAUUUACGGUUGGCAUUGGGGAGGAUGCGAAAGUAUGGUUUAAAGAUGAAUCCCCUCAAAUGCGCAUUCAGAGUGUCGGCUGGUAAGUUUUUAGGCUUUAUGGUGCAUGAGCACGGGAUUGAGAUUGAUCCAAAAAAGGUGGAAGCAAUUGAUAAAUUGGGAGAGCCGACAUGCAAAAGAGACGUUCAAAGGUUAUUAGGAAAGAUUAAUUACUUGAGGCGAUUUAUAUCAAAUUUGGCCGGCAAAAUUGAGUCAUUCGUACCUCUUAUUCGGCUUAAACAUGAAUCUGACUUUAAGUGGGGAGCUGAACAGAGGGAGGCAUUCGCUGUUAUUAAGGGAUAUUUGGCAAAGCCGCCAGUGCUUAAAGCAUCCAAGGCAGGAGUGCCUUUCAAAUUGUAUAUUGCAGCACAAGAGAAGGUAAUCGACGCUGUUUUAAUACAAGAACAUGGUGGGAAAGAGAGUGUGGUGGCCUAUUUAAGUCGUCGUCUGCUGGACAGCGAGAGCAGGUAUGUGUUCAUUGAAAAACUCUGCUUAUCCUUGUAUUUUGCAUGCACCAAGUUUCGACAUUAUUUGCUCUCAAGUACUUGUACUGUAGUAUGUCAAAUGGAUGUGGUUAAAUAUAUGUUGCAAAAGCCGAUUCUUAGUGGUCGAGUGGGAAAGUGGGCAUAUGCUUUGAUAGAGUACGAUCUAAUUUAUGAGUCUUUAUCUUCUAUGAAAGGGCAAGUUAUAGCUGAUUUUAUAACUGAUCAUAGGGUUGAUGUAGAGCAGGAAAUCUCAUAUCUUGAUAUUCGUCCUUGGCAAUUAUUUUUUGAUGGUUCUGUGUGCAAAGAAGGGCAGGGAAUCGACUAUGUUUUAGUGUCACCAAAUGGUUUAUUGCAUGAAACAUCAAUUAAGAUUGAAUAUUGUUGCACUAACAAUCAGAUUGAGUAUGAGGCUUUGUUGUUUGGGUUGAUGCAUUUAGAUGGUAUGGGAGUAAAAGAUAUAGACGUGUUUGGGGAUUCGUUGCUUGUGGUACAGCAGGUGAGAGGGGAAUUUCAAUGUUUAGAUGGAUGCUGCAUAAUUAUUUAGACAAAUGUCUAGAUAUUAUUAAAAAAAUGGAUACUUUCACUAUUGUGCAUAUAUCUAGAGAUAAGAAUGGUAGAGCUAAUUUUUUGGCACAACAAGCAUCGGGAUAUAACAUAGAGAGAGGGCAGUUCUUUAUCCAGAAAGAGCCAAUGUUUGCAGGCAUCAAUAGUAUAGAAAGGAGUAACUUAGGCCAUAAAAAAUUCGAGGUCGAGCAGCAAGAUGGGAUGGAUAAUGCUGAUUGGAGAACACCAUUAAUCGAAUGUCUGCAAAACCCCAGCAAUACCAAAGAUAGAAAUGUUCGGAGGCAAGUUUUGAAAUAUACUUUAAUGGAGGGUGAGUUGUAUAGACGGACGAUAGAUGGUUUGCUGCUGAAAUGUUUAGAUGAGGAGGAGUCAAAAGUAGCUAUGGGUGAGGUCCAUGAGGGUAUGUGUGGCACUCAUCAGUCAGCCCAUAAAAUGAGGUGGAUGCUAAAACGGGCAGGGUUUUAUUGGCCGACCAUGAUGGAGGAUUGUUUUAGAUAUUUCAAAGGGUGUGAGGCAUGUCAAAAGUUUGGGGAUAUUCAGUCAGCGCCAGCUAGCACAUUGCAUCCUAUUAUAAAACCGUGGCCAUUUAGAGGGUGGGGUUUAGAUUUUAUUGGUGAAAUUCAUCCAUGCUCAUCUAGAAGGCAUCGGUUCGUGUUGGUGGCUACUGAUUAUUUUACUAAAUGGACUGAAGUUGUGCCUUUAAAAAAUAUGACGCAUAAGGAAUUAAUUAGUUUUGUAUUAGAGCAUAUUGUAUACAGAUUUGGCAUUCCACAAACAUUAACAACAGAUCAAGGAGCUGCUUUUAUGUCUCACCAAUUUAAAGAUUUUGCCAAAUCUUUGCGGAUCAAGUUAUUGAAUUCGUCGUCGUAUUAUGCGCAAGCUAAUGGGCAGGCCGAAUCUAGCAACAAGGUGUUGAUCAGGUUGAUAAAGAAGAAGAUUACAGAACAGCCGAAGAGGUGGUAUGAAGUGUUGUCAGAGGCGUUAUGGGCUCAUCGGGUAUCUCGACAUGGAGCAACUAAAGUAACACCAUUUGAAUUGGUUUAUGGACAAGAGGCGGUGCUUCCUAUUGAGGUUAAUUUACAGGCUUGCAGAGUAGCUUGUCAGAAUUCGUUAUCGGCUGAGGUGUAUGGUGAGCUAAUGCUAGACAAAAUUGAUGGGAAUAAUGAAAGUCGAUUAACAGCUUUAAGGGAAAUAGAGAAGGAAAAGCUGAGAGUAGCGAAAGCUUAUAAUAAAAAGGUGAAGGAGAAAUCGUUUCAGAUUGGAGAAUUGGUAUGGAAAACGAUUUUACCCGUGGGAGUCAAAAAUAAUAAAUUCGGAAAAUGGUCGCCGAAUUGGGAAGGACCAUUCAAAGUUGUAGGUAUUGUGCACGAGAAUGCAUAUUUCGUUGAGGAUUUGCAAGGAAAGAAAUUACCCAAAGCACUCAACGGUAAGUAUUUGAAAAAGUACUAUCCUAGCGUGUGGCAGGGGGUGUGCUAAGAUUUGAAACUAGUAGCGGAGUUAGAGUCUCCUUAUAGUUGGAGCCGGGUAUAAUCUAAUAAUUCUUAUACUGGCUGAAGUGAGCAGGCCGUAUGAGCACAUAAUAGCACAUGUAGAAUCGAUUUGGGGAAGGAUGUACCUUUCGGUGAGUGCUCUGCGGAUGGAGGUCGAUUGCUGGCAGUGGACGACCGGUUGGAGGAGUUUCGAGCUCGAGCGCUUGGAGAUUUGAGCUGGCGGAGCGAUGUCCGAGGACGCCGCGCACAGCCGUCGUCGCGCUGGGUCGAUCUGGCCUAGUCGCGCUGGCCGCAGCACCGGAGGUAGCCACGACGCUCCUGAAAUGAAGACCAGCCCGUAGGGAAAGCCCGGUCGCCACAGCACACCAAAUUUCUUGGAACCCUAGCAGUGGCUGAUGGAUGCAAAUAUGUUGGUCAGAGGCAGCUUCGAUGCGCUGGAGAACGAUGCGCUGAACGGCUGGAGAACGAAAAAGGUAAAGGGCUGGACGUACAGGUUGUUUGGGCUGAUUUCAGUACAGGAGAUGGGCCCAAGAUUGAUAUUGGCUGAAGACAUGGCCGAUAGGUGUCAUCGUCCUAAAAGAAAAAAAGGGAAAGUAUUAUAUAUAUAUAUAUAUAUAUAUAUAUCACAUGAUUGAGAGCCGAUUUAAUAUGGAAUCGUUGCUAAGUUGUGUUUUUCGACACACUAUGUUCAUUCGAAAAACAGGGGGGCAUGUGUUGAAUGCAAUUUUUGUGGUGCUGUUAGUGCAGGAGAUAUCCAGAGCCACCUGCCAGAAGAAAGCAGAGGAAGAAAAAAACAAAACAAAUUAUUAGCCGGUGUAUGGAUAUACAGUGGUAUACGGCCAGAAAAAGUGGAAGAAGAGCACCCGUAUAAGCAUCUACGGAUGACCAAAUUGGCAUGGCCACAAGCACUGAAGGUUAUUAGGAUUAUUAUUCAUUUAGAUCAAAUUAGUUCCUAUUUUCUAGAGUAAGUCAGUUUUAUGUUUGGUCAGGGAUAAACUAGAAAGUUAAGUUGUUUAGAUUUUUAUGGAGUCGGUUCCUAUUUUCUAGAGUGAGUCGGUUGUAGAUGGAUUAUAAAGCCUUAUUGUAAUAAUGCAGAGAGGGCAGAACCUAUAGUUAUCAUUUCAUUUAAUCUAGUAUCUAUUAUCUUCGUUCCUCUUUGGUGCUUUAUCGAGAAAAGCAUUCGAGUUUCUCUGCGAAAGUGAGAUCAACGCCUACUGCUCAACCAAUUUCUGGUAGCAACAGACGCCUGCUGCUCAACCAAUUUCUGGUAGCAACACAUUCUUGAUCUGUGCUGAUUUACCAUGGAAUUAUGGCCUCCUAACCAUAAACUAGUUGGUAGGACAAGUUCUUGGUUGCCUCAUGACAAGACAUCAUGUAAGCCCAUAAUGCUUCUACCAACUUGUCAUGUCAUUGUUUCAGGUACUCAUUGAUCUUACGCUUGAUCAACUUGAUUAAGUUUUUAUUUGAUGCCUCGGUAUUUCCAUUGGCCUGAGCAUAAUAUGGUGAUGACUAACCAGGAUGACUCCUAUUUCUUUAGAAAACUUUCCAAAUUCUUCUGAUAUGAACACUAUCUAUUGAGGCCACAGACCCAUGUGCCUAAUAAGUAGAACAAGCGGUAUGCCUCAUACAUGUGGUGUGUUGGGUUUCUCAACCUAGCCUAAGUAGUGACCUCUGGGUUACUUGCCCUUGACCUAGCACUACUCACCACUGGCAUGGACCAACAGUAGCCGAAGACCCACUCGUUUCACCUUCCUUAUGGUGAGAUAAUGAUCACAAUAUAAGAUGUUGCCCUAAUCUUUUGGAUGUCUUUACAUAGACUCCAUGUCAUUAAUUGGGGUUGUGGACCUGAGAACUAGAUGGACCUAGUGGGGGAGUACUAUAGGAUUAGGCCACCUGAGGAUGCUGAGGCUGAUAGGUCCAAGUAAGUACAACAUAAAUCAAGUAUGUUCCAUUAUUAUAAAACAUUAUUUGUUCUCACGUUGUUUUUGUUCUUUCACAAGAGAACGUUAGGGGUGCCCUAUAGUCAGAUCUGUCUCCACUUAGGUAUCUAUUCACUAGGUGCUACCAAGUUGAGGUCAAGAGGCACAUUAGAGUGUGGCUCUGGCACUUUGUAGCUACUUUCUUAUUCCCCAACACUUCUGGCAACAAUAUCAAUUGGGCGAUGCUACAGAUCCUUAAUAAGGAGAGGGAGAACAUAAGUCAGUUUAGCUAGGGCACCACAGAUCUAUCUUGGAUGUAGCGACAUCUCGCAUAGCCUACCAUCGUGAUGUCGCAAACAUUAGCAUGUGUGGUUGUUCUUACCUGGUUUAGUUGUCAUGUUUGGAUCAUUGGUCCGUUAGGAGACCUAACCUUUGUGGUUUUUGAAAGUUGCCUAGAGGGGGGUGAAUAGGCGAAACCUAAAAUUUAUAAACUUAAAUGCACACUAAGGUCGAGGGUUAGCGUUAGAAUUAAAUUCAAGUCCGAAGAGAGGGAACAACAAAUCAAACAAGAAUCAAGGCGAUUGAACACGAUGAUUUGUUUUACCGAGGUUCGGUUCCAAAGAACCUAGUCCCCGUUGAGGAGGUCACAAAGACCAGGUCUAUUUCAACCCUUUCCCUCUCUCAAACGGUCACUUAGACCGAGUGAGCCUUCUCCUUAAUCAAUCGGGUCACUAAGAUCCCGCAAGGACCACCACACACUUAGGUGUCUCUUGAUUUGAUUACAAGUCACUUGAGAGCAAGAAUGAGAAAGGAAGAAAGGCAUUCCAAGAAACAAGAGCGCAAAAGAACACGAACACACACUCUCUCAAGUCACUAAAUGGUUGAGAUGAAUUCUAGACUUGGAGAGGGUUUGAUCUUUGGAAAUGUGUCUUGGAGUGGAUGCACUAGCUCUUGUAUUGAAUGUGAUCUCUGAAAAACUUGGAUGCCAAAGGUUGUGGUGGUUGGGGGUAUUUAUAGCCCCCAACCACCUUGGUAGCCGUUGGCCAAGGCUGCUGGCGAUGGGCGCACCGGACAGUCCGGUGCGCCACCGGACAGACACUGUUCCUUGUCUGGUGCGCCGCCAUGUCACUUAACCGUUAGGGUUCUGAGUUGGUCGACCAUUGGAGACUUUGUCUUCUUGCCACACCGGACAGUCCGAUGCCCUCUGACUUCGCUGCUCUGACUUCUGUCGCGGCACUGUAGCUGUGAUAUCCUGGCCCCUGGGAUGGUGAUUUCCUGGCCCAAGGCUUAAUAGAAUUAAUAGAGUAUCCAUACCAAUAAGGUGCAUCUUCUUUUUUGGAAGCCUAUAUCAAAAGAACCUCCAAUUUAAGCGUGCUUGGCUUGGAGCAAUUUGGGAUGGGUGACCGACCGGGAAGUUUUCUCGGGUGCGCAUGAGUGAGGACAAAGUGUGCACAAAAGUAUCGUGUUGGUCUAUGGGGACAAUAUAUGAUCCUAGAGAGCUGCCAGAAGUAAGUACCGCCGCUCCAGGGAUUGGACGAGAUGUUACAAGUGGUAUCAGAGCCGACCCUCGCGGUUUCACGGGCGUGUGUGGGUUAGGGGGUUCAGGUAUAUGGCGCAUGUGGGCCCAAAGUGGUCACAUGGCAUGGCAUAUGACGACACUAGACACACAGACGUGGCUAAGAGGGGAGGUUCCUGAAUUGGGGUUGACCAACGAGGACGUUGGUAUUCUAAGGGGGGGUGGAUUGUGAUAUCCUGGCCCCUGGGAUGGUGAUUUCCUGGCCCAAGGCUUAAUAGAAUUAAUAGAGUAUCCAUACCAAUAAGGUGCAUCUUCUUUUUCGGAAGCCUAUCUCGAAAGAACCUCCAAGUUAAGCGUGCUUGGCUUGGAGCAAUUUGGGAUGGGUGACCGACCGGGAUGUUUUCUCGGGUGCGCAUGAGUGAGGACAAAGUGCGCACAAAAGACUCGUGUUGGUCUGUGGGGACAAUAUAUGAUCCUAGAGAGCUGCCAGAAGUAAGUACCGUCGCUGCAGAGAUUGGACGGGGUGUUAUAUUUGUGCAAUCGCUAUCGAUUAUCUAACUUGAACCACCGGAUGCAUAAACCUACAAAACAAUUUUAGGCCUUGUUCUUAGGUACCCAAACGGUCUUGGGUUCUUACACAUUAGAAACAAGCACCUUGGGUACCCAAACACAGGUCUUAGGACUCUUGUGUUUGCCCCCAACAUAUUUGGCAACUAUUUUGCCUGAUUUGUUAGUUAAAACAUAAGAUGCAUCAAAAGUCUUAAAUGAAACAUUAUGUUCAUUUGAUGCAGCGGGAAUUUUCUUUCUAGACAUUUUAACAUGAGUGGUAUGCCUAGAGCUAGAAGCCUCAUUUUUAUACAUAAAUGCAUGGUGAGAAACAUUGUGAGGUUUUCUAGCAUGAAUCUGAGGUUUUCUAGCAUGAAUCUUCCUAAUUUUGUGUUCGAGAUAGUUUGCAGGGUAUAAAAUGUAGCCUUCACUAUCCUGAACCAUGGGAGCUUUGCCCUUAACAAAAUUAGACAGUUUCUCAGGGGCAUUAAGCUUGACAUUGCUCCCCUGUUGGAAACCAGCGCCAUCCUUAAUGCCAGGGCAUCUCCCAUUAUAGAGCAUGCUACGAGCAAAUUUAAUUUUUUCAUUUUCUAGUUCAUGCUCAGUAAUUUUAGCAGUUAAUUUAGCUAUGUGAUCAUUUUGUUGUUUAAUCAUGACAAGUUGAUCAUCAAUAGCUUCAACAUUAACAUCUCUACAUCUAAUGCAAAUGGAAACAUGCUCAACAGUAGAUGUAGAAGGUUUGCAAGUAUUUAAUUCUUCUAUCUUAGCUUUUAACAUGGCAUUUUCAUUUAUAAGACAUGAAAUAGAAUCAAUGCAAACAUUCAACUUUUCAAUCUUAGAAAUUAAACUAUCAUUCUCAGUUUUAAGACUUGAAAUUGAAUCAUGACAAAUGCUAAGCUCCUUAGAUAAGUUUUCACAUUUUUCUAUUUCCUGAGCAUAAGCAUUUUUCAAUUUAACAAAUUUUUUGUUUUCUUUAAUAAGGAAGUCCUCUUGGCUUUCCAAGAGGUCAUCCUUCUCAUUAAUGGUUUCUAUUAAUUCAUUUAAUUUUUUCUUUUGAUCCAUGCUAAGGUUAGCAAAAAGAGCAAGUAAAUCAUCUUCAUUAUCGCUAGAGCUACCAUCAUCACUAUUCACUAGAUGUUGUAUAUUUGGGGGUGGCUCUAGAGUGUACCUUCUUGUCGUCUGUAACACCCUGAUUUUGGGGUAUAAAAUUUCUUUCUAAUUAUCACCCAAAAUCAUGUGUUACUCUUCCUUUUCUCACUCUAGGCUUUCUCUCUCUCUAGAUUCUUUCUCCCUUUUUCCUUUUGAUUAGAACUAACUUAAACUAGUGGAGAUUAAUUAUUUAUUUUUGUCAAAACCUUAUGAGUCAUGACAUGUUGCAUCAUGCUGAGCUUAAAAUAUUCUUUGAAGUAUUGCACAAGUUUGAAUUUAUUUGAAUUUGAAACCUAGUUUGAAUUUGGAUUUGAAACUCUAUAGAAAAAGAAAUGGAAAAGGAAUUAGAAAAUCCAGAGAAAAAGGAAAAGAGAAAGCAGCCCAGUCGGCCCACUAAGCCCAGCCAAGCCGCGCGCCGGUGCCGCCUGACAGGCGGACCCUGCCUGUCAACGGCAGUUCUCCCUCGCGCGCGCCCUCUCUCUCUCUCUCUCGCUGCCCAGUGGGGCCGAUCUAUCGGCGCCCAAUUUUCUCCCCCGCGCGCUCCCUCUCUCUCUGUCUCGUGGGCCCGGAUCGCCAGUCGCCGAGCCGUUGCCCCGCGCACCCCUUUCUUCUCUCUCUGCACCGUGGGCCUGACCUGUCAGUUCCGCCCCCUCCGCGCUCACCGUGGACCGGCGCGUGCGCACACGUCGCCGGAUUUCUCGGCCACGACGCCCGCCCACGUGCCCAGCUCCCUUCUUAGAGCCCCGCCAAUGCCCCGCGCACAUCCCUCGCCUUAUUUUGCUCAGCUUCACCCUCUCUCGCGCUCUACCCACGCCGCCAGCCGCUGCCAGAGACCCGCUGCCGGAGACCCGCGCCCGCGUUCUUGGCCAUCCAGCUCGCCGAAGACCGUCCCAAGCCUCCCCGAGCUCCGCCCCGAGGUGAGACACCCGUCCCUGUGCCCAAUUUCCCCUAUUGCGCCCUAUGUUCGGCCAAUUUUGCCUUCGCCGGUGCUCGACCGCGACGGACCGCCGUGCUCGCGCGGUGGCCGACCAAUUUAGCCCGGUCUAGUUCCCCGGCGUUAGUCCCUAAGGUGCCUCUGCCUCUGCUGAAGCUAGCCAAGGCCUUAGCGCGCCUUAAGUCUCUUCCCCGUGGCCGGAAUGGCUCACCGGAGUUGCUCCGGCCCGACCGAGGCUUCCUCACCGCCGUUCUCCCUUCUCUGCCCGUGGAUUCAUGGCCUCUUCCCCGCCAUUGAGUUCGCCGUGGCGCCCUCUCCCUCUCUGCCCAACUCCGGCGACCCCGGAGCCACCCUAGCCCGCGCCAGCCUCAACUCCGGCGACCUCACCGCCGCGGAGAGGAGCGGCGCCGCCCACAGACAUUCAACCCCCUCGGUCUGAUCCCUUCCGUCCAAUUCAGAUCGAACGGCUCAGAUCACAGAUAACGCUUCGCGCACGCACGCCCCAGCGCCCUGGCCCGCAUGUCAGCGCCCAAACCCUCUAGCGCUAGGCCCGCUCGUUCAGUGCGCUCCCCCCCUCUGUCGCUGACACUCCCUGGGCCGCCUGUCAGCGCUCACCCGCAGAUCUAAUCUCAGCCGUUGGUUUUAGACCUGACGGUUAAAUUCACCCGAUACCCCUUUGCGCGUUAGUUUUCUUAAAGAGACCCUCGGUUUAUUGGAAAUCAACCCACCGUCCCUGGUUUUCGCCCGCAGGCCCCUGUAAUCUUGCAGAUUUAGCCCUGAACUUUUAAAUAUUCACAGAAUUAGCCCUAAUUUCAUAUUUUGAAUCCCCAAACUUGUUUAUUUCGUAACUUUUGCAUAUGAACUCCAAAUUUAGUGAUUCAAAUUGUAAAAUGUUCAUAGAAUUAUUCUCUGUUUAAAUAAAAUGGUUUCACUUACUAUCUGCACACUCUAAUUUUUAGGAUUGAAUAUGAACUAAUGUAGAUGUAUUUUUAUUUAUUUAAUAAAAUAAAUAAAAGGAGAACCUUAGAGAUUUAAACAUGUGUAAGCUUUUGAGAUUAAUAAUGUGUAUUACAUGAGUUUACCUCUGUUCUAAAUUUUAGGUCACAAUAAAAUAAGUUGAACUAUGUUUAUGUACUUGUAAGUAACACUUAGGGGAAAUAAUAAUCUAUUUUCAAAUAAAGUUAAUGUAGGUUAUAGUUUAUGUUAUACUUUGAAUUCAUUAUCCCUUAUGUAGUAUUAUGUCUUUUUAAGAUGUGUUCCAAUGUUUGUACAUGUUUGGUGUGAUGUUCAUAUGUACUUUCCAAAUGUAUUGAAUACAUGCUCGCUUUAUUUAGACAACGAGCAGUCCGAGGUUCCUGAGUGUGUUGUUGGAGACCUCCCUGAGCAACCACCUGGUGAAGGCAAGUGUCCUCUGACCUAUUAUGUCCUACAUACUUUAUGAUUCACUAUCCCGCCUUACUUUAUGGAACCUAAGGAUUGACUAGUCUGUAUUCACUUAUCCUUGUUUACCUUUUGGGUUAUCAUGGUUAGCAUGUUGCUAUUGCCUUAACUUAAUCAAUAAACAUGAUGUGAACAUUUAUGAUACGAUACUGUUAUCCUGAUUAUGUGGAUGAUCUUGUGAUACCUUAGGGGGCUCAGGCCUUUUUCCUGAGUACCUCUCCGUAAGGACCUAUUCGUGGAGUGACCACCUGGGAUAACAUUGCAACCAUGAGGGUGGAACGGGAUGCCCUUAACUGAUUAAUUAGAUGAACCUGGGGGUGAGGGCCAUCAAUGGGGGCCAGAGCGUAGUGCUCGCUCUGCCAAGGUUGGGGUACAGAGGUUCUUUCGAUUUGGUUUUGUUAGUCACCCACCUUGGGGAGGUGUACUGCGUUUGUACGACUAGUGAAACCUAAUGAGCAGCUAUGCACCAGGGGAGUCUUUGUAAAGGCUACGUAGUGUAUCCCUGGCCAUUCACCUUGGUAGUGAAGAUCGGGUCUGUACAACCCAGGCUGGAAAGGGAACACGACUUGUGGGUAAAGUGUACAACCUCUGCAGAGUGUUAAAAACUGGUAUAUCAGCCGACCUCACGGUUAAGAGCAGCCUUGGGAUCCUCUUUGAUUAGAAGAACUUUGGAUACUUUUAUGAUGAUGAUUAAUAGUGAUGUUAUAAAAUUUGAUCUCUGGUAUUUCCUCUUGGAGGGAGUGCCUCUGGGUAAUAACUGGGUUUAUUACUAAAAGUUGGCUCUACUAAUAAUAAUAAAUACUUGACUAACCUAAAAGCAACUGCUUGACCUCAACCCCAUAUACAACUAGUCCACUUUAGCCAAACGAGACAUUUGCUAAGUACGUUGUUGUGUUUGCUUUACACACUACCCCCACCCCAGGUUGUCCCCAGUGUACUCAGUGCUUAGGAGGUGAUGCUGGCAACAUGGAUGACUUCGAGGAGUUCCAGGAAUAUGACGAGUUCUAGUUGUUUCUUAGUGGCAAACCCCCAGUCAGCUGCCUGUGUAGGCUUAGCAUCUACGUUUCGUAUUUCCGCACUUUGAUAGUUAUGUUAAAGACAAUGGUUAUGUAAUAGACUCUGUGGAUGUCUUGGACAUCUUGAUGUAAUAAAGUACCUUUCCGCUAUUUAUUUCGAGCAUUGUGUGAUGAUGUCCAAUUAUGUAACCGUUGUGUACGUGAGUUUCUGAUCCUGGCACGUACAUGGUUCCCAUUCAGUUUGCCUUCCAAAACCGAGUGUGACAUAAGUGGUAUCAAAGGCUUGCUGACUGUAGGACCGCUAACCUAGACUAAAAUGGUCGAUCUAAGGACUAUAGACCCUUACUCUUACCUUGACCUUAGAGUCUUUUCAAAAGUUGGUCAUCUUGACCAACUCUAUGUUAUUUACUUAUCUCAAAAGUUUUGUCUCACUUUUCUUUCUGUUCACUUCCUGGUCUAAUAGUUCUACUCUUACUCUUGUGCUUAAGAUGUCUUCUGUAGAUGGCCCGUAUCAGGUGCACUGCACGUAAGUCUUUGAUCCCCUUUUUGCCUUCUCGCCUAGCAAAGCGUCCACUGCGUCGCACGGUGCCAGGUCAGUCUAGCCACCUAGAGAGACUGCAUCGUCGCCUGCAUGAGGAGCAGGAGCGCCGACGCCAGGAGCAGGAGCAGUAGGACUCUUCCCCCUCGCCUCAGCAGGAGGUGGAGUCUGAGAGGCCACCUUCCUCUGCACCUCAGCCAGAGAUACCCCCUGCACCACCUCAGGGCACCCCGGCUACUAGAGGAGACCCUGACAGAGAUGGAGACGACGACGCCGGUGGCAGUUUGAGCCACGGCACGGAGCUCUCGAAGGAGCCGGAGCCAGAGGGAUGGAUCGCUAGACCCAUCACUCGUGACGCCGCUCGCGGGUGUCACUUCCAUGACGCUCUCGAUGCCCUGUUGCGUCGGGCCUUCGACUGACACACAUGGUCCAUCGAGUACCGUUGUGUAGUCUACCAGCAUCGUCGCGGGCUAUACCCGGACCAGUGGGAGGCUACUUGCUUGGUGCGCCAUCCGGACAAUGAUCUCCGGGGUGCAGAACCCUUCUUAGAGCACUAUUCUAUUACUGAGAGGGAUACUGCCGAGGCAGCCAUGCAAGAUGCAGCACGACGGGCGCUUUCUCAGUAUUGCUCGUUGUUCAGCAGGGUAGCUGAUGGCCUUGACCUGAAGUACUACCCUUGUCGUUCGACCGACAGUGCUGGAGGUGUGAUUGCCUCGCCAGUUGGUGAGGGCAAUCCCAGGCUGAACAACAUGGUCAACUUGGCUGCCGUGCUCAACACAGAGUUGGACCACGCCCUUGACGAGUUGGGCAAGGUUCGGGCGGAGGUUGCAGAAUUGCGUGCUGAGUGCACAGCACGCCACUAUCUCGAUGGUGGUUCUCCCGCCCCUAUCGGGAUUCAGCACCAUUAUCGUUCACCGCCCCGUGGUCGCUUCGACUAUGGUACCCCAAACUGCAGGACCCGGAUAGAUUUGGAUCCCUAGAUCGACAGAGUCGGUGUCUGUAAUAAUGCUUAGUUCAGUAUCUUAGUCUAGUCAGUCUUAGUUAGAGUUAGUUUACUUAUUUUAUGUUGGAUGCUUGUUAUGAUGGACAUGUACUGAAGUUGGAUAUUUGUAAUGAUUAUCACCAAGGUGUGGGUAUCCCCUGUAACUUGGUGUAGUUAUUAAUAAAGUCAGUUAUUUAGUUGGGUAAUCCAAUUGUUUCCACUUUCCUCUUUAUCUGAGAAGCUAUCAGUGAAGAUGGUCAAUUGUUCAGUUCUAUGAAGAUUUUCUAUACAUCUUUUCUUAUGUUGAAAGACUGCAGAGUCAGAUUUGAUUUAUGUGUGUGAUUUCUAUAGAUGUCUGAGAAUAGGCGCAGAGGUGCGAGGCGUGCUGAGCCUGAACAGCAUGCACCCCAAGAGGAAGCAGCCUCGCAGCAGCAUUUGCCACCACCACCACCGAUGACCAUCGAGCAGAUGUUCUUGAUGCAGACUCAAGCAGUCCAGGAAAUUGGUCAGACAUGAGCAGCUAUGCAGCAGGUGCAGCAGCAGCCACCACCGCCUCAGCCUCCAGUGCAAGUCCAGAUGCCUCAAAUGCCCAGAGACAAGCGGGCAGAGUUCAUAAGGGACCAUCCCCCAGUCUUUGCCCACUCUGCUGAUCCCAUGGACGCUGAAGAUUGGCUGUGUACCGUGGAGCAUGAGUUGCACACUGCCCAGUGCAACGAUCGUGAGAAGGUGUUGUAUGGUCCCCGACAGCUGAGGGGAGCAGCACAGUCUUGGUGGGAGUCCUACCUCGCCACCCAUGCCAACCCUGAAGCCAUCACUUGGGAGGAGUUCAGGGAUAACUUCCGUCGCUACCAUGUGCCCGAGGGACUGAUGAUAGUGAGGAAGGAGGAGUUUCUCACGUCGAAGCAAGGUCCCCUGUCUGUCAGCGAGUACAGGGAUAAGUUUCUGCAGCUGUCGCGUUAUGCCCCAGAAGAUGUCAACACGGAUGCCAAGAGGCAGUACCGCUUCUUGAUAGGAUUGGUUGAUCCUCUCCACUAUCAGCUAAUGAACCACACCUUCCCUACCUUCCAGCAUCUGAUAGACAGAGCAAUCAUGACAGAAAGGAAGCGUCGGGAGAUGGAGGAUAGGAAACACAAGAUUGGUGGACCUCAGGCUGGGAGUAGCAGCCAUCCUAGCUACUCAGGCAACCCACCUCAGCCAUUCAAGCAAGGUCACCAGCACCAGCACCAGCAUCAUCGUAAGAACCAGCAGCAGCAGUACUAGAGGCAGUUUCUUCAGCAGCAGCAGUACCGUCAGAACAACCAGCAAGGAGGAAAUCAAUACCAGCAUCAGAGCAACCAGGCAGCCCGUCUUCCUGCCCCAGCAACCAAACAGAACAAUCAAGCAGCGCCAACGCAAGGAGGAAGUCGUGCAUGUUUCCACUGUGGGGAACAAGGCCAUUGGGUGAAUCAUUGCCCAAAGAAAGCAGCUCAGCAGCAGCCAGCUCCCAAUGCCCAGUCAGACAGAAUGCAAUGCAGCUAGGAGGCAACAACCGUGGGCAACCUCGUGCCCAGUAUGGAAAGGUGAACCACCUGGAAGCCGACACAGUCUAGGAGACUCUAGGAGUGGCAUUAGGUACAUUUUCAGUCGAGUACCAUUCUGCAAAUGUCUUAUUUGAUACUGGAGCAACGCAUUCUUUUGUGACUGCAUCAUGGGUAGAAUCACAUAAUAUACUAGUAGCGCCCAUGUAUCCACCUAUGAGAGUUAGUUCAGUUGGUGGAAGGACCCAAACUGAUAGAUUUUGCCCUAGUGCAAAGGUUCAAAUAAGGGGGAUAGAGUUCCCCACUGAUUUAAUAGUUAUGGGUAACCAGGAUACAACUAUAGAUGUCAUCCUAGGGAUGAAUUGGUUAACCAAGUACCAAGCCUGUCUUAGCCGUGACAAGAGAACAUUGAAGCUAGUGUCCUUAUCAGGAGAAGAAGUGUUAGUGGAGUUGGUCUUGUCAGGACCAAGGAAAGGGAGUUGUCACCAAGUCACCGCCUGUAUUGAGGAGAUUAAACCAUCAGAAGCUAUCAAUGUAGUAUCAGAAUUCCCAGGUGUGUUUCCCGAGGAGUUACCAGGUAUGCCACCUGAAAGGAAGGUUGAAUUUGCCAUAGAGCUUAUACUAGGCACCACCCCUAUUUCCAAGAGAGCCUAUCGAGUGUCCGGACCGGAAUUGGUGGAACUCAAGAAGCAGAUUGAUGAGUUGUUGGAGAAAGGUUAUAUCAGACUGAGUACCUCACCUUGGGCAGCCUCAGUGUUGUUUGUGGAGAAGAAGGAUGGCACAAAGAUGAUGUGCAUUGAUUACAGAUCCUUGAAUGAAGUUACUAUCAAGAACAAGUACCCCCUGCCCAGAAUUGAGGAUUUAUUCGAUCAGUUGAGAGGAGACAGUGUGUUCUCGAAGAUAGAUCUGAGGUCAAGCUACCAUCAGCUCAGAAUCUGACCCUCGGAUAUAUCGAAGACAUCAUUCAUCACCAAGUAUGGACUAUAUGAGUUCACGGUCAUGUCAUUCGGUUUGACGAAUGCGCCAGUUUACUUCAUGUACUUGAUGAACAACGUGUUCAUGGACUACCUCGACAAGUUCGUAGUAGAGUUCAUUGAUGACAUUCUCAUAUAUUCCCAGAAUGAGCAAGAGCAUGAGGAGCAUUUGAGGAAAGUACUUCAGAGGCUACGAGAUUGUCAGCUGUAUGCCAAGCUUAGCAAGUGCGAGUUCUGGAUCAGUGAAGUCCUAUUCUUGGGUCAUAUUAUAAACCGAGAAGGAUUGGCUGUAGAUCCGAAGAAGGUAACAGCUAUCUUGGACUGGAAAGCACCAAAAGAUGUGCGAGGAAUCAAGAGCUUCAUCGGAAUGGCCGGUUAUUAUCGGCAUUUCAUUGAAGGUUUCUCCAAGAUUGCCAGGCCAAUGACAGCCUUGUUGGCAAAGAAGGUUGAGUUCAAGUGGACCCCAGCAUGCCAGAAGUCCUUUGAGACAUUGAAGGAGAAGUUGACAACGACACCAGUACUGAUUCUGCCAGAUGUUCACAAGCCAUUCUCAGUAUAUUGUGAUGCUUCGUAUACUGGACUGGGAUGUGUGUUAAUGCAGGAAGGGAGAGUAGUGGCAUACUCGUCCUGACAGUUGAAGAUUCAUGAGAAGAAUUAUCCUACUCAUGAUCUGGAAUUAGCAGUCGUGGUUCAUGCAUUGAAGACCUAGAGACAUUAUCUUUAUGGGCAGAAGUGUGAUAUCUACACGGAUCACAAGAGUCUCAAAUACAUAUUCACUCAGUCAAAGUUAAACAUGAGGCAGCGAAGAUGGCUAGAAUUGAUCAAGGAUUAUGAGCUGGAGAUUCAUUAUCACCCAAGCAAAGCAAAUGUGGUUGCAGAUGCUCUUAUUAGAAAAAGUCAAGUUAAUAUGUUGGCCGCUCACCCGAUGCCGUAUGAGCUAGCGAAGGAGUUCGACAGAUUGAGCCUCGGAUUUCUAAACAACACCCAAGGGGUGACAAUUGAGUUGGAACCCACUCUAGAGCAAGACAUCAGGAAAGGUCAGAAGGAUGAUGAGAAGAUCAAUGAGAUCCGCUAGCUGAUCAUAAAUGGAAAAGGCAAGGAUUUCCGUGAAGAUGCGGAAGGAGUGUUAUGGUUCAAGGACAGACUGUGUGUUCCCGACAUCAAAUCGAUCCAGGAACUGAUUCUCAAGGAAGCCCAUGAGACAACAUAUUCUAUACACCCCGGUAGUGAUAAGAUGUACCAAGACCUAAAGAAAAGAUUCUGGUGGUACGGUAUGAAAAGGGAGAUAGCAGAGUAUGUGGCUGUGUGUGAUAGUUGUCAGAGGAUUAAAGUAGAACAUCAGAGACCUGCAGGUUUGUUGCAACCGUUGCAGAUUCCUCAGUGGAAAUGGGAUGAGAUCGGAAUGGAUUUCAUAGUCGGUUUGCCCCGCACUCGUACUGGUUAUGACUCCAUCUGGGUAGUAGUGGACUAUUUGACAAAUGCGGCCCAUUUCAUACCAGUCAAGACCACCUACAACAGUGCGGUGUUAGCCGAACUAUAUAUUGCUCGGAUUGUGUGCUUGCAUGGCAUUCCAAAGAAGAUAGUAUCAGAUAGACACACCCAGUUCACCUCUCAUUUUUGGCAGCAGUUGCAUGAAGCUUUGGGCACACACUUGAAGUUCAGCUCAGCUUAUCACCCACAGAUAGAUGGUCAAACAGAGAGAACAAACCAGAUUCUGGAGGACAUGUUGAGGGCUUGUGCUUUGAAAGAAAAAAUAGGUUGGGACAAGAGAUUACCAUAUGCAGAAUUCUCUUACAACAACAACUAUCAAGACAGAUUGAAGAUGUCACCAUUUGAAGCACUCCAUGGGAGGAAUUGCAGAACUCCAUUGCAUUGGGGCCAACUCGGUGAAAGACAGGUGUUCGGUCCAGGUAUUUUGCUUGAAUCCGAAGAGAACAUCAGGACGGUCCGAGAGAAUUUUGUGGCAGAACCACCCGAAUUAUUCCAGCUUAAGUGCCUAAGUCACGCCUCAGGGGCCGUAACACACUUAAAUCGGAAUAACCCGUCAGUUCCUCAAAUCUAGUCUGAUAGAGCCACUUAACCAGGAUCAAAUUCCACAACCUCACUCGAAGGUGAGUCACAGAAAUACAAUAAAACAGGAAACCUCAAAUUAAGUGCUGAAUUAUUACAUAGAUCGAAGUUUUUGAGUAGCAAAUAAAGUUCACAAAAUAAAGUGCAGCGGAUAAUCGAUGUCGUCGGUAUCGAGGAAUUGGGCAAGGCCUAGCCCACUACUCCUCGUGCUCCUCUCCUGCCGGAGCAACAUCCCACUCGACCGUCCAACCCGGUGGCAGGGUGGUAGGCCAAGUCACACCAUCAACCAUUUCCUGAAUGGUACCUGCAAAAAUUGUGCCACAAGCAAGGCUGAGUAUACUAAUACUCAGCUAGACUUAACCGGUGUGAGGAGUCUACUCCUCUACCUCUAGACUAUGCAGCUGUUUGGCUGAGGGGUUUGGUUUGCCAAAAGCACUAGCUGUUUCUAAAAUCAAUUUUUAGCUUUUCAAAUUCUAUCAUCAUCAACUUAGCUAGAUUUGCUCCUUCUAAGCAUACAUGGUGACAAGCAUUUAGUUCAAUCAACAAGUUAUCUCAUGUAACCUCAUUUCACUUCUUACUCGAUGCAGUACAAGGGGUCAAGCAGUCUCAUUAGCUGCGAGAAGCAGACGAUUCGAAUCGAGUUUUAACCUUGCAAGGUAAACCUAAACACACGACAUGUCAGGGUACUCCGUCCCCACACACGUCAACCGUACCCAUCGAUCCCCCGUUUGCGUCCAGGCCUCACCGCCUUGGCAUACAAUGCUCCACUGACCCCGGCCGCCACCGUGCAGUGACCGCACUUGUACCCACCAUAGCUAGCAUGGGAGACCCAGUCUCAGGUCGUAUGAGGGAUAAAGUUCGCGCCCGGCUUCAAUCAGGUACUAGGUUUACCAGUUACCAUUUUUCCCGGCAUGUGCUUAGUACGUUCAAAAGCUUGACUCAGGUAUCCACACAUUAAUCCUUAAUUCCUUUUCCCGUCUCAUGGACAAGGCAUCCUCCCUGGAUCCAAGUCCAUAGACUAACAUAUAUCCCGUUAUCAAGAUGAAUACAAUCAAUUCCUGACCUCACGCGAGUGCUAGAAAAAUCACUCGACUUCUACCGAGAUCCUGAUUAGCAAGCAGCUACUCGAUCUAGCAUACUAGUAUUCAUCUAAAAAAGGAAUCCUAAGUUCAUGCAACUAGAGGUUUCAAGCAACUCCUACACUUAAGUGCACAUUGCAAUCCUACAAGCAUUAAGUGUAGUAAAGUAGCAUAUAAUAAUACGGUUAUGCAUAAAACCGGGGCUUGCCUUCAAUUGUUGGGGCUGCGGGGAGAUCCUCAAUAGCAGCCUCUGAAGCCUGCUCCUGGUCCUCCUCUUGGACAGGUCCUUGCUCGGGGAUGAGCACGUACUCUCCGUCGGCAAGAUUACAAUCUAAUGAAUGCAAUGCGUAAGAUACAUGCAUGAUAUGGUGCUUUAGAAAUUACAACUUUUGACGGUGUAUGAUCUACUUGGGUUAAACAAGGUUAACUUUACUUAUGUAAGACCCUUGGGUGGUAUACUUGGUAAAUUGGGUCAAACUUAGCUAAGGUAAGUGGUAGGUUUAUUUUUGGGGUUCCAUUGAAUUCUUUUUAAGUCUUAGUGAGAGUUGAUAAGUACUCAAGUUAGACUUAUUGGGGUGAGGUUUAUUUCCUCUUCCCUUUUCUUUUACUCUCUUAAAUGUUUUGGAGUGGGUUUAAACUACAAGUUGCUUUUAUAAAACUCUAAAAAUUCUGCAAAAAUUACAGUGGCUUGGUACUGGUGUAUAUUUCUCUGUCUCAAAAUUUGGGGUCAGAAAGUGAAUAGUUUUCUCUGAACAAAAUUAUUAAAUUCUAGGGCAGAAGGGGUGCUUUGAACUACAACUAUUAUUUAACAGUGGGUAGUUCUCUAAAACUUAUUUUUGCUGACUUUUAGGUGUUAUAACAUGACUUGAUACAAAUUUCUAGUCAUUAAUACCUUUUAAUUAUUUUACUAUGGUUUUCUCAAGUUUCUAGCCAAAUGGGUGCUUUCUACUACCACUAUAUUUGAAAAAUAUCAAACAACAGAGUUCUUAUUUUUCAUAGUUAUUGUUUUGCGCAAGAGCAAUCAUUCUGAAGUUUGGCCUCUUUUUGCUUAAGGGAAGGGGUGGUAUGCAUUAUUUGAAUUAAGUGGCCUUUCCCAUAAAACACUAGCAAUAGGUAGGAGUUUGCUUCUUUUUCAUGGGUUUGCAUUUUUCUCUGGUGGUUUAUCUCAUUAUAGACUUAGCUAAUUUUUGGUUGCCCAUUAUUACAUUAUUAGGGGUUGUUCAUGAUUUAUUUGGAAAAUGCCUCAUUAGCAUUCUAUAUUUAUUUUCCUUAAAAAGUUGGGCUGAGGUGUUCUUUAUUUUUGUAGUGGGGCUCUGGUGGUUGUAAGUCCACUGGAUUUUUAUUAUUCAUUUUAGGUAUAGUUUUGUAAUUCCAAUAAUUGAUUCUUAGUUCAAAUAAGGCUAAAUAAAGCAUUUUAAUUUAAAACUGAUCUGGACUAAGGGUCUCUUUAUUUUUUCUAGGUUUUCUGUUGCAUAAGCAAACUAGGAAAAAUAAUUUUACUCACUGUUCAUCAGUUUCUAAUGCCUUUCUGGUUUUUUUAAGUUUUGGGCAAAAUAGCUUUAAAUGAUUAUCUACAUCAUAUUUUCCAAUGCUGGGGUUCCCACUAUUUUUAAACAGUGUCUAAGUGAGGUUUGAAUACCUACAAAUUUUCUUAGGUUCAGUACAGAAGAAAAACAAAUUUUCCUUAAUUAAACUAGAUUUGGUAAGUUUUUGUUUUUAAUUUUAACUCUAAAAUUUAGAACAGAAAGCAUAGGGUUUAUCAUUUUUAAAUGAUAGCUCAUAAUAUUUAGGAUCUAGCAAAAUUAGUUUGACAACUUUUGAUUAAGAAUUCAUCAAGUUAUGGAUUUUCUAAGUUCUCUGGUUAUUUAAAAAGAUUAACAGAAUUGAUUAAAUGGAAAACUACUUUGCACGGGGGUCCCUGGCGGGUAUUUUAAGUUUCCUUCGCGGAUCAGUCCUUAGGCUACUAUUCACAUGGGUCACUGACGUUACAGAAAACCCCUGGGGUUCUCCAAAUCCUAACCCGAGGUCCUUCUCCUAACUUAAACAGUAACCGCGGCGGAAGAAAGGGCGGAGGGGCUUACCGGCGGCGAGAUGGCUCCGUUGAAGUGGUCGAGGACGUAGGGGAGGUCUCGGGGAUCACAACGGUGUGCGGGUCGCCGUCGGGGAUGGCCGGGGUUGGCUGGUCCACGUGCGCAGGCGGGGAUGCUCGUCGGCGUCGAGGAGUCCGGCCUGCUCAUGGUGAGAUAGUUCAAUUGGACGGGUCAAAAAGGUUCACAGGAUGCCAGAGAAGAUAUGGGUGCAAGGAAUUGGACGGAGACUCACCGGUUAGCUCUGUCCACGCGCGGCGGCGAAAGACCGAAGUCCGGUGAGGUCGAUCUCGGACCUCCGGUGAAGUCCGUCCUGGUCCGAGGGCUUGGAAAGCUUCAUGGGCCACUAGCGGAGCUAGCCAAAGCACUGGCUCGACUUGGGGGUGGCUGGAGUGGGCUGGCCACGGUGGCCGAAGCUCUGGCGGCAAUGGCGGGCAGAAUUGAGCUCGCCGGAGCUAAGGAGAGGGGGCUGGCCGGUGAAGGUGAGCGCGGGGUGAAGUGGGGCGCGCCCAGGGAGGCUUUAUAGGCGCGGGCGAGCACGGCCGAGGGCGGGGCUCUGACAUGCGCUCAGGGCGUGCACGGCGAACACCAGUGCGCGCUCUGGCGCCUGGCACAGCAUCGAGCACGAGGCAGAAUAGAGAGAGGUCAAGUUCAAAAGCGGAUUGGGCCCAAAUCUUUGAGAUUAAGGCCACGAUCCCGUUGAAAGAUCUCUUCCUCUCAGGUCCCUUUGUCGUUUGUGUGUGGAGGCUAGCAAGUUUCGCUGACUGGAUUAAGAGAUAGAGAGGGGAGAAAUCCUGUUUGUCUCACUGCCACACACAGGGAGAAAAUCUCUGGUUUGUCGUGUCCGAGGCACGCGUCCCAAUGCCAUCUCCUGGCACAUGACAGAGGAGUUAAUUAGGCACAUUUUUGUUAAUGGGGCCAUUAGGAUUCGAGUUAGGGAUCAAGGUGAACAUCCCUGAUCUUUGGCUCAAGGUCUGAAUUUCAGAAUUCUGAAAUUCAGAAUUCCCAUUAAGUCCCCACAUGAGAAGCUUGAUUUGGGGUUUUAUUUGAGUUAAUUUGGCCAAGCUUUCUCAACCUUUCUUGUUACUUAUUUAAUAUACUUCAAUUUUUAUAAUUGGCUCAAGUCAUAAUUUUAAAUUUUUCAUACCCUUUUCCUUAUUUUCUUGAAUUUUGCUCAUGGGGCUCACUUAGGGUUUUUAUUAGGGUUACAACAUUCUUACCUUUUUGAAGGACCCAUUUGCUUUGGUCAUGAUACUUUUAAGUAUAUGCUUGGUGAAUUCUUUAUUGCUUAAAUUAAUUUGAUGCUCAUGUUUACUUUGGUUCACAUAAAAUGAUGGUUCUUGGUUUGGCAUUUUGAGAGAAACCCUAGGUGACACUGGGGUGUCACAGCCUUCCCCCCUUAAAGGAAUCUCGUCCCGAGAUUCGGGCCAGAGUCCUCCCAGGGUGAAGUGAAGGGUGAGACUUAUAGGAAUGGGUGAUUAUUGUUAUUAUUAGGGUGAAACUGCUCUUCGAAUGUCAUUCUCUUUGCAACUUCAGAAGGAAGCCCUUUUUAAGUUUUCCUUCAUAGUUACUUCAUUCUGAAUUAAGAUCAUAUUUUUAGAAAUUAGAUUCGAAGGGCAGGAGGAGGGAUUGGGUGUGAUUACGUACCAGCUUCCUUAGGUAGGCAAUCGGGGAAGUUGGAUCUCAAGAAUUCCUCAGUUUCCCAAGUAGCUUCCUCCUCUGAGUGAUUACUCCACUGAACCUUGUACAUCUUGAUCGAUUUAGCCCGAGUUGAUCUUUCUUUGCAAUCCAGAAUCUUGGAGGGGUACUCUUGGUACAAUAGAUCUGGCUCUAUCUCCAAUUCUGGCUCUGCUAUGAUCUCGGUCGGCAAUCGAACACACUUCUUCAGCUGAGAUACAUGGAAAACACUAUGAAUGGCAGACAUCUUUGAAGGUAACUUCAGCUUGUAUGCCAUAGGUCCACAUGCUUCUAUGAUCUCAUAAGGUCCAAUGUAACGAGGGGCUAGCUUGCCUUUGAUCCCAAACCUCUGCACUCCCUUGGUGGGUGAUACCUUGAGGUAUACAAAACUUCCCACCUCGAACUGGAGAGGUUUCCUUCUUCUAUCAUGGUAACUCUUCUGCCUGGCCUGAGCAGCUUCUAGAUUCUUCCUGAUUAGUUUGACCUUCCUUUCGGCUUCAAUCACUAAGUCAGGUCCAAAAACUUCUCUUUCUCCAGGUUGAGACCAAUUGAGCGGUGUCCUACACCUUCUUCCAUAGAGAGCUUCAAAAGGUGCCAUCUUUAGGCUGGAUUGAUAACUAUUGUUAUAAGCAAACUCUGCCAAGGAGAGGUGCUUAUCCCAGUUCUUGCCACAAUCGAUUGCACAAGCUCUCAGCAUAUCCUCCAGGAUUUGGUUUGCCCUUUCCGUCUGACCAUCAGUCUGUGGGUGGUAAGCUGAACUCCUGAUUAGCUUGGUUCCCAAAGACUCUUGCAAUUGUUCCCAAAACCUGGCAACAAAUUGGGCUCCUCGGUCAGAAACAAUGGUCCGAGGUAAUCCGUGCAAACACACGAUCCGGUCAAUAUACAAUUCUGCAUACUUCUGAGCCUUAUCAGUGGUGUGCACAGGAAGAAAAUGUGCCACUUUUGUCAGUCGGUCCACAAUAACCCAAAUCGAAUCAUGAUGACGAGAGGUGUUGGGCAGACCCACAAUGAAAUCCAUGCUGAUGUCAUCCCACUUCCACGAAGGUAUGGACAGGGGUUGCAAAGCUCCAGCUGAUUUCAGGUGGCUUGCCUUUAUCCUCUGACAGGUGUCACAUUCUGAUACAUACUGGGCUAUCUCCCUUUCAUUCUGGUCCACCAGUACAAAGGCUUUAGAUCAUGGUACAUCUUGGUGCUUCCCGGAUGCAUAGAGAAUUUGGAGAGAUGAGACUCAUCCAAGAUUUUCCUCUUGAGGUCCUGGUCUUUAGGAAUCACCAAUCUGCUUUUGAACCAUAACACACCCUUUUCAUCCUGGCGGAAACAAUUAUACUUCCCAACCUUCUGAUGGAGAUUCUUCUUGAUAAUUUGCACUCCCUUGUCACUGAGCUGGGCCAUGAUAAUCUGGUCUUGCAAAGCUGGCUCAACAGUAAUGUGAGACAAAGAACCAGAAGGAAUCACUUCAAUUUGCAUCUUGCUCAACUCAUCACACAAGGUGUUAAUGCGAGAAUCCAUCAGAAUACAAUUGCAUUGCAUCUUCCGACUCAAGGCAUCUGCUACCACAUUAGCUUUUCCUGGGUGAUAAUGUACCUCCAGGUCAUAAUCCUUGAUCAGCUCUAGCCAUCUUCUCUGCCUCAUGUUGAGAUCAGCCUGAGUAAAAAUGUACUUAAGGCUCUUAUGAUCAGUGAAGAUGUUGCAGUGGGUUCCCAUUAGAUAAUGCCUCCACAUCUUUAAUGCAUGAACCACUGCUGCCAACUCGAGGUCAUGAGUGGGAUAGUUUUGCUCAUGAGGCUUGAGUGCUCUUGAGGCAUAAGCAAUGACUCGGUUGUCUUGCAUCAAGACACAACCUAGCCCGGUGCCAGAGGCAUCGCAAUAUACAUCAAAAGGCUUGCUGUUGUCGGGUUGCGCCAAUACCCGUGCUGUGGUCAGAUGCUGCCUUAAUGCAUGGAAGGCAUCUUCGCACUUCUAACUCCAAACAAAUUUGACUUCUUUCUUCAGCAACUCAGUUAUAGGCUUUGCAAUUCGAGAGAAGUCCGGAAUAAAUCUUCGGUAAUAACCAGCUAAUCCCAGAAAACUCCGAAUCUGACGGACAGUUGUUGGUGGCUUCCAGUUCAUCACCUCUUGCACUUUAUCAGGAUCAAUAGCUAUUCCAGCCUGAGAGAUAGUGUGACCCAAGAAUUUGAUUUCCUUUAGCCAAAAAUCACAUUUGGAUAACUUGGCAUAAAGGUGGUGCUCUCGCAGACGUUGAAGCACUACAUGCAAAUGCCCGGCAUGUUCUUCUUCGUUCUUUGAGUACACCAAAAUAUCAUCAAUGAAAACCACUACGAACUUGUCCAAUUCCGGCAUGAGAACAGAAUUCAUCAGAUACAUGAAAUAUGCUGGUGCAUUUGUCAGCCCGAAUGACAUCACCAAGAAUUCAUAUAGCCCAUAUCUGGUUGAGAAUGCCGUCUUCGGAAUAUCACUCGCUCGUAUCUUGAUCUGAUGGUAGCCAGAGCGAAGGUCUAUCUUGGAAAAUACCUUGGCCCCGACCAACUGGUCAAAAAGAACAUCAAUACGAGGCAAAGGAUACUUGUUCUUGAUAGUUACCACAUUAAGAGGGCGGUAAUCUAUACACAGCCUCAAGCUUUCAUCCUUCUUCUUUACAAACAGUGCUGGACAUCCCCAAGGCGAAGUGCUUGGGCGAAUAAAUCCCUUAUCCAGCAGCUCUUGCAAUUGCUUCUUCAAUUCUGCCAACUCGGCGGGUGGCAUUCGGUAGGGCCUCUUGGAAAUUGGGGCCGUUCCCGGUUGCAACUCGAUGGUGAAUUCAAUAUCCCGGUCUGGUGGCAUUCCUGGCAAUUCAUCAGGAAAGACAUCUGCAUACUCACAGACCACUGGGAUCUUCUUCAGAGGUAACUCCGUCAUAGAGAAAGCACAUGACUGAGUAGAACCUUGACUAGGCAGAAUUAAGGUGAAGUUCCCGCAGAACGGAGAAUUAACUUCCACGGUACGGCUGGCUAUAUCAAGCACAACUUGGUGCAAGGUCAUCCAAUUAGCUCCCAGAAUAAUGUCCACAUUUUCCAAUCCCAACACAAGAAGAGUGGUUUUGACAAUGUGGCUUCCCAGUUGAAUAGGCACACUUUGGUUUAAUUGAUUAGUUGAAAUUUUACCCCCAGGUGUGACUAUCAUGAAUGACCCUUUUGAGUGAGAGAAUGGCAGUUUACAUUUAGCACUGAACUUUUGGCUAAUGAAACUAUGAGAUGCACCAGAAUCAAACAGAAUUAAAGCAGGUUGAUUAUAAACUGAAAAGGUACCGGUCAUGAUAGGAGCUCCUUUUGGUACUUCCUCCAGAGUAGUGAAGUUGAGCUUCCCUUGCCUGACUUGCACCUUCUGCUUUCUUCCCUUGUCUUGAUUUGGUGCUGGCAUCUGCCUCUGCUGGUUCCUAGGACAAUUCUUGGCAUAGUGGCCCACAUUGCCACAAGUGAAACACUUGUUCCCAUUGCCCUGACGGAAUUGCUGCUGCUGCGGAGGCUGAUUAUUCCUUGGGGCGGGAGCUAGAAAGCGGUUGGGUGCCGGCUGCUGCUGCUGCUGAGGUGGCCUGAUCACCCAUCUGCCUGCCUGCUGCUCAAAACCCCUGCUCUUAUUGUGAGAAACAAUCCGGAACCUCUGAGCCUGAGCGGAUGGUGCUGCCAUUGGUGCCUCUCUUCUUCUCUGCCCGGUGAGCAACAAUGCAAUCCUCCUGGGAGAUGGCCAUAUUGACCAACUCAUUGAAGCUAUCAGCCCGGACAGUGUUGAGUCGUUCCCGUAGCUUGGUAUUGAGACCCAUGCGGAAGCGAUCCCUCUUCUUUUCAUCAGAAUCAGCAUGAUACUCUGCAUACUGGCAUAAGUCGUUGAAGGCUUGCGCAUACUGCAGUACCGUGCGGGUUCCUUGAUUAAGGGCCAGAAAUUCAUUCAACUUCCGAUUAAGAAUGACAGCUGGGAUGUGGUGUCCUCUGAAGGCAGUCUUGAAUUCCUCCCAAGAUACUUCACGAUUGUUGGGGACCUUCGGCAUCCGAAGGUCCUCAAAAACAGGAUUUAACAGUAUUUCUGGAGCAUAAUGUGUGAACAGGUAUCUUCGGACUCAGGUCGGCAUCACAGCAGACCAGAAUAAUACGAAGGUCGAUACAGCGCCGAAGGUGUGAGUAGGAAAGCUUCGGCGUGACAGCAGAAAGUGGAACCGACUUAAAGAUGAAAAGGCUAUUUAGACCUCAACAGAUUACUAUAGAAUUAUUAUCAACUGUAAAGGACAUGAAUGUAAUUUUGUAUGGGUUGUGUCCCGCGCCUAUAAAUAGGUGAACAGUAUUCCCGUACUGUUCACGCUGACUUGACAUUCGCUUUCUGCGUCACUCUUGUACUAUCAUCUCCUUCCGAUUGAAGGUACACUUGUAAUUCGAUGAUAUUUCUGUUUAUACAUAAUAAUAAUAUAUAAUCGUUCGUAUGGUCUUUUAUAUUCUUUAUAUUUCAUCCUUCAUCAUUGUCUGAUGAAUUUAUGAAGGUACGUCCUUCAUAACCUUCGUCCGUAAGCAAUUAUGUCCUAAGGGAAAUAAUUCUUCGGAGGACGAAGGACUUUAAUGAUUAACGUUUUCUAUGUUGCCUUGUUCUUAACUCAAAGCACUUGAGAACAAGUCCCCAACAUUGGCGCCCACCUCCGGUGAACUCACUCCCACUCUUUGAAGUUUUUUGAACACCUUCGGCGGUCAUAGAUCUUCGUCAUGGCGCCGAAGAAAGCUUCAGCGACUGGGGCUGCAGCUCUGCAACCACUGGACCACAAUCAGGAGACAGUCUCCCUGCGGGAGGCCCGAAGCCAGAAAAGGAAGGUUGUCAGUCCGACACCACCAGAGGACGAAAUAGAUCAAGAAAUCAGAGAUAUGGAGAUGCUUCAUCAACAAGUACAGAGGAAGAAAGAAAAGAUGGCCAGGCUAGCUGAACUGCAAAGGCAGAUAGACGAAGCCUCUGAAGAAGUUCGUCAUCUUGCUCAAGAUGAGAAACACCGAAGGCCUCAGCACCAAGACCUUCAUCAGGAGGGUUUUCCCAACGAGGAUGACUGGUAUGACAAUUUCCAUCAUGGGAAUUUUGUUUUUGAUGAUGCUUCUCCUUUGUCCGCUGAGCUGCAGGCUACACCUUGGCCUCCAUCCUACAAGCCGCCUCAGCUUCCCGUAUUCGAUGGCCACUCAGACCCGAAACAGUUUCUGAUGAGCUACGAAGCAACAGUAUCUUCGUAUGGUGGCAAUGCUUCAGUCAUGGCCAAAUCUUUCGUUAUGGCUGUCAGAAGUGUUGCUCAAACCUGGUACUCCUCCCUUCGACCAGGAAUGAUCACUUCAUGGCAGAAGCUGAAGGACUUAUUGUUAACUAGUUUCCAAGGAUUUUAGACGAAGCCGGUCACUGCUCAGGCUCUGUUCCAGUGCACCCAGGAUCACGAAGAAUACCUUCAGGCGUAUGUCCGAAGGUUCUUGCGUUUGAGGGCACAGGCACCAACGGUGCCCAAUGAAAUUGUCAUUGAGGCCAUGAUCAAGGGGCUUCGGCCAGGACCGUCAGCUCAGUAUUUCGCUAGGAAGCCUCCUCAAACUUUGGAGAAGCUGCUCCAGAAGAUGGACGAGUACAUUCGGGCCGAUAAUGAUUUUCGCCAAAGAAGGGAGGAGGCUUUCAGGUUUUCUGAAAUGACCAGGGGCUUCGGAGGGAGGUUCUACCCGAGGCACGUGAGAUCGAUUCAUAACUCUACACAAAAUGAUGAUAGAGGAAGCCAACAGCAAAGGCCACAAUGUUCCUCACAGGCUUCGGGGCAACAGCAAAGCUCCUUCCGACCACCAGCUCCAAGAGGCAGAGGCGCCAGGGGCUUUGGAGGAAGAUUUGGCGAUCAACCGAGAAGGAUCUUUUGUUUAUUCUGCGGUGAGAACAAAGGCCAUACUACCAGAAUGUGCCAUGUUACUAUUCAGAAGCAAAAGGAAAUAGCUGAAGCAGCAGCACAACAAGCUCAGCCGAAGCAGGUCAUGCAUACAGCUUCGUAUCAUUCGCCCUACAUCCCAGAAUAUGUGGGCAAUCAUCCUGCAGUUUCUGUUGCUUCGGCGAGUCAGCCUCAAGCUUCCUGGCAACAGCCUCCGCCCCCACCUCCGUUGCAACAAGGCCAGCAGCUAGAAGGGAGCCAGUAUGCUUCACAUCAGAGGGAUUUCAGAGAGCAGUCCGAAGCUCGUACAGUCAAUAGCACUGUUCCAGAGUCAAAGCACAUCUAUUGACAAAUAUCCUACCUUAGUAGCAAUCUUUUUCAUUCAGUUUUAUUUUCUGUAAUAAAGGACAUUGUUUAGGUUUCAUGUAAUUAGUUUUGCUGAUUCCUACAAGGAAAAUACAUUUUCUUCACAGGCUCAUAUUGAUUAAAGUUCAAAGACUUGUGGUAACAAGGACGACCUUCGAACUAUCGAAAAUUCUUCGAAGCAACAACAAGUCGUUCUAAGGAACGCAGAGUAAGUUUUCCGAAGUCACAAAAAAGUCGUUCCAAAGGGAGCGCAGUGUAAGUUUUCUGCUCCAAAGUCGUUCCAAAGGGAAUGCAGAGCAUACAGCGAAAAGUCAACGCUGAUACCGCCUAAGUAAAAGGCGAAGCGCGAAAAGUCAACGCGAAUACCGCUGAAAGUAAAAGGCGAAGAAGCUCCUAAGGGAGGCUUACAGCGAAAAAUAAACGCUGAUCCCGCUGAAGUAAAAGGCGAAGAAGCUCCUAAGGGAGGCUUAUAAAAGAUUGUGUUUUAUUGCAGGGAUGUGUAUGUAUCUUCGGAAUAAACAUCAUCUCACACAUAACAUAACAUCAUCGCAUCAUUUCGCAUAGCAUAAGCAUCAUACAUCAUUUUUGCACAUGGCACAAGAGAUGGACACAUUAUCGAUCUACAGAAGAACGCUUUGAAAAAAGGGGGAGAAAUCAUAGUUACAAAAAGAUACAUCAUUGAACUUCGGAAGUGUAGCUUCGGAAAAUAUUUUCACGCAGCCUGGAUAUUAUUCAUCAGAACAUUGGAUAUUGUUUUGACAAAGAAGAAUCCUUCUUCACGAAGCAUGAAAAGAAGGGAAGGUGUUUUUUCGUCAAAGACUCAAAAGCGGUACGUAUAAAGUUUCAUGCAUCAUAAAGAAUUGAUUAACAAAAAUAGGUAUAUUACAUUUGAGUUACAAAAUGUUGCAGUAUAUUACAUUUCAUAAGUUUUCACAAGAAUAUUUAAUCUUCUCUCAAAACGACUUCUGCAGCCUCGUUCAGGAGCCGAUUAACGACUUCGUCCAUAAUAUCUUCAGCCAUCUUUUUAAUUUCAUCGUCUCCUUUCGGCUGAGGGCCCGAAGACGCUUUAGCAGGAUCUGAAGCAAGAUAGGAUACAGCUACAUUGCUAUUACAAAUCGCAAACAAAUCUUAAAACCCAAGAUUGCAAAACAAUAAAAACUAUUAGUUAAUACCUAAUUGACCUUCGGCCUCUGCGCUCUUUUCAGCAGCUUCAGCUACUUCUCUAGCAUCGUGAAUGCCCUUUUCACUUCUUCGAAUAAUUUCUCCGGCCAUUUCUCGGCCACCAUUAUCCCAGAUAUCGGUAAAAAAUUUCCCACCAAUUAUACUAGCUUCGGCCGAGGGAUCUCUUGCAUCUUCAAAGGACAAAGCAGCUUCGGAUUGUGCUAAGAUUUUUACAUGUUCGCAGCCCUUCUUCUCUAAGAUGGUGGCAAUCCCUCUGGCACCAGAGAAGGCACAUAUAUCUCCUCGGCUAGUUAAAAUUUCUUCGAAGGCUUCAGCUUCGUGGUCGAUCCAUUCGAUGGGACCUUCGGGAUUGCCUCUCGUAAAAUUUUCUUCGCUCGAGAAGGCGCCGACCCUGGCGAAGCUAGCUUUUAACUUCUUAACACACUCUAUAGAUUUGUUAUAGCAUCUUUUUCUGGAUGAAUGAAGCUCUUCAACAGUCAUUUCUAGGUGAUCGGCCCAUUGGUCGCUGAGUUCUCGCUUUGUUUCUUCAAGUAUGCGUUCUUCCUUGGCUCUAGCCAGUUGUUUCCGAAGAUCUUCAAUUUCGCGCUUCUGAGCUUCAGCUUGACCUUUAAAAGCAGCUUCGUCUUCUUUUAUUUUAUUUAUCAAUGAGUGUAAUAUUUUAUCUUUUUCAAGACCUUCGUUCCUCAGUUCAAUAACUUCGGAACGAAGGUUGCUCAGGGCUAUAGAACACCCUUCGUCUUCAGCAUCUUUCUGUGCCCUGAGGGCAUUGCUAAGUAUCAGGCCCUGCAAAGAGAAAUAUGUGUGUGUCAAUAGAUUUAAACAAGCGAAAGAUUUUGGACUCAACAAAAAUACAAGGAUUUCAUUUGUCGCACCUUUAAGCUAUUGUAAGCCAGGCUGUCGGCCAGAUCGUUCUUCGACAGCACCGAGAGCCCGUCUUCUAAAGUUGGGAAUCCGAAGCUCUUGCUCAUCUCCCGACAGACAGAAAUCUCCUUGCUGUCGGGGAGACAAUACAAGAAGUCUUCUUCUCCACUGCCAUUGAAUAUUAACGCCCCUUUUGGAUAUUUCAGUUUUUGGGCGUAGUGCUGGGCCUCUUGCUCUUCUUUUUCUGACAGUUUUUUCCCCGAAGCAUGACGAACAAUAUAAUCACGAAUUUUGGGGGAUGCUUCAGGGGCAAUGACACCGGUUUCUUCAACAAAAGUUGGCUUUGUUAUUUUUUCUGCCUCACUUUCCAAGGAUUUUAUCUUUGAAGGCUCUGGGGGCCCAGCUUCGGCUUCAGUCUCUUGCCCUGGAGCUUUAGAAUCAGAAAUUUCAGUUGUUAUUUCAGGAAUAACAGCAGCCUUCUUCGGAGGUGUGCUUGAAGAUUUGAUCGUUUCCAGUACAUCUAGCACAUUAGCCAUUCUCUUUCUUUUCGGAGUUACGGCUGGCACUUUUUGAUUUUUUGCUGUCUCAAUGUUUGCUGCAGGACUCAAAACUUCUGAUGUUUUGGAGCCCUCAGUUGCUUCCUUUACCUCUUCCAUUUUUUCUGUGGACGGCGCUUCGGCCGUCUCUUUCGUUUCUGAUAACAAAAUCUUUGAUUGCUCCAAUUCUAUCUUUGUUGGCACUUCGGCCGUUUCUGCGACUUCUGGCAGCAAAGUUGGCUCGGUUGGUUUUUCAGCUUCGGUGGCCGAAGGAGUUUCUCCGGUAAACUCAGGCACCGAAGCUGGUUCAAUAUAGCGCGGCCGAUGUGUGAGGACUUAUCUUCUUUCUCUUCGGUUCUGGCUCGCUAGGAGCAAUUGUAGCUUCUUCUUUUGCAGAGGUUGUGUUUUUUCUCUUUUGCCUUCGAAUGGGAUAGCAAUAGUCAGGGUAGACAAACCCGAUUGCAUCGAAUACCCGAUUCAGCCUCUUCUUCUUUCGGCCUCCGAAGGCUGCUGACAUUGCAGUGUCUUCGGCCUUCGAAUAAGCCCCAAGCAGUUCAUCACUUAAAUUUUCAAUACUUUUUAACCAGUCAUCAUCUGGCUCGACGAAUUUAUCUCCAAAUUUAAAAGUGUACUUCAACCUGAUAAGUCCACCUUCGUCGGCUUCUUUUACGGUUUCUUGUGGCAUUUCCCAUUUUUUCGCAAGUGGCCAUACCCUGAAGGCAAUAUGCUCUUGAACUAAGUCCCUUGUUCCAAUGAAAGAGCAGACUGCGCCGAAGGCCCUCUGGCAUUCUUCGGCAGCUUCAGUCAUUUCAACCUUCGGCCUCCGAAGGCCGAAGCUUUGCCAAAUAGGGCGCAUGAUUAUACCUUUGAUAUCUUCUCGUAUUGUCAGAUCAUUCUUCACAUAGAACCAUUCUGUCAUCCAGUCUCCGGGCCAUCUCUUCCGAAAGGUUGGCACGGGGCAGCUUGACCCGGACCGAGAAACGAAACUGUAGCAGCCAAAAUUAUUAUGAUACUGUUCCUUACCCCAAGGUUUUGUUUCAUAUGAUAAUUCGUGUAUAUUGCAGAAGCUUUUUGCAUCAGGCUGCAGACCUUGGCUUCUCACGGCCCACACGAAGACAUUCAGCUUUAUGAUUGCUUCGGGGGUAAGUUGGUGAAGAUAGACUUCGAAGAUUUUCAGCACCUCCACGACGAAGCUGCUCAAGGGAAAUCGCAGUCCAGCUUUCAAAAAGCUUCGGUACACUACGACUUCAUUUUCUUCAGGGUGUGGGCACGUUUUUCCCCUUCGUCAGCCCUCACAAUGGAUAAAUCCCGGAAAUACCUUCCUCUCAUGUUGACAAGAUGAUUCUCUUUGAUAGUUGAUUUACCAUAAACUGAAUGGCUUGGUCGCCAGGGACGAUCUUUGGAGUCCUCACCACCACUGUCCACAUCAUAGCUGUCACUGUCACCAGUAUCUUCAGACAAACCUUCCAGAAUCUCCUUGGUGAUUUUUUCUGUAUUGGUCUUUGACAUUGCUAUAAGAAACCCCAAGUUUUUCUCUUCGUCCAGGCUCAGCUUCAUCUCAGCAGCAGUCUUCUUAUCCUCAGACAUCUUCGGAGACACUAAAAACUAUUUUCAAAGCCGAAGCUUCAAAACUAAAGGCUUAACAAAUCUUAGUGCGCAAGAGCUAAAAAUUGAGUGAGCAGGAGCAAUUGGCCAGAGAGCGUGUCAAAUGAGUUUGCGGUAUGACUGUAUUUAUACGCCAAGAGCGUUGAAAAUUGAAAGACCCCGCUUGUCAGUGAAUGUUGCUAUUCUAGCAAAGGGAAGGUGUUUUUUCGGACCUUCGGCGUAAAGCCUUCGUCCAUAUCGCAAUCUAAAUUUAUUAUUUCAAACAAAUUAAUAUUGCGAGGGGCUACUGUUGGGGACCUUCGGCAUCCGAAGGUCCUCAAAAACAGGAUUUAACAGUAUUUCUGGAGCAUAAUGUGUGAACAGGUAUCUUCGGACUCAGGUCGGCAUCACAGCAGACCAGAAUAAUACGAAGGUCGAUACAGCGCCGAAGGUGUGAGCAGGAAAGCUUCGGCGUGACAGCAGAAAGUGGAACCGACUUAAAGAUGAAAAGGCUAUUUAGACCUCAACAGAUUACUAUAGAAUUAUUAUCAACUGUAAAGGACAUGAAUGUAAUUUUGUAUGGGUUGUGUCCCGCGCCUAUAAAUAGGUGAACAGUAUUCCCGUACUGUUCACGCUGACUUGACAUUCGCUUUCUGCGUCACUCUUGUACUAUCAUCUCCUUCCGAUUGAAGGUACACUUGUAAUUCGAUGAUAUUUCUGUUUAUACAUAAUAAUAAUAUAUAAUCGUUCGUAUGGUCUUUUAUAUUCUUUAUAUUUCAUCCUUCAUCAUUGUCUGAUGAAUUUAUGAAGGUACGUCCUUCAUAACCUUCGUCCGUAAGCAAUUAUGUCCUAAGGGAAAUAAUUCUUCGGAGGACGAAGGACUUUAAUGAUUAACGUUUUCUAUGUUGCCUUGUUCUUAACUCAAAGCACUUGAGAACAAGUCCCCAACAACGAUCAGCGGGGAGCAUAGCACGGAAGUGGUCCCACCAAGUCCGAGCAGGGCCGCGAAGCUGCUGUGCGGCGAAGCGAGCCUUGGCCUCAUCAGGGCAGUCUCCCGUGAGGAGGGGAAACUUGGACUCAACGACGCGAAGCCAUACGUCGGCACCCAACGAAUCCUCUGCCUUGGUGAACAAGGGUGGCUGCGUGCUCAGAAACUCCUGGUAAGUUGCCAUAGCCGGAGGUCGCUGAUGCUGGCCUCCACCAUGCUGCUGAGGGUGGGGCUGGCGCUGCAAGAGCUGUCACAGAAUCUCAUUCUGCUAGGCCAUCAGCUCCUGCACUGUGGGAGCUGGAGGAGGUGGCAGGGGAACCUGCUCGUUAUGCCCGCGACGCUGCCUAGCUGUCAUCUGAAAACAGAGAUUGUCGCCAUUGUUAUCCCAACUCACAGUUUCGAACGACAAGAUAUCAUCUCAUAUGGAAGGAAAAAUGCCAUAAUCAUAAUAUUAGGUUCGAAAUGAAGAUAACAUGGUGACAAAUAUCCCACAGAUUUCAAAAGUUCACAGGGUUACAUCAAUCAGGGGAAGGUACCCAUAAGCCUAGUCCAAAAUCUGACAUUAACUAAGCUCGCAUAGGUUUCUAUCCGCCUAAAAGUGUCGAAGUGACUGCUUAACCCUGAGCGGUGGAAGCGACACUAGAUACGGGUGAAGGAGGCAUCGCAGAGGUAGUCCCAUUGGCACCAUGGGCUGGUCCUAGCUCCUCGGGAGCCUCUUCUCCCUCGCUUCCUGCUUCAUUGGCCUCCAUCUCCAGGUGGUGCAUGUCCAAGUGGUCGUUUGCUUCUUCGAGUUCCCUCUGCACAUCGUGAAGAUGAUUCUCCAAGACAUCAAUAGUGUUGUCUCGGAUCUCCACCUGCUGCUCCAAGGUGGUGAUGCGCUGGCUCAGCCUCUUCACCUGCAGAUCCUUCUCUACCAACUCGGUGGAUAGAUCAACCACAAAAUCUUCUCGACUGUCGAGAGUGAGCUUGGCAGUUUGAGCGGUGUUAGCAAGGAGUGCCAUAGCAUCGCUCUGAAGGGCCUGAAGGCGGUACAACGCACUCAUGCACUGAACAGUGACCCUCCCAACCAAGUCAGGAUACAUCGCCCACACAUCCUUCACAUGGCUCACGCGGUUACACCACAUGGGAUCAUCCUUCUUCUCAGCAGGGAAGAGUCCCAAGGGGUGCAUCACCAUCUCCAGGGGAUGGUAGCCACAGAAAGUCGUCAGAGUCUUCAUGGCUGCUGCUUCAACGGUGUCGUCCAUCCUGAGUCCAAUCAUCUCAGAAUCAAGAGAACGCCAACCCGGCUGAAGGGGAUGAGCCUCCAAAGUCAGCCAGACCCGACAACGAGGUACCCGAUGCUCCUCAUACAACUGCACCGUGUACAAAGGGGGCGUAGGGUAACCGGCGGAGUUAAGCACUUCCCACAAGAUGGAAGGAAAACCAUCGCGAGAAAGGAAGUCAGAACUGAAACGAGAGUCUCCUCCACUGGCGGGGUGGGUGAAUUCAUCUGCAGAAGGGAAUCAAGGGUAACGAUUAUGGUGGAAGGAAUAAGAAAGAAAAAAAAGAGCCCGGAUGGUUUUAGAGAAAGUGGGUUAGCUCAAAAUUUUAAUUCCUCUUUAUGUUUUAUAAUGCAUGCAUGCUGGAAGUAACGUUGCCUCUCACAAGAAAAUAUGGUGCUUUUUAGGGCAUCCUUAAAAAUAUAAGUACUGGCCCACGGGGCCUAAUUAGCCACCUAUUUCUCCCUCUAUGCCUAAGGCCUUUCGUCCUAGGUCUAGCGGUCUAGUCCUGACGAUCUGUAGCAAUUUCUAGGCAAGUUUUAGAUUUUGAAGAUUGGUAUUCAUGGUUUAUUGUCCUUCUCUGUGGUGGAAUUUGCUCCGAUACCAGCUGUGGCAGAACCACCCGAAUUAUUCCAGCUUAAGUGCCUAAGUCACGCCUCAGGGGCCGUAACACACUUAAAUCGGAAUAACCCGUCAGUCCCUCAGAUCUAGUCUGAUAGAGCCACUUAACCAGGAUCAAAUUCCACAAUCUCACUCGAAGGUGAGUCACAUAAAUACAAUAAAACAGGAAACCUCAAAUUAAGUGCUGAAUUAUUACAUAGAUCUGAGUUUUUGAGUAGCAAAUAAAGUUCACAAAAUAAAGUGCAGCGGAUAAUCGAUGUCGUCGGUAUCGAGGAAUUGGGCAAGGCCUAGCCCACUACUCCUCGUGCUCCUCUCCUGCCGGAGCAACAUCCCACUCGACCGUCCAACCCGGUGGCAGGGUGGUUGGCCAAGUCACACCAUCAACCAUUUCCUGAAUGGUACCUGCAAAAAUUGUGCCACAAGCAAGGCUGAGUAUACUAAUACUCAGCUAGACUUAACCGGUGUGAGGAGUCUACUCCUCUACCUCUAGACUAUGCAGCUGUUUGGCUGAGGGGUUUGGUUUGCCAAAAGCACUAGCUGUUUCUAAAAUCAAUUUUUAGCUUUUCAAAUUCUAUCAUCAUCAACUUAGCUAGAUUUGCUCCUUCUAAGCAUACAUGGUGACGAGCAUUUAGUUCAAUCAACAAGUUAUCUCAUGUAACCUCAUUUCACUUCUUACUCGAUGGAGUACAAGGGGUCAAGCAGUCUCAUUAGCUGCGAGAAGCAGACGAUUCGAAUCGAGUUUUAACCUUGCAAGAUAAACCUAAACACAUGACAUGUCAGGGUACUCCGUCCCCACACACGUCAACCGUCCCCAUCGAUCCCCCGUUCGCAUCCAGGCCUCACCGCCUUGGCAUACAAUGCUCCACUGACCCCGGCCGCCGCCGUGCAGUGACCGCACUUGUACCCACCAUAGCUAGCAUGGGAGACCCAGUCUCAGGUCGUAUGAGGGAUAAAGUCCGCGCCCGGCUUCAAUCAGGUACUAGGUUUACCGGUUACCAUUUUUCCCGGCAUGUGCUUAGUACGUUCAUAAGCUUGACUCAGGUAUCCACACAUUAAUCCUUAAUUCCUUUUCCCGUCUCAUGGACAAGGCAUCCUCCCUGGAUCCAAGUCCAUAGACUAACAUAUAUCCUGUUAUCAAGAUGAAUACAAUCAAUUCCUGACCUCGCGCGAGUGCUAGAAAAAUCACUCGACUUCUACCGAGAUCCUGAUUAACAAGCAGCUACUCGACCUAGCAUACUAGUAUUCAUCUCAAAAAGGAAUCCUAAGUUCAUGCAACUAGAGGUUUCAAGCAACUCCUACACUUAAGUGCACAUUGCAAUCCUACAAGCAUUAAGUGUAGUAAAGUAGCAUAUAAUAAUACAGUUAUGCAUAAAACCGGGGCUUGCCUUCAAUUGCUGGGGCUGCGGGGAGAUCCUCAAUAGCAGCCUCUGAAGCCUGCUCCUGGUCCUCCUCUUGGACAUGUCCUUGCUCGGGGAUGAGCACGUACUCUCCGUCGGCAAGAUUACAAUCUAAUGAAUGCAAUGUGUAAGAUACAUGCAUGAUAUGAUAGGUGCUUUAGAAAUUACAACUUUUGACGGUGUAUGAUCUACUUGGGUUAAACAAGGUUAACUUUACUUAUGUAAGACCCUUGGGUGGUAUACUUGGUAAAUUGGGUCAAACUUAGCUAAGGUAAGUGGUAGGUUUAUUUUUGGGGUUCCACUGAAUUCUUUUUAAGUCUUAGUGAGAGUUGAUAAGUACUCAAGUUAGACUUAUUGGGGUGAGGUUUAUUUCCUCUUCCCUUUUCUUUUACUCUCUUAAAUGUUUUGGAGUGGGUUUGAACUACAAGUUGCUUUUAUAAAAUUCUAAAACUUCUGCAAAAAUUACAGUGGCUUGGUACUGGUGUAUAUUUCUCUGUCUCAAAAUUUGGGGAUCAGAAAGUGAAUAGUUUUCUCUGGACAAAAUUAUUAAAUUCUAGCGCAGAAGGGGUGCUUUGAACUACAACUAUUAUUUAACAGUGGGUAGUUCUCUAAAACUUAUUUUGCUGGCUUUUAGGUGUUAUAACAUGACUUGAUACAAAUUUCUAGUCAUUAAUACCUUUUAAUUAUUUUACUAUGGUUUUCUCAAGUUUCUUGCCAAAUGGGUGCUUUCUACUACCACUAUAUUUGAAAAAUAUCAAACAACAGAGUUCUUAUUUUUCUUAGUUAUUGUUUUGCGCAAGAGCAAUCAUUCUGAAGUUUGGCCUCUUUUUGCUUAAGGGAAGGGGUGGUAUGCAUUAUUUAAAUUAAGUGGCAUUUCCCAUAAAACACUAGCAAUAGGUAGGAGUUUGCUUCUUUUUCAUGGGUUUGCAUUUUUCUCUGGUGGUUUAUCUCAUUAUGAACUUAGCUAAUUUUUGGUUGCCCAUUAUCACAUUAUUAGGGGUUGUUCAUGAUUUAUUUGGAAAAUACCUCAUUAGCAUUCUAUAUUUAUUUUCCUUACUUAAAAAGUUGGGCUGAGGUGUUCUUUAUUUUUGUAGUGGGGCUCUGGUGGUUGUAAGUCCACUGGAUUUUUAUUAUUCAUUUUGGGUAUAGUUUUGUAAUUCCAAUAAUUGAUUCUUAGUUCAAAUAAGGCUAAAUAAAGUAUUUUAAUUUAAAACUGAUCUGGACUAAGGGUCUCUUUAUUUUUCCUAUGUUCUCUGUUGCAUAAGCAAACUAGGAAAAAUAAUUUUACUCACUGUUCAUCAAUUUCUAAUGCCUUUCUGGUUUUUUUUAAGUUUUGGGCAAAAUAGCUUUAAAUGAUUAUCUACAUCAUAUUUUCCAAUGCUAGGGUUCCCACUAUUUUAAACAGUGUCUAAGUGAGGUUUGAAUACCUACAAAUUUUCUUAUGUUCGGUACAGAAGAAAAACAAAUUUUCCUUAAUUAAACUAGGUUUGGUAAGUUUCUGUUUUUAAUUUUAACUCUAAAAUUUAGAACAGAAAGCAUAGGGUUUAUCAUUUUUAAAUGAUAGCUCAUAAUAUUUAGGAUCUAGCAAAAAUAGUUUGACAACUUUUGAUUAAGAAUUCAUCAAGUUAUGGAUUUUCUAAGUUCUCUGGUUAUUUAAAAAGAUUAACAGAAUUGAUUAAAUGGAAAACUACUUUGCACGGGGGUCCCUGGCGGGUAUUUUAAGUUUCCUUCGCAGAUCAGUCCUUAGGCUACUAUUCACAUGGGUCACUGACUUUACAGAAAACCCCUGGGGUUCUCCAAAUCCUAACCCGAGGUCCUUCUCCUAACUUAAACAGUAACCGCGGCGGAAGAAAGGGCGGAGGGGCUUACCGGCGGCGAGAUGGCUCCGGUGAAGUGGUCGAGGACGUAGGGGAGGUCUCGGGGAUCACAACGGUGUGCGGGUCGCCGUCGGGGAUGGCCGGAGUUGGCUGGUCCACGUGCGCAGGCGGGGAUGCUCGUCGGCGGCGAGGAGUCCGGCCUGCUCAUGGCGAGAUAGUUCAAUUGGACGGCUCAGAGAGGUUCACGGGAUGCCAGAGAAGAUAUGGGUGCAAGGAAUUGGACGGAGACUCACCGGUUAGCUCUGUCCACGCGCGGUGGCGAAAGACCGAAGUCCGGUGAGGUCGAUCUCGGGCCUCCGGUGAAGUCCGGCCUGGUCUGAGGGCUUGGAAAGCUUCACGGGCCACUGGCGGAGCUAGCCGAAGCACUGGCUCGACUUGGGGGUGGCUGGAGUGGGCUGGCCACGGUGGCCGAAGCUCUGGCGGCAAUGGCGGGCAGAAUUGAGCUCGCCGGAGCUAAGGAGAGGGGGCUGGCCGGUGAAGGUGAGCGCGGGGUGAAGUGGGGCGCGCCCGGGGAGGCUUUAUAGGCGCGGGCGAGCACGGCCGAGGGCGAGGCUCUGACAUGCGCUCGGGGCGUGUGCGGCGAACGCCAGUGCGCGCUCUGGCGCCUGGCACAGCGUCGAGCACGAGGCAGUGCAGAGAGAGGUCAAGUUCAAACGCGGAUUGGGCCCAAAUCUUUGAAAUUAAGGCCACGAUCCCGUUGAAAGAUCUCUUCCUCUUAGGUCCCUUUGUCGUUUGUGUGUGGAGGCUAGCAACUUUCGCUGACUGGAUUAAGAGAUAGAGAGGGGAGAAAUCCUGUUUGUCUCACUGCCACACACAGGGAAAAAUUCUCUGGUUUGACGUGUCCGAGGCACGCGUCCCAAUGCCAUCUCCUGGCACAUGACAGAGGGGUUAAUUAGGCACAUUUUUGUUAAUGGGGCCAUUAGGAUUCGAGUUAGGGAUCAAGGUGAAAAUCCCUGAUCUUUGGCUCAAGGUCUGAAUUUCAGAAUUCUGAAAUUCAGAAUUCCCAUUAAGUCCCCACAUGAGAAGCUUGAUUUGGGGUUUUAUUUGAGUUAAUUUGGCCAAGCUUUCUCAACCUUUCUUGUUACUUAUUUAAUAUACUUCAAUUUUUAUAAUUGGCUCAUGUCAUAAUUUUAAAUUUUUCAUACCCUUUUCCUUAUUUUCUUGAAUUUUGCUCAUGGGGCUCACUUAGGGUUUUUAUUAGGGUUACACCAUUCUUACCUUUUUGAAGGACCCAUUUGCUUUGGUCAUGAUACUUUUAAGUAUAUGCUUGGUGAAUUCUUUAUUGCUUAAGUUAAUUUGAUGCUCAUGCUUACUUUGGUUCACAUAAAAUGAUGGUUCUUGGUUUGGCAUUUUGAGAGAAACCCUAGGUGACACUGGGGUGUCACAAAUUUAAAGGCAGCGCAGUCUAGACAGCGAAGCUAUGCUGACACCCGAAGAAGAGAACUCAAUUUCAAAGUGGGAGACUAUGUCUACUUGAAGGUGUCACCCAUCAGAGGAACCAAAAGGUUUGGAGUCAAAGGCAAGCUAGCACCCUGAUAUAUUGGGCCGUAUCAGAUCCAAGCGAGACGCGGAGAAGUGGCUUAUCAACUCAGCUUACCAGAGAACCUGUCCGCUGUGCACGAUGUGUUCCAUGUGUCAGAAGAGCAGUUGCCAGCAGAGGAUCUUGAAGUUCAAGAAGAUCUAACAUAUAUUGAGAAGGCAACUCAAAUUCUAGAGACAGCAGACCGGGUCACUCGAAGAAGUACCAUCAGGAUGUGCAAAGUCAAAUGGGGUCACCACUUAGAAGAAGAAGCAACCUGGGAAAGAGAAGAUGAAUUGAAAGCCAAGUACCCUGAGCUCUUUUCUAGCCAGCCCAAAAUCUCGAGGGCGAGAUUCUUUUAAGGGGGAUAGGUCUGUAACACCCUGAUUUUGGGGGUAUAAAAUUUCUUUCUAAUUAUCACCCAAAAUCAUGUGUUACUCUUCCUUUUCUCACUCUAGGCUUUCUCUCUCUCUAGAUUCUUGCUCCCUUUUUCCUUUUGAUUAGAAAUAGCUUAAACUAGUGGAGAUUAAUUAUUUAUUUUUGUCAAAACCUUAUGAGUCAUGACAUGUUGCAUCAUGCUGAGCUUAAAAUAUUCUUUGAAGUGUUGCACAAGUUUGAAUUUAUUUGAAUUUGGAUUUGAAAACUCUAUAGAAAAAGAAAUGGAAAAACAAUUAGAAAAUCUAGAGAAAAAGGAAAAGGGAAAGCAGCCCAGUCGGCCCACUAAGCCCAGCCAGGCCGCGCGCCCGCGCGCCCGCGCCGCCUGACAGGCGGACCCCGCCUGUCAACGGCAGUUCUCCCUCGCGCGUGCCCUCUCUCUCUCGCUCGCUGCCCAGUGGGCCGAUCUGUUGGCGCCUGUUUUUCUCCCCUACGCGCUCCCUCUCUCUCUGUCUCGCGGGCCCGGUUCGCCAGUCGCCGAGCCAUUGCCCCGCGCACCCUUUCUUCUCUCUCUGUGCCGUGGGCCUGCCCUGUCAGUUUCGCCCCCUCCACGCUCGCCGUGGACCGGCGCGUUCGCACUCGCGCACGUCGCUGGAUUUCUCGGCCACGACGCCCGCCCACGCGCCCAGCUCCUUUCUUAGAGCCCUGCCAGUGCCCCCGCCCACAUCCCUCGCCUCAUUUCGCUUAGCUUCACCCUCUCUCGCACUCUGCCCACGCCGCCAACCACCGCCAGAGACCCGCGCCCGCGUUCCCGGCCAUCCAGCUCGCCGGAGACCGCUCCAAGCCUCCUCGAGCUCCGCCCCGAGGUGAGACACCCGUCCCCGUGCCCAAUUUCCCCUAUUGCGCCCUGUGUUCGGCCAAUUUCGCCUUCACCGAUGCUCGGCCACGGCGGACCGCCGUGCUCGCGCGGUGGCCGGCCGAUUUAGCCCGGUCUAGUUCCCCGGCGUUAGUCCCUAAGGUGCCUCUGCCUCUGCUGAAGCUAGCCAAGGCCUUAGCGCGCCUUAAGUCUCUUCCCUGUGGCCGGAAUGGCUCACCGGAGUUGCUCCGGCCCGCUCGAGGCUUCCUCACCGCCGUUCUCCCUUCUCUGCCCGUGGAUUCAUGGCCUCUUCCCCGCCAUUGAGUUUGCCGUGGCGCCCUCUCCCUCUCUGCCCAACUCCGGCCACCCGGAGCCACCCUAGACCGCGCCAGCCUCAACUCUGGUGACCUCACCACCGUGGAGAGGAGCGGCGCUGCCCGCAGCCAUUGAACCCCCUCGGUCUGAUCCCCUCCGUCCAAUUCGGAUCGAAUGGCUCAGAUCACAAAUAACGCUUCGCGCACGCACGCCGUAGCGCCCUGGCCCGCUUGUAAGCGCCAAAACCCUCUGGCGCUGAGCCCGCUCGGUCGGCGCGCUCUCCCCCUCUAUCGCUGACACUCCAUCGCCCGCCUGUCAGCGCUCGCCCGCUCUCACGCGCGCGCCCUCGGCCGCAGAUCUAAUCUCAGCCGUUGGGUUUAGACCUGUCGGUUAGAUUCACCCGAUACCCCUUCGCGCGGUAGUUUUCUUAAAGAGACCCUCGAUUUAUUGGAAAUCAACCCGCCGUCCCUGGUUUUCGCGCGCAGGCCCCUGUAAUCUUGCAGAUUUAGCCCUGGACUUUUAAAUAUUCACAGAAUUAGCCCUAAUUUCAUAUUUUGAAUUCCCAAACUUGUUUAUUUCAUAACUUUUGCAUAUGAACUCCAAAUUUAGUGAUUCAAAUUGCAAAAUGUUCAUAGAAUUAUUCUCUGUUUAAAUAAAAUGGUUUCACUUACUGUCUACACACUAUAAUUUUUAGGAUUGAAUAUGAACUAAUGUAGAUGUAUUUUUAUUUAUUUAAUAAAAUAAAUAAAAGGAGAACCUUAGAGAUUUAAACAUGUGUAAGCUUGUGAGAUUAAUAAUGUGUAUUACAUGAGUUUACCUCUGUUCUAAAUUUUAGGUCACAAUAAAAUAAGUUGAACUAUGUUUAUGUACUUGUAAGUAACACUUAGGGGAAAUAGUAAUCUAUUUUCAAAUAAAGUUAAUGUAGGUUAUAGUUUAUGUUAUACUUUGAAUUCAUUAUCCCUUAUAUAGUAUUAUGUCUUUUUAAGAUGUGUUCCAAUGUUUGUACAUGUUUGGUGUGAUGUUCAUUUGUACUUUCCAAAUGUAUUGAAUGCAUGCUCGCUUUAUUUAGACAACGAGCAGUCCGAGGUUCCUGAGUGUGUUGUUGGAGACCACCCUGAGCAACCACCUGGUGAAGGUAAGUGUGCUCUGACCUAUUAUGUCCUACAUACUUUAUGAUUCAUUGUCCCACAUUACUUUAUGAAACCUAAGGACUGACUAGUCUAUAUUCACUUAUCCUUAUUUACCUUUUGGGUUAUCAUGGUUAGCAUGUUGCUAUUGCCUUAACUUAAUAAAUGAACAUGAUGUGAACAUUUAUGAUACGAUACUGUUAUCCUGAUUAUGUGGAUGAUCUUGUGAUACCUUAGGGGGUUCAGGCCUUUUUCCUGAGUACCUCUCCGUAAGGACCUGUUUGUGGAGUGACCACCCGGGAUAACAGUGCAACCAUGAGGGUGGAAUGGGACGCCCUUAGUUGAUUAAUUAGAUGAACCUAGGGGCGUAGUUGGCUUUGCCGGAGGGCCAUCAAUGGGGGCCGGGGCGUAGUGCUCGCUCUGCCAAGGUUGGGGUGCAGAGGUUCUUUCGAUUUGGUUUUGUUAGUCACCCACCUUGGGGAGGUGUACUGCGUUUGUACGACUGGCGAAACCUAACGAGCAGCUAUGCACCAGGGGAGUCUUUGUAAAGGCUACGUAGUGUAUCCCUGGCCAUUCACCUUGGUAGUGAAGAUCGGGUCUGUAGAACCCAGGCUGGAAAAGGAUCACGACUUGUGGGUAAAGUGUACAACCUCUGCAGAGUGUUAAAAACUGGUAUAUCAGUCGAGCUCACGGUUAAGAGCAGCCUUGGGAUCCUCUUUGAUUAGAAGAAUUUUGGAUAUUUUUAUGAUGAUGAUUAAUAGUGAUGUUAUAAAAUCUGAUCUCUGGUAUUUCCUCUUGGAGGGAGUGACUCUGGGUAAUAACUGGGUUUAUUACUAAAAGUUGGCUCUACUAAUAACAAUAAAUACUUGACUAACCUAAAAGAAACUGCUUGACCUCAACCCAUAUACAGCUAAGCCACUUUAGCCAAACGGGACAUUUGCUGAGUAUGUUGAUGUGUACUCACCCUUGCUUUACACACCACCCCCACCCCAGGUUGUCCCCAGUGUACUCAGUGCUCUGGAGGUGAUGCUGGCAACAUGGAUGACUUCGUGGAGUUCCAGGAAUAUGACGAGUUCUAGUUCUUUCUUAGUGGCAAACCCCAGUCAGCUGCCUGUGUAGGCUUAGCAUCUACAUUUCGUAUUUCCGCACUUUGAUAGUUAUGUUAAAGACAAUGGUAAUGUAAUAGACUCUAUGGAUGUCUUGGACAUCUUGAUGUAAUAAAGUACCUUUCCGCUAUUUAUUUCGAGCAUUGUGUGAUGAUGUCCAAUUAUGUAAUCGCUGUAUGUGAGUUUCUAAUCCUGGCACGUACAUGGUUCACAUUUGGUUUGCCUUCCAAAACCGGGUGUGACAUCGUCCUUAGCCAUGAGACAAUUGUGGCCAACGUUUGGGAAGAGGAGGCCUUUGUUGACAGCGAUGUUGGCGGCGUCCUCGUCGGAGGAGUCGAUGGAGCUCUCGUCGGAGUCCCUUUCCCGACAUAUGUGCGCAUCGCCGCCCUUGUUUUUGUAGUAUCUCUUCUUCUCCUUAUUCUUCCCCUUCUUGUCUUCGUCCUUGUCACUUUCACUAGAGAUUGGACAUUUAGCUAUGAAAUGACCAGACUUACCACACCGGUAGCACACCCUUUUGGAACAGGACUUGUAGUCCUUCCCCCUCCUUUGCUUGAGGAUUUAGCGAAAGCUCUUGAUAAUGAGCACCAUCUCCUCGUUGUCAAGCUUGGAGGCGUCAAUUGGAAGCCUACUUGGUGUAGACUCCUUCUCUUCUUCCGUUGCUUUGAAUGCGACGAGUUGCACCUCGGGUGGAGAGGUGGCGCCUUGCUCCAAGUUGACAAUGUGUUUGGAGUCUUUGAUCAUAAGUUCAAAGCUCACAAACUUGCUAAUCACUUCCUCGAGAGACAUUAGUUUGUAUCUAGGAUCUCCACGUAUUAAUUGAACUUGAGUAGGAUUACGAAAAACAAGGGAUCUUAGAAUAACCUUGACCAUUUCAUGGUCAUCCCAUUUGGUGCUCCCGAGGUUGCGCACUUGGUUCACCAUGGUCUUGAGCUGGUUGUACAUGGCUUGCGACUCUUCUCCUUUGUUGAGGACGAAUCGAUCGAGUUCUCCCCCGAUCGUCUCCCACUUGGUGAUCUUGGUCACCUCGUCCCCUUCGUGCGCGGUUUUGAGGACGUCCCAAAUUUCUUUGGCACUAUUUAACCCUUGCACCUUAUUAUACUCUUCUCGACAUAAAGAGACUAGGAGUAUAGAAGUUGCUUGGGAGUUAAAGUGCCUAAUUUGGGCGGCCUCUUCCGAGUCGUAGUCCUUGUCCCCCACCUUAGGUACCUACGCUCUAUACUCAACAAUAUCCCAAAUACUUUCGUGGAGUGAGGUUAGAUGGUGCCUAAGUUUAUCAUUCCACAUACAAAAAUCUUCACCAUCAAAAUAUGGUGGCUUGCCUAGGGGUACAGAGAGUAAUGGGGCGUGCUUUGAAAUAUGGGGAUAGCGUAGGGACAUCUUACUAUACUUCUUGCGCUCAUGGCGCUUAGAAGUAGUGGACGACUCGGAGCUUGAUGUGGAGGGUGAUGAAGAGUCGGUCUCGUAGUAGACCACCUUCUUCAUCUUCUUCUUCUUGUCACCUCUCCGAUGCGACUUGAUGGAGGAAGAGGAUUCCUCCUUGUGUUUGUUGCCGGAUAGGUGUGGAAACGAGCCAAGCCGAGCUCGGCUCGGCUCGUUACGGCUCGCUCAUGCAACGAGCCGAGCUCGGCUCGGCUCGCCCAUCUGGCGAGCUCGGAAAAGCGGCUCGGCUCGGCUCGCUCCGGGCUCGUCGAGCCAAUGAGCCUAGCCAUAAACGUAAAUCUGCUCUCUAAAUUAUAAUAUAAAAUCUUAAAAAUAUUUUAAAUAACAUAUUUUAAAUUAAUAAAAUAGACAUAUCGCUAAUAUAAUAUAUAAAAUAGAUUAUUUUUGUAUAGUUAUCUCAAAUAACAUAAAUUAUUGUCUACUCGGUACUAACAUUAUAUACUAAUUAAGAUUUUAUGUAACAAAUUGUUGUUGGGUCGAGCCACGAGCCAGCUCGCGAGCUGCACCGAGCUGAGCCGAGCUGGCUCGCUCUUUUCACGAGCCGCAAAAACAGGCCCGACUCGGGCUCGUUAUGAACGUCGAGCCGGUCCGAGCCGAGCCGAGCUACUGCGAGCCUGAGCCAGCUCAUCGAGCUCGAGCUUUUUUUCCAGCCCUAUUGCCGGACUCCCUUGAGAGAGUCCUCCCCGAGCUUGCGUCUUUUUCACCGGUCAUGAUCUCCAUCUUGGCGUGAUCUCUAGACAUCACUUCGAGUUGGUUAGACUCGUAAUGAAGCACUGGCUCCGAUACCAAUUGAAAGUCGCCUAGAGGGGGGUGAAUAGGCGAAACCUGAAAUUUAUAAACUUAAAUGCACACUAAGGUCAGGGGUUAGCAUUAAUUAAAUUCAAGUCUAAAGAGAGGGAAAAACAAAUCAAACAAGAAUCAAGGCGAUUGAAUACGAUGAUUUGUUUUACCGAGGUUCGGUUCCAAAGAACCUAGUCCCCGUUGAGGAGGUCACAAAGACCGGGUCUAUUUCAACCCUUUCCCUCUCUCAAACAGUCACUUAGACCGAGUGAGCCUUCUCCUUAAUCAAUCGGGUCACUAAGACCCCGCAAGGACCACCACACACUUAGGUGUCUCUUGCUUUGAUUACAAGUCACUUGAGAGCAAGAAUGAGAAAGGAAGAAAGGCAAUCCAAGAAACAAAAGCGCAAAAGAACAUGAACACACACUCUCUCAAGUCACUAAAUGGUUGAGAUGAAAUCUAGACUUGGAGAGGGUUUGAUCUUUGUAAAUGUGUCUUGGAGUGAAUGCACUAGCUCUUGUAUUGAAUGUGAUCUCUGAAAAACUUGGAUGCCAAAGGUUGUGGUGGUUGGGGGGUAUUUAUAGCACCCAACCACCUUGGUAGCCAUUGGUCAAGGCUGCUGGCGAUGGGCGCAUCGGACAAUCCGGUGCGCCACCGGACAUGCACUGUUCGUUGUCCGGUGCGCCACCAUGUCACUUAACCGUUAGGGUUCUGAGUUGGUCGACCGUUGGAGACUUUGUCUUCUUGCGGUACCGGACUGUCCGGUGCCACACCGGAUAGUCCGGUGCCCUCUGACUUCGUUGCUCCGACUUCUGCCGCGGCAUUGUAGCCCACUGUAGCACUUUGCAGAGUCGACCGUUGGCGCUGGAUAUCCAUUGCCCGCUGGCUCACCAGACAGUCCGGUGGCACACCGGAUAGUCCGGUGAAUUUUAGCGGAGCGCGCCCUGGAAUUCCCGAGAGUGGCUGGUUGACAUCUGUACGGUCCUGGUGCACUGGACACUGUCCGGUGGCACACCGGACAGUCCGGUGCGCCAAUUUUCAGCACACUCAAGUCCUUUUGCUCCAAUAAAAUUGUGUCCCUGUUGAAGACUUGUUCUCAAAUGCUAUGAGUUAAGAACAAGGCAACACAAAAAAUGUUAAACGUUAAAGUCCUUCGUCCUUCGAAGCAUUAUUUCCCUUGGGGUAUAAUGAUUUUUGGACGAAGGUUAUGAAGGGCGUACCUUCAUAAGCGCAACAUAUAAUAAUGAAGAGAGAAUCAUAUGAAAUAUAAAAGAUAACAUGAACAAUUAUGUAUUAUUAUCAACUCAUUUCUAUUUUACUAUUAUGGAAAAAUAGAAAUGACAUCAAAUUACAAAUGUACCUUCGGCUUGAAAGAAGGUAAAAGUACAAGCGUGACGCAAAAGCAGAAUGACCAGUCAGCGUGAACAGUACAAGAGCACUGUUCAUCUAUUUAUAGGCACGGGACGCAACCCAUGUAAAAUUACACCCAUACCCUUUACAUUUGCUAAUGACUAUAUAGUAAUCCAUCGAGGUCUAAAUAGCCUUUUCCCUUUUAAGUCGGUUUCCUUUUCUGCUAUCAUGCCGAAGCUCGCCUGUGCAUAGCUUUGGCUCUGCGCCAACCUUCGUAUUCUUUGUGCUUUUUCACACUGUGGUUCUGAUCUGAGUCUGUAGGUACCUGUUCAUGUAUUAUACUCCAGAAACAUUGUUAAAUCAUGUUUUUGAGGACCUUCGGAAGACGAAGGCCCCCAACAGUAGCCCCUCGCAAGGUUAAUUUGUUAGAAUAACGAAUUCAUAUUGUGAUAUGGACGAAGGCCCUAUGCCGAAGGUCCGAAAAAACACCUUCCCUUUGCUAGAAUAGCAACAACUAAUGACAAGCGGGGCCCUCCAUUUUGCAAUGCACUAGAUGUAUAAAUAGGAGCACACGACGAGCUCAUUUGGCACGCUUUUUGCCGUCUGCUCUGCUUGCUCAAUUUUUAGCUCUUGCCUACCAACGCUUGGUUGGUUUUUUAGAUUUUCUAAGCUUCGGCUUUAAGAGCACAUUUUCAUCAUUUCCGAAGAGAUGUCUCAAGAUAAGAAAGCUGUUGUUGAGACGAAGCUAAGCGAGGAGGAGAAGCUCUCUGAGGAGAAGACUGCUGGCUUUAUUGAAUCAAUAGCAAAGACAAAUACAGAAAAGAUUACUAGGGAGAUUUUAGAAGGCUUAUCUAAAGACACCGGUGACAGCGACAGUUAUGAUGUGGAAAGUGGGGGCGAAGACUCCGAAGAUCGACCCUGGCGACCAAGUCAUGCAGUUUUCGGAAAAUCAACUAUUAAACAGAGUCAUCUUGAUAAUAUGAGGGGAAGAUAUUUUCGAGAUAUGUCUAUUGUGAGGGCUGACAACGGAGACAGGACUGCUCCUGUUCCCGAAGAGAAUGAAGUCGUGAUCUUCCGAAGCUUUUUCAAAGCUGGGCUUCGGUUCCCCUUAAGCAGAUUUGUGGUUGAAGUUUUAAAGAUAUACCAAAUUUUCCUUCACCAAAUUACUCCCGAAGCAAUCAUAAGAAUGGGAAUCUUCGUCUGGGCCAUGAGGAGUCAUGGCUUGGAGCCAAGUGCAAAAAGUUUCUGCAGUAUGCACGAACUUUUAUAUGAGACGAAGCCCUGGGGUAAAGAGCAGUAUCAUAACAAUUUUUGUUGCUACAGCUUCGUUGCUCGUUCUAGCUCAAGCUGCCCAGUGCCAACUUUUCGAAAGAGAUGGCCCGGGGACUGGAUGAAAGAAUGGUUCUAUGUGAAAAAUGAUUUAAAGGCACAAGAAGACAUUAAAGAGAUCAUCAUGCGCCCCAUCUGGCAGCGUUUCGGCCUCCGAAAACCGAAGGUAGAGAUUGAUGAGGCAGCCGAAGGAUGCCGAAGGGCCUUCGGCACGGUUUGCGCUUUCAUCGGGACAAGGGAUCUAAUCCAGGAGCAUAUAGCCUAAAGAGUAUGGCCACUUGUAGAGAAGUGGGAAAUGCCGAAGGAGACUGUCACUAAGACUGACGAAGGAGAGCUGGUUCGACUGAAAUACACCUUUAGAUAUGGAGAUAAAUUUGAUGAGCCAAGUGAUGACUGGCUGAAAUGUAUCGAAGCUACAAGUGAUGAACUGCUUGGGCCGUACUCCAAAGCGGAAGAUAAUGCGUUAUCUGCGGCCUUCGGGAGCCGGAAAAAGAAGAGGCUAAAUAGAGUUUUUGAUGCUAUUGGAUUUAUGUAUCCUGACUACCACUACCCGCCAAGGGGGCAGAAGAGAAAGAGUGCAACUUCUGGGAAGGAUGUUACUUCAGCUGCUCCGAGUGAGCCCGCUCCGAAGAGGAGAAAGGUGAAGGUUCUUACUCACCAACCGCGCUAUAUUGAACCGGCCACAAUGCCCGAAUUUGGUGGUGAAACCUCUUCGGCUACUGAAGCCAAAGAACCUGUGCUUACAUAGAAGAUUGAAGAGUCGGCUGCAAUGCCGAAGGCAUCCUCAGCCAAAUUAGCUGAGCCGAAGGCCGAUAAUAUUGAAGAGAUAGAGGUCGAAAGAACAAAGCUAUUAGAAGUUAUAAGCCCUUCGGCAGAAGUGACAGAGCCGACAGCACAAAAAGAUCUUACAAUGACCCCCAAGAGGAAAAGGAUGGUCAACGUACUAGAUGUGUUGGAGACGAUAAAGACUUCAAGCUCUACUCCAGGGAAAACUGGCGAAGCUUCAAAAACGCAGACUGAGACAAAACUAACCGAAGCCGAAGCUGUAAAGAACCAGGCCGAGACCGAAGCUGGGCCUUCAGAGCCCGCCAAGGAGAAAUCCUUUGAAACCGGAGAAAAGGAAACGGAAAAAGAAGCUGCAAAACAAAUUCUGCCUGAAAAAGCUAUCACUUCUACUCCCGAAGCAUCUUCUGAAGUUCUUGGUUAUAUUGUAUGACACGCUUCGGGAAAAAGAUUAUCUGAAGAAGAGAUUUUUGAAGCUAAACACUAUGCCCGAGAACUGAAGUAUCUGAAAGGGGCCUUAGUAUUCAAUGGCACAGACGAAGAAGACUUCUUAUACUGCCUCCCAGACAACAAAGAAUUAUCUGUCUGCCGAGAGAUGGCUAGAAGUAUGGGGUUCCCGAAGCUUGAAGCUAGCCUCUGCGCUAUGACGAAGGAUGAUCUUGCAGAUAGCCUCGCAUAUAACAGUCUGAAGGUACAAAAAUUGUAUAUUUGGAAAUUUAUAAAUUUUGAACUAUUCUUUUGCUCUUAUACUAAUUCUUUUCAUAUAGGGUUUAAUACUUAGCAACGCCUUGAGAGCGCAAAAGAACGCCGAAGACGAGAGCUACACUAUUGCUUUCAACAACCUUCAAAUAGAGGUUAUUAAGCUGAGGAACGAAGCUUUGGAAAAAGAUAAAAUUCUGCUUACAUUGGUGGAUAAUGUAAAGAAGGAUGAAGCUAACUUUAAAACCCAAUCUGAAGCCCAAAAAAUUGAGAUUGAAGACCUUCGGAAGCAACUGGCCGAAGCUAAAGAGAAGUGCGCAGUCGCAGAAGCUAAACGAGGAAUUAGCGAACAAUGGACAAAUCAUUUAGAGAAGAAUGUUGAAGAACUUCACAUAUCCAAGGAAAGAUGCUUUGAAAAAUCUAUGGACUGCGUGAAGAAAAUAAAAACUAGCUUCGCCAACGUCGGCGCAUAUUCAAGCGAGGACAACUUCAUAAGAGGCGAUCCUGGGGCCCAAUUGAAUGGAUCAGCAGCGAAACCGAAGCUUUUGAGGAAGUUUUGAGUGGCCAUGGGGACGUCUGCGCCUUCUCUGGCGCGAGGGGAGUUGCAGCUAUUUUGGAGAAAGCAGGGUGCGAACAUGUUAAAACUUUGGCCCAAGCCGAAGCUGCUUUCUCCAUUGAUGAUACGAAGGAUCCCUCGGCCGAGGCAAGCUUAAUAGGCGAAAAUUUUUUCACUGACGUUUGGGAGAAUGGCGGUCGAGGGAUGGCUCACGAAAUAAUAAAGAAAAGUGAAAAAGAUACUCACGACACUAGAGAAGCGACAAAAACAGCUGAAAAGGCUGCGGAGCUUGAGAGACAAAUAGGUAUUACUUAACGAUUUUUACUUUUGAUGUUUACUUUUGCGACUUCGAAAUAAUUUACGUUUUCUACCGCAGCUGAACUAUCUCCUCCCCCAGAGCCCUUCGAGCCACUGGCCAAAGCAGAGGCAAAAGAAUCAUCAGAAAUUAUUAGCAUGGCUGAAACCAUUAUGGACGAAGUCGUUACUCAACUGCUGACCGAAGCUGCAGACAAAGUUUUGAAAGAAGAAGAAUAGAUAUUGUAAAAAUAUUGCCAAAAUAUUAAUGUAACAUUUGCUGGACUAUGCUUGUAAUAUUUGGUACUCAUGAGUUCUUAAUGUAAUGUGUAAAUGGCUUUGUAAUCCAUUUCUUUGCGAUGCAUGAAAUUUUUAUUGUACAUACUGUUUCUGAGCCUUCGGCGAAAAAAUACCUUCCCUUCUUUUCAUGCUACGUAAAUAAGAGUUUUUAUGCUUCGUGAAAAAUCCUCCAAUCAUUGCAGAAACAUUAAUGCUUCGUCAGUAAUAGACUUUCUUCCUUGAUAUCAGGGUGCUUCAUAAAAAAUGCUCCAAGCGUCGCCAUAACACUGAUACUUCGUCAAUAAUAGACUUUUUCCUCCACUUCAGAGCUGAUAAAGUUGUAUCUUUUCAAAACUUAUUUUGUGCCUUAGCACAAUUUCACUUUUUCGAAGCAUUCUCCGAAGGUCAACAUUGUAUCCCCUUCUUGUGCCAUUGAUGCAAUAUGAUGUAUGAUGUUAUGUUAUGAGAAAUGCUGUGAUGAUGUUAUGCUAUGCGAAAAUGAUACUUUGUGCCGAAGACACACACUCACAUCCCCAUAUGGAAUACACAAUCUCUUUGACGUUUAUUUUUCGGCUUCACCGUUUAUUUUUCGGUGUAUCAGCGCUGAGUUUUCGCUGUAAGUUCUGCAUUCCCUUAGGAACGUCUUUUGAACUUCUUCGUCUUCUAUUUCGGCGGUAUUCGCGUUGACUUUUCGCGCUUCGCCUUAUAUUUCGGCGGUAUUUGGCUCUGCAUUCCCUUUGGAACGACUUUUGAGCAGAAAACUUACACUACGCUCCCUUAGGAAUGACUUUUUGUAGCUUCGGCAAACUUACGCUGCGUUCCAUAGAACGACUUCGGCAAACUUACGCUGCGUUCCAUAGAACGACUUUUUAUGCUUCGGUGACUUUUUGGACUCCGUAAUUCUGUGGAGAAGAUAUAUUUUCACUAUGGCAAAAAUGAAGUUAUUACAAGGAAUUGAAAACGACAAGAAAACUAGGUUUUCAAUAAUUGUUCCUAAGUAAGAAAGAAAAUGACAACGAAUGUAAAAACUGAUUCAGGGGUAGGAUAUCUCUUAGUAGAUAUGCUUCGACUCUGGCAUAGUACUGUUGACUGUGCGAGCUUCGGACUCCUCCCUGAAGUCUCUCUGCUGAUGGGUCUGUUGACUCCCAUCUGGCUGUUGGCCGCGUGAAUAUGCAGGUUGUAGUGGUGGCGGAGGUGGAGGCUGUGGCCAGGAUGCCUGUGGCUGACUAGCCGAAGCAACAGACGCUGCAGGAUGGUUACCCACAUACUCUGUAUGUAGGGUGAGUGAUAUAAAGCAGUAUGCAUGACCUGCUUCAGCUGGUUCUGCUGAGCUGCAGCUUCUGCUAUUUCCUUCUGUUUCUGAAUGGUGACAUGGCACAUCCUUGUAGUAUGGCCCUUGUCCUCACCACAGAAUAAGCAAUAAAUUUUCCUGGGUUGAUCCCCAAACCUUCCUCCAAAGCCCCUGGCGCCUCUGCCCCUUGGAGCUGGCGGCCGAAGAUAGCUUUGUUGCUACCCCGAAGCUUGCGAGGAAUAUUGUGGCCUCUGUUUUUGACUUCCUCUAUCGUCAUUCUGGGUGGAGUGGAUUGAUCUGACGUGCCUUGGGUGGAUUCUCCCUCCAAAGCCCCUGGUCAUCUCAGAGAACCUGUAGGCUUCCUCCCUUCUUUGACGAAAGUCUUUAUCAGCACGGAUGUAUUCAUCCAUCUUUUGAAGCAGCUUCUCCAAAGUCUGUGGAGGCUUUCUAGCAAAAUAUUGGGCAGUAGGUCCUGGACGAAGCCCCUUGAUCAUGGCCUCAAUGACAAUUUCAUUGGGCACUGUAGGCGCUUGUGCUCUCAGACGCAAGAACCUUCGGACGUAUGCCUGGAGAUACUCCUCGUGAUCUUGCGUGCAUUGAAACAGAGCCUGAGCUGUGAUUGGCUUCGUCUGGAAGCCCUGGAAGCUUGUCACCAACAUGUCUUUGAGCUUCUGCCAUGAAGUGAUAGUUCUUGGCCGAAGAGAAGAAUACCAUGUCUGGGCCACAUUCUUAACUGCCAUGACGAAAGAUUUGGCCAUGACAGCUGCAUUGCCGCCAUAUGAAGAUAUGGUUGCUUCAUAACUCAUCAAAAACUGCUUUGGGUCUGAAUGCCCAUCAUACAUUGGAAGCUGAGGUGGCUUGUAUGAUGGGGGCCACGGGAUGGCCUGCAGUUCUGCUGCUAGGGGAGAAGCAUCAUCAAAAGUAAAGGUAUCAUGAUUAAAAUCAUCAUACCAUCCAUCGUCAUUGAACAAGACCUCUUGAUGAAGCUCCCUGUGUUGGGGCCUUCGGUCUUGCUCGUCUUGAGCAAGGUGACGUACUUCUUCAGUGGCUUCGUCAAUCUGCCUUUGUAGGUCAGCUAGUCGAGCCAUCUUCUCCUUCUUCUUUUGCACUUGCUGAUGAAGCAUCUCCAUAUUUCUGAUUUCUUGGUCCAACUCGUCCUCUUGGGGUGUUGGACUGGUGGCCUUCCUCUUCUGGCUUCAGGCCUCUCGAAGAGAAAGGGUCUCCUGAUUUGGGUCUAGCGGCUGCAGAGCGGCAGCCCCUGUCGCUGAAGCUUUCUUCGGUGGCAUGACGAAGGUCAAUGCUUGCCAAAGGUGGUCGAAAAGGAUUCACCGGAGGUGGGCGCCAAUGUUGGAGACUUCUUCUCAAAUGCUAUGAGUUAAGAACAAGGCAACACAAAAAAUGUUAAACGUUAAAGUCCUUUGUCCUUCGAAGCAAUAUUUCCCUUGGGAUAUAAUGAUUUUCGGACGAAGGUUAUGAAGGGCGUACCUUCAUAAGCGCAACAUAUAAUAAUGAAGAGAGAAUCAUAUGAAAUAUAAAAGAUAACAUGAACAAUUAUGUAUUAUUAUCAACUCAUUUCUAUUUUACUAUUAUGGAAAAAUAGAAAUGACAUCAAAUUACAAAUGUACCUUCGGCUUGAAAGAAGGUAAAAGUACAAGCGUGACGCAAAAGCAGAAUGACCAGUCAACGUGAACAGUACAGGAGCACUGUUCAUCUAUUUAUAGGCACGGGACGCAACCCAUGUAAAAUUACACACAUACCCUUUACAUUUGCUAAUGACUCUAUAGUAAUCCAUCGAGGUCUAAAUAGCCUUUUCCCUUUUAAGUCGGUUUCCUUUUCUACUAUCAUGCCGAAGCUCCCCUGCGCAUAGCUUCGGCUCUGCGCCAACCUUCGUAUUCUUUGUGCUUCUUCACACUGUGGUUCUGAUCCGAGUCUGUAGGUACCUGUUCAUGUAUUAUACUCCAGAAACAUUGUUAAAUCAUGUUUAUGAGGACCUUCGGAAGACGAAGGCCCCCAACAGUCCCUAACUUGGUUCUUUUCUUGGUUUGUGUUGAACCUUAUGCACCUGUAAUACAUGAGUUCUAGACAAACUAGUUAGUCCAUGUGUUUGUGUUUACUAUCAACCACCAAAAUAAAUUAUAGGAAAUGGUUAACCCUGUUUCCGUUUCAGUUUUUCUAUAAGUCAUUUGCAAUGUCACUAUCUUUCAAUCACUUACAUCAUUUGGUUAUACAAACUAACAUGUGUGUGUUAAUUGCAGAUCUAUAAUCGACAAGAUGGGACUUGUUCAAUUUGCCUGUACCAUGAAAAGAGGUAAAAAAAUGGAAGACAACCUACAAAGAUGUUAUAUGUAGUAUAUGGACCUCCUCGAUGUCCCAACACAAUGCUAGGUUAGCAACUUGUGUUAUCGUCACCGUUGGCACGUUUGUUUUCUCGAGAAUCUAACAGUUAUAUGUCACUAGUAGGUUACUUGGAUGCCUUGGGCAUAGUAGGAUCUAGACUCUUAUAGUCUAAUCAUGAUAGUGACAUAUGGAGCAUAUAUGUGCCAUUUAUCUUCUUCCACGUGGUGGAGGUCUACUACCUUUGCAUGGUGUGUAGGUAGUUAAGAAGGUUUCAAUCGAACCCACCGAUGGACCACUCCAUGAGUUAGACGUGGCACAAGUAGUUAAAUAGUUCUUAAUUUGUUACAACUUGUGAAUGAAAUGUACAGACAAUUCAAAUUAUUAAUAUAGAAAUUCUAGAUUUGAUUAGAGAAAGAGGUACAAGGAGAAGGAUUGGCAUGUCACACACCAUGAUGUCGUAGAUGUGGAACCAUAGGGAGCAUAGGGACCCAUGAGCGAUCCUCCACAUGACUAUCACAUGUGGUUUGGAAGUGUAAGAAGAAGAUGACGUGGAGGUGGAAGGUGGUGUUAUGGGAAUGAGAACAUCAGAUGUGGAUGUAGAAGAUGAUGGUUCAGAUGUUGGAAUGGAAGGAAGACACAGGAAAGAAGUACAUUCUGUGGGAUAAUAUGAGGAGUGAGUAGACUGGUUGUGAAAGAAGGGGCAAUUUUCAUUGAAACUCACAUCUCUAGAAAUUCGAAUACGACGAGUAGAAGGAUCAUAACAACGAUAGCCUUUAUGUUCAGGACUGUAUCCAAGGAAUACACACUCUACAGAUUGAGCAGUCAAUUUGGUCCGCUCACAUGGUGGUAACAACUAACAAGACAUAACAUAUACAUCCAAACACACGAAGAUGAACAUAUCAUGGAGGAGUCCCAAAAAGAACUUCACUCAGGGAUUUGCCAGAAAGUUUAGAUGAUGGAUGUCUAUUAAUGAGAUACACAGUAGUGGAAACAACUUCACUCCAAAAGUGUGAAGGAACAAAAGAAGAUAUCAAACUAGUACAAGCACUCUCAAUAAUAUUGGUGUUUUGCAUUCAGCAACACCAUUUUGGGCAUGAGCACCAGGACAAGAAAGUUGAGCUAGAGUACCCUCUAAGGUCAAUAUCUCGUGGAAAUUGUUAGAUAAAAAUUCACCACCAGAAUCCGAACGAAAUAUUUUAAUAGUAGCAAAAAACUAAGUGUGAACCAUGCGAGUGAAGGACUUGUAAAUAGAAGGCAAUUCCGAGCGGCGUUUCAUGAAGUAAAUCCAAGUAUAACGAGAAUGAUAAUAAAUAAAAAUGACAUAAUAUUUAUGACCACCUUUGGAAACAAACGGAGCUGGACCCCAAACAUCAGAGUGAAUUAGAUCAAAAGGUUUAGCAGAAUGGGAAUCACUAGUAAAAUAUGGAAGUUGUAUUUGUUUUCCAAGAUGACAACCUUUACAAUGAAAACUAGACUCAACAUGUGUAGGGCCUAAACAUCCUGACUUUAUUAGAGUGAACAGACGAGAUCCACAUAAGUGACCUAGACGAUGAUGCCACUGGGCAAACGACGUCGACCCAAAGCAGCAAGCACAUGUGGUGUAGAGGUAUGGUAUGAAGGAAGACGCAAGGUGUCCAAGAUGUAGAGGCAAGGCGAAGAUUUACGGUGACGGCCAGUCCCAAUCACAUCCCCUAUGGGUUGAUCCUGUAUAAAACAAGAUGAGUCAUCAAAUCCAACAAAGCAAUUGUGAUCGGUAAUUUAGCCAACUGAUAGUAGAUCCAUGGAUAAUUCAGGUACAAAGAAAAUAUUUGGGACAAUAAAAUUAGAAUUGGAAAGAGAACCCUUGUGGGUGACAUGACAUAAUGUACCAUCAGCAGUCUGAACAGAAGUACCCUCGGUGACAGGUGUAGUAGAUGCCAGCUAUGACUGAUCAGAUGUCACAUGAAAUGAAACUCCAGAGUCAAGAACCCAAGAGGAUGACAAAGCACCAGCAGAUGAAGUAGCAGCAACACCAACUGAGCCUCUAGGAGAUGCUCCUAUACCACGACCACGAGUAGCACGACGGACACAAAAAUCAGCCAGCUUCUCUGGAAACUUAGCAAAGCAGUUCUCAGACCGAUGAGUGGUCUUUUUACAAUGCUCACAAGGCUGAAAAGAGGUGUUCCUGGACUUCUGAGAAGUGGCCAAUACACUGUGAGAACUCACACCAGUAAUAGAAGACAUAGACUUCAGACGAGUCUCUUCAGCAAGUAAUUCAGACAACGCAUGAGCCAUGGUGAGAGUAUCAGAACUGUGAAGUAACCUUGCACGAAGAGAAUCAAAUUCAGGUCGAACGCUCAUAACAAAUCUGUAGGUAAAGAACUUCUCAAUGAACUUAUGGGUUGGGCAAGGCACAGUUGUACAAGCAGGCACCAUGGAGGUCAAUGCACUCAUAAGACAAUCAAAGUCUAAAUAGUAUUCAUCAAUGGACAUAUCAUGUUGCUCAAUGACAUGAGUCUGUUGCAUAAGGGUAUGUAAAAGAGCACCGUUAUCCUGAACAAAUCGAUCCUUCAGAUGUGACUAGAUAGCCUUAGCAAUGGUGAAUUUGGACAGGCUCAUAAUCAUAGUUGGUUUAGUGCUAUUGACCAUUGCAACCAUUACCUUGCCAUCAUUGAUCUGCCAAGUCUUGAUUGCAGCAGUAUUGCUUCUAUCAGUUGCUAAAACUAGAGAAUCUUCAGUCAAAUGAAAUAGUAAACCGUGACCUCUUAAUGCAGUCUGAACACAAAAAGCUCAUUCUAGGUAAUUCUGCCCAUCAAGCACGAUAUUGACAACAAUAGUGUUGGCUGACAUAUUGAAGAGCAAUAAAACGUUAAAGGAUAACAGAUCUGAAAAAAGACUGGUUUGAUGGUACCAAAAACCCUAGCAGGUGCAGCAGAUGAAUAGUGGAUACGCCGGCUACAGCCUUAGAUGAAACCGUGCGAAGUCACAGUAGAUCAACAGAUCUGGCCAGGGCUACACUCGGCGUAGAUACACACAGACCCUAUGUUGUGCGCUGCACAGACGGACGACGCAGCGACAGAUGGGGGUGCGCGAAGAAGGCGCGCAGGAGAUGGCAGAUGGUUACAGCAGUGCCUGCGGACGGGGGCUGAUGAUGGCCGCGAUGGUAGAAGGCAGGGCCACGACACCGGGCAGGAGCAGACGGUGAGAUGGCCGCGACACCGGGCAGGAACGGAGCACCGGCGCGCGCGCAGAAGAAUUGCACGGACGACGAAGAUGGCGGGGCGGAGCACCGGCGCGCGUAGAAGAAUCGCACAGGAGAUGGCGGGGUGGAGCACCAGCGUGCGCGCAGAAGAAUCGUGCAGGAGAUGAGGGCCACGACGGCGGUUGGGUGGGGGAGGGCCGCGACGGCAGCCGACCAGGGAUGGUCGUGACAGCGGCUGGGGUGGGAGAGGGCCACGACGGCGGCUAGAAAAUUAGUGAAACCCUAAUCAUAAUCUCCUCUGUUACCAUGUUACUAACCUUGGGAUUGACAAUAGAUGAUUAGUCCCUAAGGACUAUAUGUUAUAUAUAUAGGCAGUAGGUCUGGGUCUAAUGGACCUUAACAAUGAGUACCUCAUCUGAAGGUACCAUGAUCAUACUGAUCAAGCAUUGGUUUCAGUUUAGAAUUAUUAGAUCAAGAAUUGGUUUCAGUUUGGUACUUUGGUUUUAGUUUAGAGUACCUCAUCUGAAGCUACUGCUGUUUGAGAAUUGAGACUUUGAGUCUGAUAAUUGAUACUUUGAUUACCUACUGUUGUAGUGUUGUAGUUCUAGGACGCUGUUUGAAGUAUAGUGUAUAUAACUAUAUAUAAUUAUAUAUGUCCUAAUUAGUACAUGGCGUUUAGGAUGACCAAUCACCAAUUAAUCAUCCUGGUCGACAUCCUAAUCGCGAUUACUCGCCUAAUCGGUCACCAUCAACGACCUCGCGACCAGGCGACUUGAAAUCCACGCACUUCAUCUUCUUCCUCCCUCUCAUAUUGACCAUCGAAUCCCACAUUUCAUACAUUAAGUGAAGACAUGGUGUGCUGGUGCCCACCAUACCUAUCAUUUCAUAUAUAGUAGCGAUCCUAAGAAUGUAGUUGACCUUGUCCCACCGUACAUCACUAAGUAUCCUGUCCUUCACAAGUUGGGCAGUUGGAGCAUCAUCUCUGUAGACUCUAGAUGCUGAUUGUUGGAGGGCUGUUUUUACUUCAACAAACCGUUUCAACAUACAUACAAUUGAGGCAAAUCUUGUUUCAGGAAUCGAAAGUAACUUCAAAAGGCUAAACUCAUUGAACAUUUUUUUGAAAACUGGCAAGAGAAUUGCCUGUUAUAUUAAAAAGAAGGUGAGAGCCAGCAAGGGCUAAAAUAAACAAGUACAUCACACUAGGGAAGGAGACAUUAAGUAUGGUGACACAAAUGUCCCAAAACCAACCCCCUCCCCUUCCCGAAAACCUACAGUAGCCUUGCUAAGUGUUUUGCUCCUCCUAGAAUCCACAAGCGGAUUUGCUCCUUAAUCAUCGCUAUAGUCUGUGUCACGGUCUUCUCUUUGUGCUCAAAGAUUCGCGAGUUUCUCUCACACCAAAUUGUCCAAGACACGAGGAUGAGGAGGGUUCGCAAUCCCUUCACGCUUCUGACUGUGGAUGUUGCAAGAUUCGACCACCAUUGGUGCAUCGAACCUACAAGUUGCCAAGAAGAAUGGUGGAUCUCCGUAAUUGCAGCCCACAGACUCAAAUCAGCCCAAAUAUGUCUGGUGAAGCAACAUUCAACAAAAAGAUGUAGUCCAGAUUCUGGGCAUGAGGCACAUAGGACACAGCGCGGAUUAUUAGACCAUCCCCUUCUUGCCAACAUGUCUGCUGUCCAAACUCUAUUUUGAACAGCAAGCCAACUGAAGAAUUUGCACUUUGGUGGCGCCCAAGCUCUCCAAAUUAUACUAUUAAAAUUCAUGCAUGUGGAGCCACAGAAUUGCGCUUGGUAGGCUGACUGUGUUGUGUACUGGCCACUCAUAGUAAACUUCCACUUGAUAAGGUCGGGGGUAUUGUGCACUAAGCGAAGCUGAUUUACCUUGCACCAUAAUUGAUAAUAUUCAUGUAUGUGCGCGACAGAAAAAUCAUUGUGAUUAAAAUGUAGGUCCUGAAUCCAUUGGUUGUUUGAGAGAGCCUCAUGGAUGGAUCUAUUUUUGCCAUUAGAAAUGGGGUAGGUCAAAGGGAAGGAGUCUCUAGGUGUCAUACCCCUUAGCGAGGCAUUUUCCCAGAACAAAGAAGACUUACCAUCCCCCACCCUGACUGCAAAUAGUCUCCUGUCCAACGUAUUGCAAGGUAUAUCUUUCGCCAUCCUCUGAGUAUUUAACAGUUUGGCCUCCUGCCACAACCAUCUGAGGCGUAAGGCCCGCGAGAAAAUACCAAGGUGCAGAAUGCCUAAACCACCGUAUUGUUUUGGUCUUGCUGCAUAGACCCAGUUGACUUUGCAUUUACCGUCGGUUAAUCUCUUUGAACCAGCUCAAAGAAAUUGCUUAUGUUUUGAGUCAAUGAAAUCCAACACACUUUUAGGCGGUUUUAGGGCUAGGAGCAGAUAGGUGACCUGCGAGGUUAGCACUGCAUUGACUAGUGUGAGGCGGCUAGCCGCCGAAAGGUUUUUCCCGCUCCAUGUACUCAGCUUUGCGGAGACUUUGUCAAUCCAUGGCUGGAAGUCCACCCGUUUGAGUCUGUUCAUGGACAAAGGUAGUCCAAGGUAUUUGAGGGGGAAGGAAGUCCUCGAGGCCGGCAGACCAGAUAGAACGUCAGAGAGGUUGAUGUUGUUACACUGGAUUGGUACUAUUGUGGACUUGUGGAAAUUUGUUUUUAGGCCUGUGGUUUCACCAAAAAGUUCCAGAAUCCUUGCAAGCAUAGAUACCUCACCUUUUGUGGGCGUGACAAAUAUGACUGCAUCAUCCGCAAACAUCGAUAUGCGCAGGUCGGGCGAGCGGCCACGGAGCUUGGUGAGCAUUUCGAGUUCAGUUGCUACUUCGAGCAGUCUUUGCAAGGGAUCUAUUGCAAUGACAAAAAAGAAGAGGAGAUUGGGGGUCGCCUUGCCUUAGGCCUUGCCCGUGCCAGAUAGGGGGGUUUGGUAUGCCGCUAAGGAUGACUCUUGAGGUUGAGGUGGAGAGAAUUGCCGCAAUCCAUUCCCGCCAUCUUAUAGGGAAGCCUAGGUGCUCAAGGAGGGUGAGGAUAUACUCCCAACGUAUCGAAUCAAAGGCUUUUGCUAUGUCCAAUUUGAACAAAAGUGUUGGGGUCUUGUUUGUAUGAAAACGACGCCGCCGUACGCACUGCCAAGAAGUUAUCAUGUAUGCUCCUGUUCUUGAUGAAGGCGCUUUGACAAGUGGAGAUGAUCGCGUUCAUAUGGGGCUGAAGUCGUAAUGCCAGUAUUUUGGAAAUAAGCUUUAUGAAGGAAUGGAUUAAGCUUAUCGGUCUAAAAUCACCCACUUCCUCGGCCCCUUCUUUUUUGGGAUUAGGAUUACGUUAGCGGUGUUGAUGAGUGAUAAGCUGCCACAACGUAGAGCAUGGAAAGUGUUGGCCGCCCUUAUGACAUCCCCUUUUAUUAUGCUCCAGCAUGUCUUAAAAAAUAACCCAGUGAAACCAUCAGGUCCCGAUGCCUUUUCAAUGGGCAACAGAUCAAUGGCUCUUUUGAUCUCCUCCUCUGAGAAUGGAGCAACUAAAGAAGAGAGAUCAUGGUGUCGUAAUCCAAGCGUCGCCCAGUUGAAGUCUAUUCUCGGAGCGGGUGGACGACUCAACAUAUUUUCAAAGUGGGAUUGAAUUUUCGCGGCCUUGCCUUCAUGUGUUGUUGUCGAGCCAUAAUGGUCUUUGAGGCAAUGAAUGAAAUUUUUUCGACGCCUAGAAGUGAUCCUUCGAUGAAAAAAUCUAGUGUUAGCAUCCCCAAACUUUAUCAAAUUUAGCCGGUCAGCCUGUUUUUUCCACGCACGUUCGAUGACAGUAAGGCCCAGAAUUCUUUUCUUAAGUCUGCACCUUAGGAGCUCCUCUCUAGGAGAGAGAGCUCUCAGCUCCUGUGCUAUGUCAAAUCUAUGGAUUAUCUCCAAAGCCAUAUGAAGUUGCAGCUUAGCAUCCGAGAUAGUGCUGAAGCUCCACUAUCUGAGGGCCCUUGCUGUAGCCUGCAGUUUGUGAUAGAGUUUGUGGAAAGGUUCCUGGUGUGUGCAGUGAGUGCACCAGGACCUCGACACCACCUCCAUGAAUCCUAGAAGCAUGGCCCAAAAUUCUCAAAUUUAAAAGAGCGCGGGUGUCGGGGGCCAGUUUGGUUAGAGAGAAGCAAUGAACAGUGAUCCGAGAGCGAAGAAGAUAGGCCGUGCAGCACGUGGCUAUGAAAAGCUUGGUCCCAUUCAGCAUUUGCAAAGACCCUGUCAAGCUUAAUAAGGGUUGGGUUUGUACGCUCGUUGCUCCAAGUGAAUCUUCUAUUUUGCAGGUUAAUUUCCUUCAGGUCACAACAGUCUAGCAUAUCACUGAAACGGUUCAUUAGGCUAAGGUUCAAACGCCUCUUAUUCUUGUCACUAGCUUUGUAAAUUAGAUUAAAAUCUCCCAAAAGCAGCCAUUUAAUUUCGGAUUGCGGUUUUAGAUCUUGAAUUUCUUGGAGAAAGGUUGUCUUCAUGCUAUUGCUUGUAGGCCCAUAAACCACAGUUAAUAGGAAGGCAGUAUGGGAUGCUGUUAGCUUGGCCUUUCCAGAAAUAUGGAAAUCGCCUACUGUAAAAUCAGUCAGCUCCACAUGGUUGGUAUCCCAUAGCAAUGCAAUCCAUCCCCAUGUGUCGCUGGGGCCUCCUGUCGGUUUGUAGAAGAAUUUGUCUAGGUGGUGGCCUCCAAGGUGCCGGGUUGUUGUUUGGUCGAAGGAAGACAAUUUAGUUUCUUUCAAACAAGCUAAGUGACACCUCAAUGAAGUGAUUGUCUCUUGGACCGUGUCCUUCCGAGCCUGGGAAUUGAGACCCCUCACAUUCCAACAAGAUCGAGGGUAUGCACAACAUGUGGUGUCCAAAAUAUGUUAUCAUAUUCAGCUUCUAUUACGACCCCAGCACCUUUGCAGUUUGCGGUGUUGUCUGUAAUGAUUUGUACUGUAUUGUUGACCUACUUCAAUAACACCCCCAACUUAUCAGCAAUGUAUUCUUUUGAUUUGUAUUUAUUCACCUUGACAAUUAUCAGCCGUCAAGAACAAUGGUGCCUUCUCAGAAACAACAAUAAAAUUAAUGAUUGGUCACCUCUGUGGAUCCAACCAACCACCAGUGCAGAUUGUGACUCCCUUCUCUGCCCAUAUUCUCUUUGUGCUCUCCAGUCUUUACAAUAGAAAGCAUGAGUUCCUUACACCUUUCAAUUUCCUUCCGGUUGUCACUAAGCAUUUCAUAUAAAACAUUAGGACAUUCAACUAUUCCUCUUCCUGAUGCAACACAGGUGCAGAAUAUGGUUGAUAUAUUUAUUUGUGUAGGAACUGGUGAAGGAAAGAGCUUUGCAUUGUUUAUAAAUUUUCAUAAUUUUACUUUUCACCACUUGUUGGGGACAUGUUCUCAAAUGCUAUGAGUUAAGAACAAGGCAACACAAAAUGUUAAAUGUUAAAGUCCUUCGUCCUUCGAAGCAUUAUUUCCCUUGGGAUAUAAUGAUCUUCAGACGAAGGUUAUGAAGGACAUACCUUCAUCAACACGAUAUAUGUUAAUAAAAGAAGAAGUAUAUGAAAUAUAGGAAGCAAAAUAAACAAUUACAUAACAUUAUUAAUUCAUUGUAUUAUCCUAGAAAGACAGAAACAAUAUUGAAUUACAAAUGUACCUUCGACUUGAUAGAAGACAAAAAGUACAAGCGUGACGCAAGAGCCAGUACAAGUCAGCGUGAACAGUACGGGGGUACUGUUCAUCUAUUUAUAGGCACAGGGCGCAGCCUGUGCAAAAUUGCAUUCAUGCCUUCAUGUUUACUAUUGACAUUAGGACAAUCUAUCGAGGACUAAAUAGCCUUUUCCUCUUUAAGUCGGUUCCUUUUCUGCUACUGAGCCAAAGCUUUCUUGCGCAUAGCUUUGGAACUGGUUUGACCUUCAUCCCAACCAUGCUUUUCAUAUUGUGGACAACUCCAUCUCGAUUUCGAAGGUUCUUGUACAUAUAUUACACUCGGGGAAACAUUGUUAAUCAUGUUUUUGAGGAUCUUUGAAAGACGAAGGCCCCCAACAGUAGCCCCUCGCAGUAUUAAUUUGUUAAGAUAACAAAUUUAGACUGCGACAUGGACGAAGGCCUUAAGCCGAAGGUCCAAAAAAACACCUUCCCUUUGCUAGAAUAGUAACACAGUCAAUGACAGAUGGGGCCCUUCAAUUUAGAGCGUGCCGAGCGUAUAAAUAAGAACUCGCACCAACUACAUUUGGUACGCUGGUUGUGCCAUUUGCUUUAUUUUCUCAAUUUUAUAGCUCUUGCUCACUAACGCUUGCUAGUUUCUGAAGCUUCCUGAGCUUCGGUUAGAAAGACACAUUUUCAUCAUUUCUGAAGGAAAAAAUGUCUCAAGACAAGAAGGUUGCCGUUGAGACGAAGCUAACUGAAGAGGAGAAGCUCUUUGAGGAGAAGAAGGUUGUGAAUCCUUACAUAGCUGGGUUUAUCGAAUCAAUGGCAAAAACAAAUACAGAGAAGAUUACUAAGGAAACACUAGAGGGUCUGUCUGAAGAUACUUGUGACAGUGAUGAUUAUGAUGCUGAGAGCGGGGGAGAAGAUUCUGAGGAUCGGCCGUGGAGGCCGAGUCAUACAAUUUUUGGGAAAUCAACAAUUAAACAGAGUCAUCUUGACAAUAUGAGAGGAAGGUACUUUCGGGAUAUGUCUAUUGUUAGAGCUGGUGGAGACAACAACGUUCCUGCCCCCGAGGAAGACAAAGUUGUGAUUUACCGAAGUUUCUUCAAAGCUGGGCUUCGGUUUCCAUUGAGCAGGUUUGUAGUUGAAGUGCUGAAAAUUUAUCAGAUUUACCUUCAUCAGAUAACCCCGGAAGCUAUUAUUAGAAUAGGGAUUUUGUUUGGGCUGUGAGAAGCCAGGGGCUGGAGCCAAGCGCGAAAUGCUUUUGCAGUAUGCACGAACUUGUAUAUGAGACGAAGGCCAUGGGCAAAGAACAAUAUCAUAACAAUUUUGGAUGUUAUGGAUUUAUUGCUCGCCCCAACGCAAGCCACACGGUGCCAACAUUCCGGAAAAGAUGGCCCAGAGCUUGGAUGGAGGAAUGGUUUUACGUGAAGAAUGACUUGAAGGCAAGAGAAGAUAUUAAGGAAGUGAUUAUGCGCCCCAUUUGGUCCCGCUUCGGCCUCCGAAGGCCGAAGGUUGAAAUUGAUGAUGGUGCGGAAGCUUGUCAGAAGGCAUUUGGUACAGUCUGCUUCUUCAUUGGUACACGAGAUUUAAUUCAAGAGCAUAUAGCCUUCAGAGUAUGGCCGCUUGUAGAGAACUGGGAAAUGCCGAAGGAGACUGUCACCAAGUCUAGCGAUGGUGACCUGGUCCGGCUGAAGUAUACAUUCAGAUAUGGGAUAAAUUUGAUGAACCAAACAACGACUGGCUGAAAUGUAUCGAAGCUACAAGUGAUGAUCUGCUUGGAUCAUAUUCCAAAGCAGAAGAUAAUGCAUUAUCCACAGCCUUCGGAGGCUGGGGAAAAAAGAGAUUGAACAGAGUUUUUGAUGCCAUUGGCUUUGUUUACCCCGACUACCGCUAUCCACUGCGAGGACAGGGAAAGAAGAGGAAAACUGCUACUUCGGCCACUCCAGACGAGCCUGUGCCGAAGGGAAAAAAGUUAAAGGUUCUUACCCACCGGCCGCGCUAUAUUGAACCGGCUGUGGUGCCUGAGUUUGGCGGGGAGGCUUCUUCAGCUGCUAAACCAAGAGAACCUGUUCCUCCGACGCAGAAGGCUGAAGAGCCGGCUAUAAUGUCGAAGGCACCUUCGGUUGAGUUAGUUGAAACGAAGGUUGACAAAGAUAAGGCUGAAAAGUCAAAAACUGAAGAAGUAACAAAGAUGCCAGGGAUUUUAAGUCCUUCAACAGAAACAACAGCGCUGAAGGCAGAAAAGAGUUCUGCCACAACUCCUAAGAGAAGGAGGAUGGUAAAUGUAUUAUAUAUUUUAGAAACAACCGACUCCAUAAGUCCCGCUCCCACAGGGAGGGUUGCCGAAGCUGACAAAACGCAACCCAAAACUGAUACUAAGCGAAUAGAAGUCGAGACUACAAUAACCCAGGCUGAAACCGAGGCAGUGCCCACAGUGCUUACUGAGACGAAGCUUGCCGCCAUCGAGCAGAAGGCCGAAGGAAUAACUCCAGAUAUUAAUAUAGGUUUUGAGAAGAGUGCGACCAAAGAGGCCGAAUCCCUUGCCCUUGAAGCACUCUCUGAAAAUCUUGAUUAUAUCAUUCGACAUGCUUCGGGAAAGAGAUUAUCCGAAGAAGAAAUUUUUGAAGCUAAACACUAUGCCCGAGAACUGAAGUACCCGAAGGGGGCCUUAGUGUUUAACGGUACGGAUGAAGAUGAUUUCUUGUACUGCCUCCCGGACAACAAAGAAUUAUCCAUCUGCUGGGAGAUGGCCAGAAGUAUGGGUUUUCCGAAGCUCGAAGCUGGCCUUUGUGCCAUGACGAAGGAUGAUCUCGCAGAUAAUCUUGCAUACAACAGUCUGAAGGUACAAAAGUUGUGAAUUUUGAAGCUUAUGGACUCUGUAAUGGAGUGUUUUUAUUCUUAUGUUAAUCCUUUUAUUCUGUCUUGCAGGGCUUGAUACUUAGCAACGCCCUAAGGGCGCAAAAGAAUGAUGAAGAUGAUAGUUGCACUAUAGCUCUCAAUAACCUUCGAUCAGAGGUUAUCAGGCUGAGAAACGAGGCCACGGAAAAAGACAAGAUUCUACUUUCAUUGGAGGAUAAAGUAAAGGAGGAUGAAGCUAGUUUCACAAAUAAAUCCGAGGCCCAAAAAAUUGAGAUUGAAGACCUUCGGAAACAGUUGGCCGAAGCCAAGGAAAAAUGUGGUCUCGCAAAGGCCAACCGAGAUAUUAGUGAGUAUUGGAAAAACUAUUUAGAAAAAACAGUUGAAGAACUUUGCGCAUCCAAAGAAAGAUGCUUCGAAAAAUCCCUGAGCUGCGUGGAAAAGAUAAAGGCUAGCUUCGUCAACGUGGGCACUUAUUCCAACGAAGAUAACUUUAUACAAGGCGACCCUGAGGGUGUUAUUGAAUGGAUAAGCGGAGAGGCCGAAGCUUUUGAAGAAAUCUUAAGUGACCGAGGGGAUGUAUGUGCAUUUUCUGGUGGUCGCGGGAUUUCAGCAAUCUUGGAGAAUGCGGGGUGCAAUCACAUCAAAAUCAUGGCCCAUGCCGAAGCUGCCUUCUCCGCGGACGUCACGAAGGACCCUUCAGCUGAAGCAACCUUAAUGGGCGGAAAAUUUUAUAAUGAUGUGUGGGAGAAUGGUGACCGAGAAAUGGCUCAUGAAAUUAUGAAGAAAAGUGAAAAAGACAUCCAUGAGGCCCGAGCUGAAGCAAAACGACCUGAAGAAGCUCCUGAGCAUGAAAAACGCAUAGGUAUUGUUUCGCGGCAUCUAACUUCGGUAUUUGUUUUCGUGACUUCGAACUGAUUGAUUUUUUCUACAACAGCUGAAUUAUCUCCUCCACCGGAGCCAUUCGACCCCCUGGCCGACCCAGAAACGAAGAAAGCAAUAGAAAUCAUCAAUAUAGCCGAAUAUAUUGUUGACGAAGUUGUUAACAAGUUAUUGAAUGAAAUUGCGGAAAAGGUCCUGAAAGAGGACUGAUAUUGUAAAAACAUUUUUAGACGAUCAAUGUAGCUUCGCUAUAUCAAGACUGUAAUAUUCGAUGUGCAUAUUUUUGAAUCUAAUGUGUAAAUUAUUUGUAAUUUCGUUCUUUGCGAUGCAUGAAACUUUAUAUACAUACCGUUUUUGAGCCUUCGGCGAAAAAACACCUUCCCUUCUUUUCAUGCUUCACAAAGAAGAAAAUCCGUAGUUCGUGAAAAUAUCCAUGCUUCGUAAAAACCUCCCAGCUUCGUAAACAAAGGAUCCUUCUUUUGCAAUAGAGCUGACGAAGCUGUAUUUCUCAGCUAACUUUGUGCCUUAGCACAUUUUCAUUUUUUAUAAAGCAGUCUCCGAAGGUCGACUUUGUAUUCAGUUCGUGUCAUCAGUGCAAUAUGAUGUAUGAUGUGAUGCUAUGCGGGAUGAUGUGACAGUUAUGAUGUGAAUGAUGCUAAUGCCGAAGAUACGUGUCACACCCGGUUUUAGAAGGCAAACCGAAUGCGAACCAUGUACGUGCCAGGAUCAGUUAUUCACGUACACAGCAGUUACAUAACAUGGACAUCAUCACACAGUGCUCAAAAUAGUAUUAAGAAGGGAAAUAGACGAUUACAUCAUACGUCUGAGACGUCCAUAUAGUCUUUACAAUAAAUCAAAGUGCGGAAAAGAAACGUAGAUAAACGCGGCCUUCACAGGCAGCCGACUGGGGGUUGCCGCUAACCCACACCUAGAACUCGUCGUAGUCUUGGAACUCCUGGAAGUCUCCUUCCACGGCUUCAUCUUCUCCUGAGCAGUGGUUGCAAUGCUGACAACCUGGGGAUGGGGGGGGUUUGGUGUGUAGAGCAAGGGUGAGUACACAUCAACAUACUCAGCAAGUAUCCUGUUUGGCUAUAGUGGACUAGCUUUAUGUGGGGGAUAAGUCAAGCAGUUGCUUUUAGUUGGUCAGAUUAUUAUUUACUAAUAGAAAGCCAAGUUUUAGCAUUAACCCAAGUUAUUAGCCCGAUGUACCCUUUCCAAACGGAAAGAAUACCACUUACCAGCACCAUAGUCAUAACAAAAACCAUCGAUCUCAUAACCACCUGUACCAAAGUAUCUCUGAUCAAGUACCACUAAUCACUGGAGCUCCCUUGGCCGCUCAUAACCGCGAGCACGGCUGAUAUAUCAGUUUUCAAACACUCUGCAGAGGUUGUGCACUUUACCCACAAGCCGUGAUUCCCUUUCUGCCCGGAGAUCAUGACUCUCCAUUGAUCACUACCAAGGUGACCCAGCAGGGCAUCACUACGUAGCCUUUACAAAGAUUCCCCGGGGCUGUAGCCACCCGUUAGGUUUCCUAAAUGCACCGCACUCCUCCCCAAGGGGCGAACCCAAACUUGGCAGAGCGAGCCGCAUACACCGAGCCCCAUUGACGGCAUGACGGCUAAGUGAACUACACCCCAGAUCCUCUAAUUAUUCAGCUAAGGGCAUCCCAUUCCACCCUCAUGGUUGCACUGUUUUCCCGGGCGGUCAUCCAUAGAACAGGUCCUUACGGAGAGGCACUCGAGAAACCGCUCGAGCCCCCUUGAUGACCACAAGUACAACAUUAUAAUAAGAGAAGGGAGAACAGCGUAUCAUAGAUAACCUCAUCAUGUUCAUUGAUUAGAGUUUGAGCAAUAGCAUAAAGCUAAACAAUAAUAAUCCAACCCAAAUAGGUAGACAAGGACAUGGAUAACAAAAUCUAGUCAAUCCUUAGGCAUAAAUGUGUAAUGCGGGAGGUGAAUUAAAGAAUGUAUAGGACAGAGAUAGGUCAAGGGACACUUGCCUCCACCAACCGACUGCUGCUCAGGGGCUUCUCCUGCGAGUUCCUCGGGCUCUUCGACCGGAUCGUUCUCUAUGCGAUUGCAAGCAUACAUACAUACAUCCAUUCAAAUUAGGAAACAAACAGUACACCACACAAGGGGACAAAUAAAGUAAAUAUGCAUCAAGUAUGACAUUCGAUGUCGCAUUCGUUAAGGUUAGAAAGAAACGGGGAAAGGUCUCGCAGGGGUUAAAGCUUAUGCACUAACAGAAACCUAGCCCCUUUUUAGUUGAUCGACCUUAAGCGAAAUGAACAAUUGACUAUAUAAAUUGACUAAUGUAACGGAAUUCUAAAUUAAGUUUCAUAUUUCAUUAACAUGAACGAUGAUUAGCUUGCCCAAAACAAAAUAAAAUAAAUAACAAUAAUGAAAGAAAAUAAAAUAGAAUAAAAUAAAAUAAAAAAUAAAAAAAGGGGGGCGGUUGAACCGGACAGGGGCAGGGGCGGGGGCGGCCAAGCCGGCGGCGGGCGGCCGGGCUGGGCGCGCAGGGGCGGCCGGGCAGGGGCGGCCGAACCGGCGGGGGGGCUGGGCCGGCCAAGGCGGUGGCCGAGCCGGCAGCCGAGCCGGCGGCCGAGCUGGGCGGGCGGGCGGCCGGACUAGGGCGCGGGGGCGGCCGAGCGGCGGGGCCGAGCCGGGGCAGGCGGGCGGCCGAGCGGCGGGGGCCAAGCCGGGGCAGGGGGAAGGGGAGGGGAGAUGGGGGAGGGAGGAGAGGGGGAGGGGGACCUCACCGGGGACGGGGACGGGCGGCCGAACCGGCGACGAGCAGGGGCGGCAGCUAGGGCAGGGGCGGCGGUUGGGGUGGGGAAGAGAGAGAAUGGGAGGGAGAGAGAGGGAUUUGGGGAAAAAGGGGGGGCGGCUGGGCCAGCUGGGCCCAAAGGGGGCGCGGGGGGGGUGGCUGGGCCGGCCAAGGCGGCUAGGUCGGCCGGGGCGGCCCACGGCGCGUAAGAGAGAAAAAGGGAGGAGAGAGAGAAGGAAAAAGAAAAAAAAAGAAAAAGAAAAAGAAAAAGAAAGGUUUUCUCCUUUUCGAAAUCCGUUUUUUCCUGGAUGAAUGCACUUACAUUUUUAAGCAAUCGAAAGAAUGCAUGGUUCGGCAUGAUGCAUCAAACAACAUAAAGUAUUUUAAGGUUUUGCUUAACACGGGAAUUCCAAGCCAAACCCCGCUAAAACUUUGGAAAAGGUCAAGGUUUAGCGAGAGAACGAGAAAAGAAAUGAGUAACGCCUGAAUUUGGUGAGAGAAAAGAAGAAAAAAUUCUACCCCCAAAUUCAGGGCGUUACGAACCUAUCCCCCUUAAAAGAAUCUCGCCCUCGAGAUUCAGGGUUGGCUAGCAAAGAGCUCAGGGUACUUGGCCAUCAGAUCAUCCUCACGCUCCCAGGUUGCUUCUUCCUCAGUGAUGAUUCCAUCUGACCUUGCACAUUCUGAUGGUCUUCCUUCGGGUGACUCUGUCUGCAACCUCAAGGAUCUGCACUGGCUUCUCAACGUAGGUCAAGUCCUCCUGGACUUCAAGACCUUCCACUGGCAACUGCUCUUCUGGCACACGCAAGCACUUCUUCAACUGAGACACAUGAAAGACAUCAUGCACAGCGGACAAAUUCUCUGGCAGACUGAGCUGAUAGGCCACUUCUCCACGUCUUGCAAGAAUUUGGUACGGACCAAUGUAGUGGGGUGCUAGCUUGCCUUUGACUCCGAACCUCUUGACUCCUCUGAUCGGGGACACUUUCAGAUAGACAAAGUCUCCGACUUCGAAACUCGGCUCUCUUCUUCUUGUGUCUGCAUAGCUUUGCUGUCUUGAUUGCGCUAUCUUCAGAUUCUCUCAAACCAUCUUGAUGUUCUCUUCGGCUUCAAGCAAAAUGUCUGGCCCAAACACCUGCUUUUCUCCAGGCUGAUCCCAUUGCAACGGAGUUCUACAACUCCUUCCAUAGAGCGCCUAAAAUGGUGACAUCUUCAAACUGGCCUGGUAACUGUUGUUAUAGGAAAACUCUGCAUAAGGCAAUCUCUUAUCCCAUCCAGACUGAUCUUGCAACGCACAGGCUCUCAACAUGUCUUCAAGAAUUUGAUUGGUUCUUUCGGUCUGGCCAUCUGUCUGCGGAUGAUAAGCUGAACUGAAAUUCAGAUGUGUGCCCAAAGCCUCAUGCAACUGCUGCCAGAAAUGAGAGGUAAACUGCGUUCCUCUGUCCGACACUAUCUUCUUUGGCACACCAUGAAGACAAACGAUCCGAGACAUAUACAAUUCUGCCAAUACUGCACUGCUGUAGUUGGUCUUGACAGGUAUGAAGUGGGCUGACUUGGUCAAGCGGUCCACUACUACCCAAAUGGAAUCGUAGCCGGCUCGAGUGCGAGGCAAUCCGACUAUGAAAUCCAUACCAAUUUCAUCCCAUUUCCACUCAGGGAUCUGCAACGGUUGCAACAAUCCAGCUGGUCUUUGGUGCUCUGCCUUAAUUCUUCGACAACUAUCACACAUAGCCACAUUCUCUGCGAUUUCCCUCUUCAUUUCGUACCACCAGAAUUUCUUCUUCAGAUCCUGAUACAUCUUCUCACUGCCAGGGUGAAUCGAAUAGGCUGUCUCAUGAGCUUCCUUGAGAAUCAACUCCCGAAUGGACUGGACAUUGGGAACACACAAGCGGUCUUUGAACCAUAUCACGCCUUCUGCAUCUUCUCGAAAGUCUUUGCCUCUGCCAUCUAGAAUCAGUCGCCGGAUCUCACUGAUCUUCUCAUCAUUCUUCUGCGCUUCUUUGAUUUCGCGCUCUAAGGUAGGUUCCAACUCAACUGUGACUCCUCGCGAAUUGUUCAAAAAUCCGAGACUCAACCUGUCGAACUCUUUGGCCAACUCAUAAGGCAUCGGACGAGCGACCAUCAGAUUGACUUGACUCUUUCUGCUCAAAGCAUCUGCCACUAUGUUUGCUUUGCCUGGAUGGUAAUGAAUCUCCAACUCAUAAUCUUUGAUCAACUCUAACCAUCUUCGUUGCCUCAUGUUCAACUCUGACUGAGUGAAUAUGUACUUCAGACUCUUGUGGUCUAUGUAAACAUCGCAUUUCUGUCCAUACAAAUAGUUCCUCCAUGUCUUCAGUGCGUGAACCACUGCUGCCAACUCUAGAUCAUGGAUUGGGUAAUUCUUCUCAUGAACCUUCAGCUGUCAGGACGAGUAAGCCACAACUCUUCCCUCUUGCAUCAACACACAUCCCAAACCUGUGUAACAAGCAUCGCAAUACACCGAGAAGGGCUUGUGCACAUCAGGCAAGACUAGGACAGGUGCUGUAGUCAACUUCUCUUUCAGCGCUUCAAAGGCCUCUUGACAUUUCUGGGUCCACUUGAACUCAACUUUGUUGCCUAGCAACGCUGUCAUUGGUUUCGCAAUCUUCGAAAACCCUUCAAUGAAUCGCCGAUAGUAUCCGGCCAUUCCAAUGAAACUCUUGAUUCCUCGAGCAUCUGUUGGCGACUUCCAGUUCAGAAUGUCUGCCACUUUCUUCGGAUCCACAGCCAACCCUUCUUUGUUGAUUAUGUGACCCAAGAACAGGACUUCAUUGAUCCAAAAUUCACAUUUGCUCAACUUUGCAUACAACUGGUGCUCUCGCAACCUCUGCAAUACCAUCCUCAAAUGAUCUGCGUGCUCUUCUUCGCUUUGAGAAUAAACCAGAAUGUCAUCAAUGAAUACCACCACAAACUUAUCAAGGUAAUCCAUGAAUACACUGUUCAUCAAGUUCAUGAAGAACGCUGGCGCAUUGGUCAAACCAAAAGACAUCACUGUGAACUCAUACAACCCAUACUUGGUAAUAAAUGCCGUCUUCGGAAUGUCCGAAGGUCGGAUCCUGAGCUGAUGAUAACCUGACCUCAGAUCAACCUUGGAGAACACACUGGCUCCUCUCAACUGGUCGAAUAGAUCUUCUAUUCUGGGCAAGGGAUACUUGUUCUUGAUCGUGACCUCAUUCAAAGCUCGAUAAUCAAUACACAUCCUCUUGGUGCCAUCUUUCUUCUCCACAAAUAGGACAGGGGCGGCCCAAGGCGAGGUGCUUGGCCGGAUGUAACCUUUCUCUGACAGCUCAUCAAUCUACUUCUUAAGUUCAACCAACUCUGGUCCGGAUAUUCUGUAAGCUCUCUUGAAGAUAGGGGCGGUUCCAGGAAGAAGCUCUAUAGCAAACUCAACUUUCCGCUCUGGUGGCAUACCGGUAAGUCCUUUGGAAACACAUCUGGGAACUCGGACACAACCUUGAUACUCUUGAUCGGGUCUGCUUCACUGCUAUCAACAGCUAUCUGAUAACAACUUCCUUUCUUUGGCUCAGGCGGGACUAACUCGGUCACCACUUCCUCUCCUAGUGGGGACACCAACUUGAUGGUCCUUUUAUCACAACGGAUAACUGCCUGAUACUUAUCUAGCCAAUUCAUCCCUAGGAUGACAUCUAUUCCCUGAGUACCCAUUACUAUAAGGUUGGCGGGAAAUGCUAUCCCCCUUAUUUCCACACUUAUAUUCAAACAAAUGCUAUCGGCUCGAAUUCUACCACCGGCUGAGUCAAUUUGAAUGGGGGUUGACAUGGUAGUAAUUGGAAGAUUAUGUGCUUCUACCCAUGAUGCAGUAAUGAAAGAAUGUGUUGCUCCAGUAUCAAAUAACACUUCUGCAAUAUGGGAGUCGACUGGGAACAUACCUACUAUCAUGCCGGGGGUCUCCUGAACUGCUUCAGCCUCCAAGUGGUUCAGCCUUCCAUGAUUAUAGCGCGACUGAGAGCGAUUGCCUGCUCCAGACUGAGGCACAUUCUGCUUUGCGGGGGCAUUGGGGCCUGACUGCUGCUGGGCUGCCUUCUUCGGACAUUGCAUCACCCAGUGGCCUUGCUCUCCACAGUGGAAACAUGCUCUGUUUCCAACCUGAGCUGGUGCUGCCUGAUUGCUUUGCUGGUUUGCUGGGGCAGGAAGACGAGGUGCUUGCUGAUUCUGCCUCUGAAACUGACAUCCUGACUGAUUGCUCUGACGGUUCUGGUACUGGUGCUGAGGAUACUGCCUCUGGAAUUGCUGAUGCUGCUGAGGUGGACGUUGGUUCUGCAUGAACUGCUGAGGUUGAUUGCCUGAGAAACGAGGACGAUUGCUGCUUCCAGGCUGGGGUCCACUAAUCUUGCGCUUACGAUCCUCCAUCUCCUUACGCUUCCUCUCUGUCAUGAUUGCUCUGUCAAUCAGGUGCUGGAAUGUCGGGAAGGUGUGAUUCAUCAGUUGAUACUGAAGAGGGUCAACCAAGCCUCUCAGGAAACGGUACUGUCGCUUGGCGUCGGUGUUGACAUCUUCAGGAGCAUAGCGAGACAAUUGCAGAAACCUGUCCCGGUACUCACUGACAGACAAUGGCCCUUGCUUGAGGGCCAAGAACUCCUCCUUCUUCACUAUCAUCAGACCUGCAGGAACAUGGUACUGACGAAAGCUACCUCUGAACUCUUCCCAGGUGAUGGCGUCAGGGUGGGCAUGGGUGGCGAGGUAAGACUCCCACCAUGACUGGGCUGCUCCUCUCAAUAGACGGGGACCAUACAGGACUUUCUCCCUGUCAUCGCACUGAGCGGUAUGCAACUCCCGCUCCACAUUGUGCAGCCAGUCUUCAGCAUCCAUGGGGUCAGAAGAAUGAGCGAACGUUGGUGGAUGACCUCUCAUGAAUUCAGCACGCUUGUCUCUAGGCAUCUGAGGCAUCUGAGGCUGAGGUGGGGCCUGCUGCUGCUGCUGCUGAAUGGCGGCCAAAGUCUGACCGAUGGCUUGAACUGCCUGAGUCUGCAUCAGAAACAUCUGCUCGAUCGACAUCGGGGGCGGGGGCGGCAGAUGCUGCUGCUGGGGCACCUCCUCCUGUUGAGCGGCUCGCUCCUGCUGAGCACGCCUUCCUCCUCUGCGCCUAUUCUCUGACAUCUGCAGAAUGCAACCACACAUCAGAACUGAUAUGGCAAAUCUUGCAGCAUAAGAAAAGAGUAUAGAAUUCUUCAACAGCACUGAACAGAUGAGCAUCUUCACUGAUCUCCAACAUAGACCACACAGCUUCUCAGAUAAAGAGGAAAGUGGAAUAAAAGGUUUCCCAACUAUAUAACUAACUUUAUUAACAUAAUAGGUAAACCAAAAUGCAGGAGAUACCCACACUGUGGUGACAGUCAUUACAAAGAUCCAAACCAAACAUAGUUCAUCAUAACAAGCAUAAAUGCACAGGAUAUAGGAAACUACCCUGUCUAACUAAGACUAACUAAAAGCGAGACUAACGCUAAGACUGUAGCUUCUACGUAUGUAUAUUUCGUAUUAAUUACAAGAUCCAACUCUAACAAGCUAUGGUUCUAGAGUUAUCUUGGUCUUGCAGUCGAGAUUGCCAUAAGACUGGUGUCCACGCCGAGGUGAGCGGUACGGGUGCUGAGUCCCGACGGGAGCGGGGGAACCAUCUUCCAGGUGACGACGUUCCACGCGCUCAGCCCACAGCAGGGCGAUCUCAGCACGAGCCCUACUCAGCUCGUCUAAUGCAUGGUCCAGCUCCGUGUUUAGCACGGCGGCUAGGUUGACUGUGCUGCUCAACCUAGGACUGCCCUCACCGACAGGUGAGACAAUCACGCCUCCUGUGCUGCCAGAUGGACGGCGGGGGUAAUACUUCAGGUCAAGGCCGUCAGCUACCCCACCGAAAACCGAGCAGUAGUGCGAAAGCGCACGCCGUGCAGCAUCUUGCAUGACUGCCUCAGCUGAGUCCCGCUCAGAGAUAGAAUAGUGCUCUGAGCAGGCCUCCGCACCCUGGAGAGUGUUCUCCGAGCGGCGCACCAAGCAGGUUGCCUCCCAGCGGUCCGGGUAGACCCCGCGACUAUGCUGGUAGACCACACAGCGAUACUCGAUGGACCAAGUAUGCCGGUUAAGUGCCCGACGUAGCAGGGUGUCGAGCGCAUCGUGGAAGUGACACCCGCGAGCAGCGUCGCGAGUGAUGGGUCGAGCAACCCAUCCUUCCGGCUCAGGGUUAGCAGAAAGGUCGGUGUCGUGGCUCGAGCUGUCGUCGCCACCUCUGUCGUCUAGGUCUCCUCCAGCAGCUACUCCAGAAGCUGGGGCGCCCAGUGGUGGUGUAGGGGGCGCCUCCAGAGGAAGCAAAGGGGAGCAGCUCCUCACGGACUCUAUCUCCUGUUGGAGCGAGAAAGAAGAGCCCUGCUGCUCCUGUCGUCGACGUUCCUGCUCCUCAUGCAAGCGGUGGUGCAGUCUCUCCAAGUGGCUGGAUUGUCCGGCCACGGGACGGCGAAGCGGACGCUCAGCAAGGCGGGAGGGUAAGAAGGGGAUGAUGGACUUUCAUGCAGUGUGUCUAAGUCGAGCCAUCUACAAAAGACAUCGCAAGCAAAAGGGUGAGAACAGAAUUAAUAUGACCAGCAAAUAAUGAAUCAUAAGUAAAUGAAGGAUUAGAAUAAAACACAAUUUUCAGCAAGGUAUAUUAUAUAGUAGAACAUAGGUUUGGUCGGUAUGACCAACUUUUGAAGGGAUAUCAAAGUCAAGGCGGGGACAGAGGUCUAUAGUCCUUAGAACGACCAUUCUACUCUAGGUUAGCGGUCCUACAGUCAGCACGGCUUUGAUACCACUUAUGUCACACCCGGUUUUAGAAGGCAAACCGAAUGCGAACCAUGUACGUGCCAGGAUCAGUUAUUCACGUACACAGCAGUUACAUAACAUGGACAUCAUCACACAGUGCUCAAAAUAGUAUUAAGAAGGGAAAUAGUCGAUUACAUCAUACGUCUGAGACGUCCAUAUAGUCUUUACAAUAAAUCAAAGUGCGGAAAAGAAACGUAGAUAAACGCGGCCUUCACAGGCAGCCGACUGGGGGUUGCCGCUAACCCACACCUAGAACUCGUCGUAGUCUUGGAACUCCUGGAAGUCUCCUUCCACGGCUUCAUCUUCUCCUGAGCAGUGGUUGCAAUGCUGACAACCUGGGGAUGGGGGGGGUUUGGUGUGUAGAGCAAGGGUGAGUACACAUCAACAUACUCAGCAAGCACCUGUACCAAAGUAUCUCUGAUCAAGUACCACUAAUCACUGGAGCUCCCUUGGCCGCUCAUAACCGCGAGCACGGCUGAUAUAUCAGUUUUCAAACACUCUGCAGAGGUUGUGCACUUUACCCACAAGCCGUGAUUCCCUUUCUGCCCGGAGAUCAUGACUCUCCAUUGAUCACUACCAAGGUGACCCAGCAGGGCAUCACUACGUAGCCUUUACAAAGAUUCCCCGGGGCUGUAGCCACCCGUUAGGUUUCCUAAAUGCACCGCACUCCUCCCCAAGGGGCGAACCCAAACUUGGCAGAGCGAGCCGCAUACACCGAGCCCCAUUGACGGCACGACGGCUAAGUGAACUACACCCCAGAUCCUCUAAUUAUUCAGCUAAGGGCAUCCCAUUCCACCCUCAUGGUUGCACUGUUUUCCCGGGCGGUCAUCCAUACAACAGGUCCUUACGGAGAGGCACUCGAGAAACCGCUCGAGCCCCCUUGAUGACCACAAGUACAACAUUAUAAUAAGAGAAGGGAGAACAGCGUAUCAUAGAUAAUCUCAUCAUGUUCAUUGAUUAGAGUUUGAGCAAUAGCAUAAAGCUAAACAAUAAUAAUCCAACCCAAAUAGGUAGACAAGGACAUGGAUAACAAAAGCUAGUCAAUCCUUAGGCAUAAAUGUGUAAUGCGGGAGGUGAAUUAAAGAAUGUAUAGGACAGAGAUAGGUCAAGGGACACUUGCCUCCACCAACCGACUGCUGCUCAGGGGCUUCUCCUGCGAGUUCCUCGGGCUCUUCGACCGGAUCGUUCUCUAUGCGAUUGCAAGCAUACAUACAUACAUCCAUUCAAAUUAGGAAACAAACAGUACACCACACAAGGGGACAAAUAAAGUAAAUAUGCAUCAAGUAUGACAUUCGAUGUCGCAUUCGUUAAGGUUAGAAAGAAACGGGGAAAGGUCUCGCAGGGGUUAAAGCUUAUGCACUAACGGAAACCUAGCCCCUUUUUAGUUGAUCGACCUUAAGCGAAAUGAACAAUUGACUAUAUAAAUUGACUAAUGUAACGGAAUUCUAAAUUAAGUUUCAUAUUUCAUUAACAUGAACGAUGAUUAGCUUGCCCAAAACAAAAUAAAAUAAAUAACAAUAAUGAAAGAAAAUAAAAUAGAAUAAAAUAAAAUAAAAAAUAAAAAAGGGGGGCGGUUGAACCGGCCGGGGGCGGUUGAACCGGCCAGGGGCAGGGGCGGGGGCGGCCAAGCCGGCGGCGGGCGGCCGGGCUGGGCGCGCAGGGGCGGCCGGGCAGGGGCGGCCGAACCGGCGGGGGGGCUGGGCCGGCCAAGGCGGCGGCCGAGCCGGCAGCCGAGCCGACGGCCGAGCUGGGCGGGCGGGCGGCCAGACUGGGGCGCGGGGGCGGCCGAGCGGCGGGGCCGAGCCAGGGCAGGCGGGCGGCCGAGCGGCGGGGGCCGAGCCGGGGCAGGGGGAAGGGGAGGGGAGAUGGGGGAGGGAGGAGAGGGGGAGGGGGACCUCACCGGGGACGGGGACGGGCGGCCGAACCGGCGACGAGCAAGGGCGGCGGCUAGGGCAGGGGCGGCGGCUGGGGUGGGGAAGAGAGAGAAUGGGAGGGAGAGAGAGGGAUUUGGGGAAAAAGGGGGGGGCUGGGCCAGCUGGGCCCAAAGGGGGCGCGUGGGGGGGGGGCGGCUGGGCCGGCCAAGGCGGCUGGGUCGGCCGGGGCGGCCCACGGCGCGGGAGAGAGAAAAAGGGAGGAGAGAGAGAAGGAAAAAGAAAAAAAAGAAAAAGAAAAAGAAAAAGAAAGGUUUUCUCCUUUUCGAAAUCCGUUUUUUCCUGGAUGAAUGCACUUACAUUUUUAAGCAAUCGAAAGAAUGCAUGGUUCGGCAUGAUGCAUCAAACAACAUAAAGUAUUUUAAGGUUUUGCUUAACACGGGAAUUCCAAGCCAAACCCCGCUAAAACUUUGGAAAAGGUCAAGGUUUAGCGAGAGAACGAGAAAAGAAAUGAGUAACGCCUGAAUUUGGUGAGAGAAAAGAAGAAAAAAUUCUACCCCCAAAUUCAGGGCGUUACAAUACGCACCCACACGCCCACACUGAAACACACCAUCUCUGCGUCCCCUUAGGAACACACCAUCUCUGCGUCCCCUUAGGAACGAUCGAAGUCUCUUUGCCGUUUAUUUUUCGGCUUCACCGCUUAUUUUUCGGUGUAAGUUCUGCAUCCCCUUAGGAACGUCUUUUGAACUUCUUCGCCUUCUAUUUCGGCGGUAUUUUUCGCGUUGACUUUUCGUGCUUCGCCUUAUAUUUCGGCGGUAUUUUCGCGUUGACUUUUCGCGCUUUGCCUUAUAUUUCGGUGGUAUUUGGCUCUGCAUUCCCUUUGGAACGACUUUUGAGCAGAAAACUUACACUGCGCUCCCUUAGGAACGACUUUUUGUAGCUUCGGCGAAACUUACACUGCGCUCCUUAGGAAUGACUUUUUGUAGCUUCGGCGAAACUUACACUGCGAUUUUUUGCUCUGCAUUCCCUUAGGAACGACUUUUGAGCUUCAACAAUUUUUGAGCUUCGUAAAUAUUUGAAGAAGAUAUAUUUCAUUCUGACCAAAGUGAAACUAUUACAAGAAAUUAAAACUAGUUCUGCAUUGUUUGUUCCUUAUUAAAAAACAAAAUGACAAUGAACAUAAAAAUGUUUCAGAGGUAGGAUAUCUCUCAAUAGAUGUGCUUUGAUUCCGACACAGUACUGUUGACUGUGCAAGCUUCAGAUUCCUCCCUGAAUUCCCAUUGCUGUUGAGAGUGCUGGCGCCCUUGAAAGUCGCCUAGAGGGGGGUGAAUAGGGCGAAUCUAAAAUUUACAAACUUAAUCACAACUACAAGCCGGGUUAGCGUUAGAAAUAUAAAUGAGUUCGAGAGAGAGGGUGCGAAACAAAUCGUGAGCGAAUAAAGAGCGAGACACGAUGAUUUGUUUUACCGAGGUUCGGUUCUUGAAAAACCUACUCCCCGUUGAGGUGGUCACAAAGACCGGGUCUCUUUCAAUCCUUUCCCUCUCUCAAACGGUCCCUCGGACCGAGUGAGCUUCUCUUCUCAAUCAAACGGAACACUAAGUUCCCGCAAGGACCACCACACAAUUGGUGUCUCUUGCCUUGGUUACAAUUAAGUUGAUCUCAAGAAGAAUGAGAAAGAAAAGAAGCAAUCCAAGCGCAAGAGCUCAAAUGAACACAACAAAUCACUCUCUCUAAUCACUAAAGCUUUGUGUGGAGUUGGAAGAGGAUUUGAUCUCUUGGGUGUGUCUUAUAUUGAAUGCUAGAGCUCUUGUAAGUGGUUGGAAGGUGGAAAACUUGGAUGCCAAUGAAUGUGGGGUGGUUGGGGUAUUUAUAGCCCCAACCACCACAAAGUGGCCGUUGGAAGGCUGCAGUCGCAUGGCGCGCCGGACAGUCCGGUGCGCCACUGGACACUGUCCGGUGCGCCAGCCACGUCAGCACACCGUUGGGGUUCGACCGUUGGAGCUCUGUCUUGUGGGCCCGCCUGGCUGUCCGGUGGUGCACCGGACAGGCCCUGUAGGCUGUCCGGUGUGCCACCCGUGCGUGCUCUGCUCCUCUGCGCGCGCAGGCGCGCAUUUAAUGCGUUGCAGUCGACCGUUGCGCGCGAAGUAGUCGUUGCUCCGCUGUCACACCGGACAGUCCGGUGUGCACCGGACACUGUCUGGUGACUCACCGGACAGUCCGGUGAAUUAUAGCGGAGCGGAUUCCCGAAGCUGGCGAGUUCAGAGUUGCUCUCCCUUGGGGCACCGGACACUGUCCGGUGGUGCACCGGACGGUCCGGUGAAUUAUAGCGGAGCUCCUCUGAAAAUUCCCGAAGGUGAAGAGUUGGGCGUCGAGUUCCCUCGGGCACCGGACACUGUCCGGUGGCACACCGGAUAGUCCGGUGCGCCAGACCAGGGGACACUUCGGUAUACUUGGCUCCUUUGUUUUGAACCCUUUUCUUGGUCUUUUUAUUGGCUUAUUGUGAACCUUUUGCACCUGUAGAACUUAUAGACUAGAGCAAACUAGUUAGUCCAAUUAUUUGUGUUGGGCAAUUCAACCACCAAAAUUAAUUGGGAAAUAGGUGUAAGCCUAAUUCCCUUUCAAUCUCCCCCUUUUUGGUGAUUGAUGCCAACACAAACCAAAGCAAGUAUAGAAGUGCAUAAUUGAACUAGUUUGCAUAAUUGUAAGUGCAAAGGUUACUUUGAAUUGAGCCAAUAUAAAUUCUCAUAAGAUACGCAUGGAUUGUUUCUUUAUUUUUAACAUUUUGGACCACGCUUGCACCACAUGUUUUGUUUUUGCAAAUUCUUUUGUAAAUUCUUUUCAAAGUUCUUUUGCAAAUAGUCAAAGGUAAAUGAAUAAGAUUUUGAGAAGCAUUUUCAAGAUUUGAAAUUUUCUCCCCCUGUUUCAAAUGCUUUUCCUUUGACUUAAACAAAACUCCCCCUCAAUAAAUUCCUCCUCUUAGUGUUCAAGAGGGUUUUUAAGAUAUCAAUUUUGAAAAUACUACUUUCUCCCCCUUUUGAACACAUUUGAAAAUCAUAGUUUUUUCUUAAAAUUAGGUGGUGGUGCGUCCUUUUGCUUUGGGCUAAUACUUUCUCCCCCUUUGGCAUGAAUUGCCAAAAACGGAUACUUUGAGUGAAAUAUAAGCCCUUUAACUACUUUCUCCCUCUUUCGUAAAAGACAUAUGAGUGAAGAUUAUACCAAAGUCGGAGAGUUGCUCGGAGCGACAGCGAAGGGUGAGUUAUGGAGUGGAAGCCUUUGUCUUCGCCGAAGACUCCAAUUCCCUUUCAAUACACCUAUGACUUGGUUUGAAAUUCACUUGAAAACAUAUUAGUCAUAGCACAUGAAAGAGACAUGAUCAAAGGUAUACUUAUGAGCUAAGUGUGCAAAACAUAAAAAGAAAUUCCUAGAAUCAAGAAUAUUUAGCUCAUGCCUAAGUUUGUUAAAAGUUUGUUCAUCUAGUGGCUUGGUAAAGAUAUCGGCUAAUUGAUCUUUAGUGUUAAUAUAUGCAAUCUCGAUAUCUCCCUUUUGUUGGUGAUCCCUUAAGAAAUGAUACCGAAUGACAAUGUGUUUAGUGCGGCUAUGCUCAAUGGGAUUAUCCGCCAUGUGGAUUGCACUCUCAUUAUCACAUAGAAGAGGAACUUUGGUUAAUUUGUAACCAUAGUCCGUAAGGGUUUGCCUCAUCCAAAGUAGUUGCGCGCAACAAUGACCUGCGGCAAUAUACUCGGCUUCGGCGGUAGAAAGAGCUACAGAAUUUUGCUUCUUUGAAGCCCAAGACACCAAGGAUCUUCCCAAGAACUGGCAAGUCCCCGAUGUGCUCUUUCUAUUAAUUUUACACCCCGCCCAAUCGGCAUCCGAAUAACCAAUUAAAUCAAGUUGGAUCCCCUAGGAUACCAAAGCCCAAACUUAGGAGUAUAAGCUAAAUAUCUCAAGAUUCGUUUUACGGUCGUAAGGUGAGCUUCCUUAGGGUCGACUUGGAAUCUUGCACACAUGCAUACGGAAAGCAUAAUAUCCGGUCGAGAUGCACAUAAAUAUAGUAAAGAGCCUAUCAUCGACCGGUAUACCUUUUGAUCGACGGAUUUACCUCCCGUGUCGAGGUCGAGAUGCCCAUUGGUUCCCAUGGGAGUCUUGAUGGGCUUGGCAUCCUUCAUCCCAAACUUGUUUAGAAUAUCUUGAAUAUACUUCGUUUGGCUAAUGAAGGUGCCCUCUUGGAGUUGCUUCACUUGAAAUCCCAAGAAGUACUUCAACUCCCCCAUCAUCGACAUCUCGAAUUUCUUUGUCAUGAUCCUACUAAAUUCUUCACAUGUAGAUUCGUUAGUAGACCCAAAUAUAAUAUCAUCAACAUAAAUUUGGCAUACAAACAAAUCAUUGCCAAGAGUUUUAGUAAAUAAAGUAGGAUCGACCUUUCUGACUUUGAAGCCAUUAGUGAUAAGGAAAUCUCUAAGGCAUUCAUACCAUGCUCUUGGGGCUUGCUUGAGCCCAUAAAGCGCCUUAGAGAGUUUAUACACAUAGUUAGGAUACUCACUAUCUUCAAAGCCGGGAGGUUGCUCAACAUAGACCUCUUCCUUGAUUGGUCCAUUGAGGAAGGCACUUUUCACGUCCAUUUGAUAAAGCUUAAAGCCAUGGUAAGUAGCAUAGGCAAGUAAUAUGCGAAUUGACUCAAGCCUAGCUACGGGUGCAUAGGUUUCACCGAAAUCCAAACCUUCGACUUGGGAGUAUCCCUUGGCCACAAGUCGGGCUUUGUUCCUUGUCACCACACCAUGCUCGUCUUGCUUGUUGCAGAAAACCCACUUGAUUCCUACAACAUUUUGAUUAGGACGUGGAACCAAAUGCCAUACCUCAUUCCUAGUGAAGUUGUUGAGCUCCUCUUGCAUCGCCACCACCCAAUCCGAAUCUUGUAGUGCUUCCUCUACCCGGUGUGGCUCAAUAGAGGAAACAAAAGAGUAAUGCUCACAAAAAUGUGCAACACAAGAUCUAGUGGUUACCCCCUUAUGGAUGUCGCCGAGGAUGGUGUCGACGGGGUGAUCUUGUUGGAUUGCUUGGUGGACUCUUGGGUGUGGCGGCCUUGGUUCUUCAUCCUCCUUGUCUUGAUCAUGGGCAUCUCCCCCUUGAUCAUUGUUCUCCUCUUGAGGUGGCUCAACAUCUUGAUUUUCUCCUUUAUCAUUUUGAGCCCCAUCCUCAUCUUGAGUUGGUGGAGAUGCUUGUGUUGAGGAGGAUGGUUGAUCUUGUGCAUUUGGAGGCUCUUUGGAUUCCUUAGCACACACAUCCCCAAUGGACAUGUUCCUUAGCGCGACGCACGAAGCCUCUUCAUUACCUAUCUGAUCAAGAUCAACUUGCUCUACUUGAGAGCCGUUAGUCUCAUCAAACACAACGUCACAAGAAACUUCAACUAGUCCUGAGGACUUGUUAAAGACUCUAUAUGCCCUUGUGUUUGAAUCAUAUCCUAGUAAAAAGCCUUCUACAGUCUUAGGAGCAAAUUUAGAUUUUCUACUUCUUUUAACAAAAAUAAAGCAUUUGCUACCAAAGACUCUAAAAUAUGAAAUAUUGGGCUUUUUACUGGUUAGGAGUUCGUAUGAUGUCUUCUUGAGGAUUCGGUGUAGAUACAAUCGGUUGAUGGCGUAGCAGGCGGUGUUGACCGCCUCGGCCCAAAACCGAUCCGAAGUCUUGUACUCAUCAAGCAUGGUCCUUGCCAUGUCCAAUAGAGUUCUAUUCUUCCUCUCCGCUGCACCAUUUUGUUGUGGCAUGUAGGGAGAAGAGAACUCAUGCUUGAUGCCCUCCUCCUCAAGGAAGCCUUCGAUUUGAGAGUUCUUGAACUCCGUCCCGUUGUCGCUUCUAAUUUUCUUGAUCCUUAAGCCGAACUCAUUUUGAGCCCGUCUCAAGAAUCCCUUUAAGGUCUCUUGGCUAUGAGAUUUUUCCUACAAAAAGAACACCCAAGUGAAGCGAGAAUAAUCAUCCACAAUAACUAGACAGUACUUACUCCCGUUGAUGCUUAUGUAAGCAAUCGGGCCGAAUAGGUCCAUGUGUAGGAGCUCGAGUGGCCUGUCAGUCGUCAUGAUGUUCUUGUGUGGAUGAUGAGCACCAACUUUCUUUCCUGCCUGACAUGCGCUACAAACCCUUCUUCCUUUUGCCGUCCUUUGCCAUGAGGCACUUGUGGCCGACGUUGGGGAAGAGAAGACCCUUGGUGACGGUGAUGUUUGCGGCAUCCUCGUCGGAGGAGGAGUCGGUGGAUCUCUCGUCGGAGUCCCACUCCCGGCAAAUGUGGGCAUCACCGCCCUUCUUCUUGUAGUAUCUUUUCUUCUCCUUUCUUCUCCCCUUCUUGUCGUCGCCCCUGUCACUAUCACUAGAUAAUGGACAUUUAGCAAUGAAAUGACCGGGCUUACCAUAUUUGUAGCACACUUCCUUGGAUCGGGGCUUGUAAUCCUUCCCCCUCCUUUGCUUGAGGAUUUGGCAGAAGCUCUUGAUGAUGAGCGCCAUUUCCUCGUUGUCGAGCUUGGAGGCGUCGAUGGGUGUUCUACUUGAUGUAGACUCCUCCUUCUUUUCCUCCGUCGCUUUGAAUGCGACCGGUUGUGCUUCGGACGUGGAGGGGCCAUCAAUCUCGUUGAUCUUCUUCGAGCCUUUGAUCAUCAAUUCAAAGCUCACAAAAUUCCCUAUUACCUCCUUGGGAGACAUUAGUGUAUAUCUAGGAUUUCAUCAAAUUAAUUGAACUUGCGUAGGGUUAAGAAAAACGAGGGAUCUUAGAAUAACCUUAACCAUCUCAUGGUCAUCCCAUUUCUUACUCUCGAGGUUGCGCACUUGUUUCACCAAGGUCUUGAGCCGGUUGUACGUAUCUUGUGGCUCCUCCCCUUGGCAAAGUCGGAAGCGACCGAGCUCCCCCUCGAUCGUCUCCCGCUUGGUGAUCUUGGUCACCUCGUCUCCUUCGUGCGCGGUCUUUAGCACGUCCCAAAUUUCCUUUGCACUCUUCAACCCUUGCACCUUAUUAUACUCCUCUCAACUUAGAGAGGCGAGGAGUAUAGUGGUGGCUUGGGAGUUGAAGUGCACGAUUUGGGCUACUUUGUCCUCAUCAUAAUCUUCAUCCCCUACGGAUGGUACCUGUACACCAAACUCAACAACAUCCCAUAUACUUUUGUGGAGUGAGGUUAGGUGAUAUCGCAUCAUAUCACUCCACCUAGCAUAAUCUUCACCAUCAAAUGUUUGUGGUUUGCCUAAUGGGACGAAAAGUAAAGGCGUAUGUUUAGGAAUGCGAGGAUAGCGUAGGGGGGUCUUACUAAACUUCUUGCUCUCAUGGCGCUUAGAAGUUACGGACGGCGUGUCGAAGCCGGAGGUGGAUGGCGACGAGGAGUCGGUCUCGUAGUAGACCACCUUCCUCAUCUUCUUCUUCUUAUCACCGCUCCGACGCGAUUUGUGUGAAGGGGAUUCCUUUUCCUUCCCCUUCCCUUUGUUGUAGGACUCUCCCGAUGGAGCCUUCCCGUGGCUUGUAGUGGGCUUCUCGCCGGUCCCCAUCUCUUUCUUGGCGUGAUCUCCCGACAUCACUUCAAGCGGUUAGGCUCUAAUGAAGCACCAUGCUUUGAUACCAAUUGAAAGUUUCCUAGAGGGGGGUGAAUAGGGCGAAUCUGAAAUUUACAAACUUACUCACAACUACAAGCCGGGUUAGCGUUAGAAAUAUAAAUGAGUUCGAGAGAGAGGACGCGAAACAAAUCGUGACCGAAUAAAGAGCGAGACACGAUGAUUUGUUUUACCGAGGUUCGGUUCUUGAAAAACCUACUCCCCGUUGAGGUGGUCACAAAGACCGGGUCUCUUUUAACCCUUUCCCUCUCUCAAACGGUCCCUCGGACCGAGUGAGCUUCUCUUCUCAAUCAAACGGAACACUAAGUUCCCGCAAGGACCACCACACAAUUGGUGUCUCUUGCCUUGGUUACAAUUGAGUUGAUCGCAAGAAGAAUGAGAAAGAAAAGAAGCAAUCCAAGUGCAAGAGCUCAAAUGAACACAACAAAUCACUCUCUCUAAUCACUAAAGCUUUGUGUGGAGUUGGGAGAGGAUUUGAUCUCUUGGGUGUGUCUUAUAUUGAAUGCUAGAGCUCUUGUAAGUGGUUGGAAGGUGGAAAACUUGGAUGCCAAUGAAUGUGGGGUGGUUGGGGUAUUUAUAGCCCCAACCACCACAAAGUGGUCGUUGGAAGCCUGCAGUCGCAUGGCGCACCGGACAGUCCGGUGCGCCACCGGACACUAUCCGGUGCGCCAGCCACGUCAGUAGACCAUUGGGGUUCGACCGUUGGAGCUAUGUCUCGUGGGCCCGCCUGGCUGUCCGGUGUGCCACCCGCGCGUGCUCUGCUCCUCUGCGCGCGCAGGCGCGCAUUUAAUGCGUUGCAGUAGACCGUUGCGCGCGAAGUAGUCGUUGCUCCGCUGUCACACCGGACAGUCCGGUGUGCACCGGACACUGUCCGGUGAAUUAUAGCGGAGCGGAUUCCCGAAGCUGGCGAGUUCAGAGUUGCUCUCCCUUGGGGCACCGGACAGUCCAGUGAAUUAUAGCGGAGCUCCUCUAAAAAUUCCCGAAGGUGAAGAGUUGGGCGUCGAGUUCCCUGGUGCACCGGACACUGUCCGGUGGCACACCGGACAGUCCGGUGCGCCAGACCAGGCGACACUUUGGUAUACUUGGCUCCUUUGUUUUGAACCCUUUUCUUGGUCUUUUUAUUGGCUUAUUGUGAACCUUUGGCACCUGUAGAACUUAUAGACUAGAGCAAACUAGUUAGUCCAAUUAUUUGUGUUGGGCAAUUCAACCACCAAAAUUAAUUGGGAAAUAGGUGUAAGUCUAAUUCCCUUUCAGCCCUUCUAGUUGCUGGCUUCGGGAAUAGGUCGGUUGUAGUGGUGGUGGAGGCGGGAGUUGUGGCCAAGAAGCCUGUGAAUGGCUAGCCGAAGCAACAGAAGCUGCAGGAUGAUUGUUCACAUACUCUGGUAUGUAAGGAGAGUGACACGAUGCAGUGUGCAAGACCUGCUUCGGCUGAUUCUGCCGAGCUUUGGCUUCUGCUAUCUCCUUUUGCUUCUGGAUGGUGACGUGGCACAUUCUUGUAGUAUGGCUCUUGUCCUCACCACAGAAUAAGCAGUAGACUUUUCUAGGCUGAUCCCCAAAUCUUCCUUCGAAGCCCCUGGCGCCUCUGCCCCUUGGAGCUGGUGGCCUGAAAGAUCUUUGUUGUUGCCCCGAAGAUUGUGAGGUAUAUUGUGACCUCUGGGACUGACUUCCUUUGUCGUCACUCUGAGUGGAGUUAUGGAUUGACCUGACGUGCCUCGGAUGGAUUCUUCCUCUGAAGCCCCUGGUCAUUUCGUAGAAUCUGUAAGCUUCCUCCCUUCUUUGGCGAAAAUCAUUGUCAGCUCGGAUGUACUCAUCUAUCUUCUGAAGCAGUUUCUCCAGAGUUUGUGGGGGCUUCCUGGCGAAAUAUUGAGCAAUAGGCCCUGGCCGAAGACCCUUGAUCAUGGCCUCGAUGACAAUCUCAUUAGGCACUGUAGGCGCUUGUGCCCUCAGUCGCAAGAACCUUCGUACAUAUGCCUGAAGGUAUUCUUCGUGGUCUUGCGUGCAUUGAAAUAGAGCCUGAGCUGUGACUGGCUUUGUUUGAAAACCUUGUAAACUAGUAACCAGCAUAUCCUUAAGCUUCUGCCACGACGUGAUAGUCCCUGGCCGAAGAGAAGAAUAACAUGUUUGGGCUACAUUCCGGACUGCCAUGACGAAGGACUUCGCCAUGACUGCAGUAUUGCCCCCAUACGAAGAUAGAGUUGCUUCGUAGCUCAUCAGAAACUGCUUUGGAUCUGAGUGCCCAUCAUACAUGGGAAGCUGAGGUGGCUUGUAUGAUGGGGGCCAUGGGGUAGCGUGCAGUUCUGCUGCCAAGGGAGAAGCAUCAUCAAAAGUAAAGGCAUCAUGAUUAAAAUCAUCAUACCAUCCAUCUUCAUUGAACAAGCCUUCUUGACGAAGCUCCCUGUGUUGGGGUCUUCGAUCCUGUUCAUCUUGAGCAAGAUGACACACUUCCUCAGUGGCUUCGUCGAUCUUCCAUUGAAGAUCAGCCAGCCGCGCCAUCUUCUCCUUCUUCCUUUGUAUUUGCUGAUGGAUUAUUUCCAUGUCCCUGAUUUCUUGGUCCAACUCCUCCUCCUGGAGUGUUGGACUGGUGGGUUUCCUCUUCUGGCUUCGAGCCUCUCGAAGAGAAAGAGUUUCCUGGUUUGGGUCCAGCGGCUACAGUACAGCGGUCUCUGGUGCUGAAGCUUUUUUUCGGCGGCAUGACGAAGGUCAGUGCUUGCCGAAGGUGGUCGAAAAAGGUUCACCGGAGGUGGGCGCCAAUGUUGGGGACUUGUUCUCAAAUGCUAUGAGUUAAGAACAAGGCAACACAAAAUGUUAAAUGUUAAAGUACUUCGUCCUUCGAAACAUUAUUUCCUUUGGGAUAUAAUGAUAUUUAGACGAAGGUUAUGAAGGACAUACCUUCAUCAACGCGGUAUAUGUUAAUAAAAGAAGUAUAUGAAAUAUAGGAAGCAAAAUAAACAAUUACAUAACAUUAUUAAUUCAUUGUAUUGUCAUGGAAAGACAGAAACAAUAUUGAAUUACAAAUGUACCUUCGGAUUGAUAGAAGACAAAAAGUACAAGCGUGACACAAGAGCCAGUACAAGUCAGCGUGAACAGUACGAGGGUACUGUUCAUCUAUUUAUAGUCACAGGGCGCAGCCUGUGCAAAAUUACAUUCAUGCCCUUCAUGUUUACUAUUGACAUUAGGACAAUCUAUCGAGGACUAAAUAGUCUUUUCCUCUUUAAGUCGGUUCCUUUUCUGCUACUGAGCCGAAGCUUUCUUGUGCAUAGCUUCGGAACUGGUUCGACCUUCAUCCCAACCAUGCUUUUCAUAUUGUGGACAGCUCCAUCCCGAUUCUGAAGGUUCCUGUACAUAUAUUACACUCGGAGAAACAUUGUUAAUCAUGUUUUUUAGGACCUUCGGAAGACGAAGGCCCCUAACACCACUCUUUUUUUAUUAAUUAAGACUACUUGUAAGAAACUGACACCUACCAACUAAUUGUUUGACAGGAGCUUGCUCAUAGCCAGCAAUAUUUCUUCUGGAAAAACUACAGGAAUAACAGACUGAAGCACAUCAUACCACGCCCUCCUCCUGAACCUGCACCUUCACAGGCACCUGCUACAUUGCCCCUACCAGCCCGCGAUGACACCCGUAGCUCCACCUGUUCCUGCACCAACAUCGUCUAUGCCACCUGUGGUAGCAGGUGGUGCAUCUGCAAUGUCUCCUAUGCAGUUUGUAGGAACUCCAGGCACUAAUAUGCCGAAGAAUGACAUGAGAAAUGCUAUGGACAAUAGAAAAAGGAAGUAUGCACCACCUCCCUUGCAAUCAUUCAAGUCAUUUUAUGAAGUUAUUUGUCCAUGCAUUGUUUUCUUUCCUUGCUAUUUUUUCUGUGCUAUGAAAUCAUUGGUGAACUAUUAUUUUCGAAGGACAUGAUCCAAUUCAGUUUGAUUUAUGGCCACUCUUCCAAUAUAGAUCAUGAAGAUUCCCCUUUCCUUACAGGAAAGAUGAUUGAGACUCUCAACAUGUUUUUUUUGAGGGAUGCUAUAUCCUCUUCCCCAUUCACUCUGGUUGCUCUUCUUCAUUGAAGACGGUGGAGAAAUACUUCUUUUACUUCUCUGAUCUUUGGCCCAUUAUCCCAGUAAAAUUUAUCUGAAGUUCUGUCAACAAUGCAUAUUGAGUCAAGUGUUAUUCGUCCCAUUGUGCAAAUAAAGACUGGAUAAAGACUCGUCAAUUGAAAUGUGAACGUCAUGCAGCUAUGACUGAAUCUGCAUAUUUCUUCAGAGCUUAUAAAUGUGAUAUGAAUGUUUCAUAAAACUUCAGUUUGGCUGAUGAUAUGUAUACAUCUUCAUCGCAGGAUGGGCUAGUUAAAAUUCUUGCGCAACUUUUCAACGGACACUUCCGGAUUCGAGCACAGUUGCUGCCUCUGGAGCCUUAUUAUUUCCUUUUGUUUUAGUGCUGGUUAUUUGGCCUUGUAGUUUAGAGUUUUUAGAAUGGAAGCUUCUGACUUAGAGUGAAGUUAGAACAAAUACUCCAUGUCGCAUGAACUUGGCAGCAGGAAAUAUGUACUGUUCAUAAACUAUACAUAUGCCCGUUGGCCCCAAUACAAAGUUGAUAUUUUGGCAAUAUUCUGUUUAUACAAAACAACUGUACAUAUUUCUGCAUUUUUUUACACAAAUAACUUAAAAGAAUGUUGACUUCAAACAAAACGAAGCUAUCUAAUGUUACUCGGUUCAACCCGUCUCUGGCGUUCGCCAUUAGACGUUUACAUGUUUACAUGAUGGAAACCACUUGUUGGAAUCAUAAAAACUAGUUUAAGAAAUAUACUGUCGUAAUUAUUUUUUUAAAACUUGACACAAAUCUACUCACAUAUAAAAGUUGGGAUACAAAUUUUCUUUUUGAAAAUUCAUACAAAAUCAGAAAUUUUAGUUGUAUGUGCACUGCGAGACAAAAAAGUAUAGAUUUUUGUCUUCUAGUAUACAUGCACAUAAGUUGUGCUAUUUUCAUAUGAUUUUUUUUUUCAAAAAUGACUUUGCAUCUCAAUUUUUGGGUGUGAGUUCUGUAUGGAUGAACUUAAGUUUUUUUAAAAAAUCAAGUUACAAAAGUGUACUUGCUCAGUUCCAAUUUAUAAUUUAUUUAACAUUAUCGACACCAACUUUACCGGCUCGCCUUAUUAAAAAAUAUAAUUAUUGUUUAUUAUUAUUGUGGUAUUGUUUAGCACUUAAUAUACUUUAAUUAUGGUUUUGGAUUUUCAAAUUUUCAAAAAAAUUACUAAGAUGAGUCAGUCAAAAUUAGUGUCAAAAAGUUAAAUGAAUUAUAAAUUGGAACCGUGGAAUUAUUAUUUUUUAACUAGUUUCCAUACAUCCAUGCAUGUCAGCACAAGACCAUUUUGACUCCUGUAAACCCUAUCAAACGUUGAAAGCUGACCUCUGUUCUUUCUUGGGGAGCUAGGAUGGUGAUUGAUCCUCCGAAUGCUCCUCCGGGCCUCCAAUUACACCCCGACAUCAGGAGCCUAAAAAUGGCCAAUGCGCCACUAUAAAGAGGGGAACCUCGUUGCAACGAAGAAAUCACCGUACCAUUAUGGCUGGUUCGUGGAUGGCUGCGCCACGACCUCUCCUGCUGUCGCUGCUGGUCGCCGUGCUAGCGGUGGCCGCCGAUGUCGCCAACGCCGGCCACGCCAAGCCCCUGACGCCUGGCGGGCGUGUGGUACACGACAACCACGGCAAGUUCACGGCCGGGCCGUGGAAACCCGCCCACGCGACCUUCUACGGCGGGCGGGACGGGUCCGGCACCACGGCGGGCGCGUGCGGGUACAAGGACACGCGCACGCAGGGGUACGGCGUGCAGACGGUGGCCGUGAGCACGGUGCUGUUCGGUGACGGCACGGCCUGCGGCGGGUGCUACGAGGUGCGGUGCGUGGACAGCCCUAGCGGGUGCAAGCCCGACGCGGCGGCACUGGUGGUGACGGUGACCGACCUGUGCCCGCCCAAGGACCAGUGGUGCAAGCCACCGCGGGAGCACUUCGACCUCAGCAUGCCCGCGUUCCUCCAGAUCGCGCAAGAGAAGGCCGGCAUCGUGCCGAUCUCCUACCGCAGGGUGGCGUGCGUGAAGCAGGGCGGCAUCCGGUACACCAUCACCGGGAACAAGUACUUCAACAUGGUGACGAUCACCAAUGUGGGCGGCGCUGGCGACAUCGCGGCGGUGUCGGUGAAGGGGAGCAAGCGCGUCAAGUGGACGGAGAUGAAGCGCAACUGGGGGCAAGUGUGGCAGACCGGGGAGGACCUCACCUGCGAGUCGCUGACGUUCCGGGUGAUGACCAGCGACCACCGCAAGGCCACCUCAUGGCACGUUCUCCCCGCUGACUGGAAGUUCGGCGUCACGUACCAGGCAUCCAAGAACUUCUAAGUAGCCACUUUCCCUCCUCUUCUUCAUCCUGCAUAUGCCCACAAGCAACCAUGCAAAUGAUAACAUGCAUCAUGCAUGCAUAUUCAUUCUUUCGCUCAUGCACUCCAAUAUGGUGCCGGAGUUAAAAAAAUGUAAAUCAAUGUGCAAACUCAAAUGACAUCUUAACCAGUUGUGAUCAAUCUCAACCGCUAAUGCAUUGCACACACCGAAUGAAGCUACCAUCCACUGCUGGAACAGGCUGAUUUAUCGAAUACUUGGCAAAAAGCCAAAUUCUUAGUGAUCUCCACUAUUUAGGCCUUGUGUUGCAUCAAAUGAAGUAACUU